rnacentral:lncRNA from 1 species
UUUUCUUUCCACCCAAACUCCAUCUUCGCAAUCAAACAGACCCUAAAUGUUGAUUACAUGAGCACAUUGUCGUUUCAAAAAAUUAAAAACAUGGAAACUCGAAUCUUUCCAGCAGUCUUGGUUUCUACUGGUGAGGUUUGUGGCUAAAUAAUUGACUUAAACUACACAGGUAGAAAGGAAAAAACACAAGUUGGGAUUUGGGAGUCUUAAAUCAUAUGUUGGUAAUUCGAAUUUAUCUAACUGAAUCAUUAAAAAUGUUCCGUCUCUUUCCUAUAUUACUAGCCAGUCCAAGACAUUUACAUUGUUUCAUGGUGUUUGAUUUUCCAUUAACCUUGAAGCCGGAUCAAUUCUAUUACUACAUCUUUUGCGGAAUUCCUGUUCAUUUUCCAGGUUUGUGGUCCUCCUGGAAUGAUGAAACAUAUAUCCGGUGACAAGGCUGAAGAUUAUUCACAAGGAGAGGUUUAUUUUAUAAAUCUUAAAAAAUAAAAUAAAAUAAAAUAUUAUUCUCUAAAUUUUCUCUCCUCUUUCCCUUUCAGUAGUCUUUAAUGAUAUUACACUUUCUCUUCUCUCCCUUGCAGUUGACUGGCUUACUCAAGGAGCUCGGAUAUACAGAAAACAUGGUAUACAAAUUUUAACUCAAUGAAUCAAUGUGUUGCACAGGCACUCAUGCUCCAUUGUUUCUGAGUAAUAAUACUAGUACACGGAGUAAUAAUUUCUGCAGGAAACAUCAUAUUUUGAUACUCACUGUAUGAAUCUAUUAUGACAAAAGUUUACAAUCUGGUUUCCCUACUUUUACUUGAAGGGAAGGGAUAUCUAUUUAAUUUGAUCGAUUGUAUACAGCCCGCGUUAGCAACUGAACCGAGGAAAGUAUAUAGAAAAGAUGGUUCUUUUUCUGACUUUCUGUAAGAAAGCCCAGCUUUUUCCAGCUGUUCAAUGGCAAUUCUUGACCAACUUCACUAGUUAUAUAUGACUCGAGGGACAAAUUAGUUAUUUGACAUAGACAAAGGGGAAAUUGGUAGGUUAUUGUGAAAAAUAUCACUAACGUUAGGGUUCAAAUCAUUGUUUUGGACACACAGUUUAAUUUGGUGCAAAUGGCCUCUAACCUAUGAAGCUUUUGUGCAAAUUGUACAUAAUCUUCUAAUCUUGGCGUAAACGUUCUCAACAUUUCACUUAAUAGGCGUAAUGGGUUCUUUUGAUGGUCUUCAUUCAAUUGACAGUUAAAAAGGUCAAACUUUUUAUGUAAAGAUUAAAAUGUCCCAUCUUGUAGUUAAAUAAAUAAAAUAAAAUAAUUAAAAAUUAUAAGACAAAAAGUAAAGCCAAUUGAUAUUUGAUCCUACCAACUAAUUCUUAAUGAGAGCAUUUCAAAUGCAACCAUGAGUGAGAACUUUUAUAGAAUGGAAAUUAUAAUAAAUUCUAGCAACAAAUUAAAAUCAUUUAAAAGAGGUUCUUCUAAUAUUUCUUGAUUAAAUUAAUAUGUUGUUGGAUUUAGCACCUACGAGUGAAUAUUGAUGAACCUGAAUAUCUUUUACUGUUGAGAUUUAAUGUGAUUUUUAUUUUACGUUUGUUUAUUUAUUUAACUACAAUAAUGGUGAUUUUAGUCUUUAUAUAUCAAAAGUUUGACCUUUUGAUCAAAUACCAAUUGCACCUAUUAAGUGAAAGGUUAACUCCAAGAUUCAAAGGUUAGAGCAUGAAAUUGAUAAAAUUAGGGACCAUUUGCACUAAAAAGAUUAUGCAGGUGCAUAAUUAAUAGUAAAAUUAGACUGAAAGUGUCAAAAAGGAUGAUUUGUGUACUAAGUUGAUAGGUUAGGGAUGACUGCACAAUAACGCAAUAGAUUAGAUACAAACAGAUGCCUUGUCAUAACCUCAACCGCUCCAUUAUUCUUAUUUGUCAUCUGUCGUCAUGGGCAGACCCACAUGGUGUUAUGUGGGGUCAAAUGAUCCCAUAGUUCCUUUUUUUUUUUUUUUUUUUUUUUUUUUUUUUUUUUUUUUUAAAAUUUGUAGUCGUUUACUUCACGGCUUAUUUCGACGCGCGGGUUACGAAAUGUCAAACGAAGUCAAAAUAUUGCAUUAUUAAUACAAUUUCGAGGUGUUCAGAGCCUAACUUUUCACUUAUUGAUGGUGCGUGAAACGGCCAGCAACAACAAAACUACGACUCGUCAAAAUAAGUCAUUCCAAUCUAGUAUUUCGAAAAUUUCGAUUAUAUGUAACUUUAAAAAUUCAUCAACAAUUAUACUCUAGCCUGAUUCACAAACCGCUUACAUCACUUAGAAUAUUGUUUCAAGAACUACAUCAUAUUCAUAUCGAAUGGUCUAAAUGGAUAUCGAAAAUGGUUAAACGUGCGUCAAACAUACAUCUCUAAAAAAGAUGUCUAAUUCUUCUUUCCUUUAAAAAAUUUUAAUUAUUUCAUUAAUGUUUAUUAUCUUUGUACAACAAAUUUCUCAAUAUAAUUUAUAUCGUUUUAUUAGUAAAUUUUACAUGGAGUAUGACGUAAAAAAAUUAGGAUCAUUAUAUAUUAAAUGUAAUUUAAAUUACUAUCGAAUCAAAUUUGAAUUUCAUUUUUUCCAAUUUGAAUUUUAUUUCAAUUAAUUUACUUCAUACAUUUAACUUAAUUUACUCACCGUUGGCUCAGCACUUGUCAACAAAGUGAUACACAAAACUAUACAAGUAGCAAAUUCUAUUUGACAAUAUUAAUAAUGGUAUAAUUAUACGACGUUUUUAAAGUAUCAAGACGCGUAGACUACAAUUGUAGUAGUAUAUUGACUUAUUUUUAUUAUUAUGUUGUCUAAAAAAAUUACAUUUAAUUUAUGACCCCACGGUACAAAAGGUCUGGGUCUGCCCCUGUCUGUUGUGUUUCCAUAUCCACCGCUCCAGUAUUCUUAUUUGUCAUCUGUCGUGUUUCCAUAUCCAUAUAUAUAUGUGGAGAGAGAGAGAAGGGAAAACUGUCCAAAAUUUCCAUUCAGGAUCAGCUAUUGAUCAUAUAAUCUAUUUUUUGAGAGAGAUGAGUGGUUUGCCAAGGUCAGAAAUAUCCUUUAGAAGACAAGGUUCUUCAGGGUUGGUAUGGGAUGACAAGUUAAAUUUGGAGGUGAAGAAGAAACACGAUCCAAAACCUGCGGUCGAACAGAGCCCAAGGGAAUAUGUAUAUCGAUCCAGGACAGUUACACUAGCAGUUGAACCGCCAUCUCCUAAGGUCUCCUGUUGCUGUGGCAAAUUUGGGAAGCCUCCCCAUCGUAAGUUAUAGUUGUUCUGCAUGCUGUUUUUGCUAUGUGAGUGAAAUCAAACAUUUUUAGUUUAUAAAAAUGCUUUGUAUAAUAGUUAUGUGUUGAAUAUGCAAAAAGUUAAAUUGCAUUUAGUUUAACACUUGCACACAAUUCUCCUAAUUUCCAGGCUCGACUCUUUUUUUUUUUUCCUGGUUGAUGGAUUUUGAUGUGUAUAGCAAGAUGAAAAUGAAGUUUUCUAUCAAAGUGAGAAGAAAAUAUGUAAAGAAUCGAGCACGUAUUCAAGCCGUUAACUACGUAACAUAUUUACUGUUUGUUUUGGGAGAGUUCGCACACAUUUUACCCUUCACAACUUUUUAUUGCAUUCUCUAGAUCCGUGACAUCUACGUUUCGAGAGAUUUAAGUUGAAUUUUGGUAACAAUUGAACAAGUUGUGUGAGAAUCAAAUUCUCUCAAAAUUAUCAGUAUGCAUGAGUUAUUGACUCGAACACAAAUUUGAAUCGUUACAAAAUAAAUAUCCACAACACACAUAGUGCUACUAAAAAUUUGCUUGAUAAAUAUUUCCUAUAUUGCUACCAAGACUGGAAAAUUGAUUUUUUUUUUUUUUUUGUCACGACCUGUUGACUGAGAAGCAGGUUGGUCCCCCGAGCUUAAGAAAAUGAGAAAACUCGUUAUAUCCUUUUACCUAUCAAAACAUAUAGGUGGGCGCUGCCACUCAAGAGUUUACAAAUUGACAUUCGAGUCACUAUUGAAAGGCAAAAUAGAUAAAAUAUUAACAGAAAGUGAAACAACACAGGUAAUCUGCAUAUUCGCGGGCAAAUCUAUUUCAUCGAACCUUUCUUCAAGACACUAUCCAAAUCGUUAAGCCUUUCGUGCGAUUCGGAACUUAUCCGACAAGUUAGCCAAUUCUUCGAUCAUCAGUCACCACCUUCCUUGAUCUUUCGGCCUUGGAUAGACGUCAACCCUCAUGCAUGAUCUUAAGACUUUGUGGAGACCUAUUUUUAUGGUAAACAGUCGACUCUGCAACUCCCCACUCUCAACAAAAUACAGCGUUUCUUUCAAUUUUCCACCUAAAACGCCAUCCUUCCAUGGUAUAGGCUAAUCCUGGUCAUGAUGAAGAUUAACUUACUAAUACGUCAAUUAGUGAUUCCUAAAAACAACAAAACAAUUAGUGGUCCAUUAUUUCCCGCAACUUUUGACUAAAAUCGUAGAAUUCAUGAAAUUAAUUAUCAGAUUAGAAGCAAUCAACUUUAUUAAGAUAUAUGGAUAAGAGAUUGAAUAGUUUUCAAUAAAAGAAAAUGGUCGUUUUCAAUGUGACCGAUCAUUCAACAAUUAAACAAUAUUUAGCCAUCUAACCUCAUCUUGAUGUUUGACUAAAUUUAUAACUUAUUUUUUUAAGUUAAUUUUUGUUUGAAUACAUUAUUUUUUUCUCAAGUAAAAAGAGUUAAAGCAAUUUGUUUUACAACUUAGAUCAACAAAAAUAAUACAUUUCUAACUCUUAUUUAAUCAUAAGUAAGUUUUUUUAAAGCUUGGCCAAACAUCUUCUUACAAAUAUUAUAUUAAGAUGAUUAAAUAAAAUGCAUUUCUUGUUUUAAAUUGUUUCUUCAAAGGACGAAAGGACAGACUGAACUUUUUCUUGCAUUCAACGUUCAAAGAUUCUUAUUAUUACACAUCAUCGAGUUGUAUUUUUGCACGAUCAAUGGUUACCUUCAAUAAUUGAAGAAAAAUAGGUGGGAGAAUUGUAUUGAUCCUCAUGUAGGUUUAGUACAAUCUGAUUGAGAUUAAAAUUAAACAGAGUCGACUAUUUUUUUUUAAGUUAUGCAAUUGCAUAAAACCCCUUAAAUAGAUUGGCUUCCAAAUUUUAAAACUAUCAUUAUUUGUAAUUAGUAAUACUAAAAAUAUAAAUAGUCCAAUAAACUCAACAUAAUCUUUUCAACAAAUACAAACUAACAAAAAUGUUUAAAUUAAGUGUUAAUGGAAAAUUAGGGCAAAUUUUGACCAAUUCCAAUUCUCUUUUCCCCUUAUUCACUGCACUAAUCAUUGUUCAUUUCCCUUAUUUUCCAGGUCUUAUAUAUUAUUCUCUCUCUUCCAUAUAUCUUAGAUUAUUUUAGCAUGAAUAUGGAGAGUAAUGUCUGUAGAUGCGGUGACCCUAUGCAGAUGAAGACCUCAUGGACGAACUUAAAUUCAGGAAGAAGAUUUCUCACUUGUCCACGACGUCAGGAUAUCGAUGGAUGUAACUUUUUUGACUAGCUCGACCCUCCAAUGUGUGACAAAUCGAGGAAGAUAAUCCCUAGAUUUCUACCUGUCAAAAGAGAUGGAAGUUGAACUAAACACCUUAUGUAUUAAGAUUUGUCAUCAUUCAACAGUGUUGCCCUAAUUAUCAUUUCUCAUAGUUUCCCCCUCUCCCUGUGAGCAAAUGCUUCAAAACGAAGGGAAAAAUAUGUUCGAAAACAUAUCAUAGAUAGUGCAUUGUUGGUCUCAAACGUUUUCAAUUAGUCAUACACAAACCUUUUAUUAUGUCGCGACAUAGGUUCCAAAUAUUUGUAUUUGAAUGCACGAAAAGUCCCAAACCUUUUAAAUGAGUUACAGAUUAGGUUCUAAACCUUUUGAGGAGUUGAAGCUUAUGUCUCAAUUUGACAAAGGACUCUCUUUCCCUUGCCCUGUGAUUGAGUUGGUUGUGUAUCCUAUUGUGUAUCUGCUUUAGAAUAUGUUCUCUUGUUAUGGCAUGUCCCACCACAUGUUUUACAUGUCAUCAUCAUUCUAGUCCUUGUCAUUUUGGUGCCUGUAGUCUCCCUGCUUGUUUCUUCUUCAUAGGUGGAUUCAAAGAAUGUUUUCCCAGCUUUAACCACAACUCAAGGACCUAACAUUGGUUGGAUGAUUGGGCUAUAGGACCUCAGAUAAGCUUCUUUGAUGUAGCAUUCAUCUACAUACUCAUAUAUGCCAAUAUUUCUCAAUGGCAUACCAGACAUUACAUGCACACAAGGUAUUCCAGUAAGUUGCUAUUUUCUACAUGCACAUUUAUGUUUCAUCAAGUCCAAACUCCAUCUCUUUUCCAUCCCUAUUUCUCACAUCAAAUUUUCACUUCCAGCAUAGUUAGCCUUUAAAAACCUUACAUCUGCCUUUGUUUUCUCUUUAAUUCUCAUAACUUCAGGACCAAAAGCAUGAUCACAUCUUCAUGCAGCUUCCAUUUUAGCAUUCAUCCUUUCCAUAGACUUUUCUCUUGCAAUUAAUAUGAAAGAGUUGAAUGUCUCACACAAGUUAUUAAGUAGGAUGUCGCACUUUAAAUAAUCUUGGAAAUGUGAUCUACUCUACGGUGAUGCUGGUUUCUCAGUGAACCACUUAAACUCUGUUUCGUUCAUAUCUUUUAUCUCAUUCAUUGCACUUCUCUACUCUGGCACUAGUUUACCCUUGUUGCAGCCCAAAAAUAUGCUCUUUAGAGUCGGUCCCUUAUGCACUAAGGUGAAAUUGCUGGAUAAAUGUCUUGCACAAUACCUAUACUCAGCACCCUUACAUAACAAAUUUAUGGAGUCCACUAAGCCCUUCUGUUUAUCAGAAAUAAGGUCCAAGUCCUAGCAUUAUACAUCCCAAUAUCAGCUAUCAAAAGUUCUAAUAACCAUUCCCAAUUUGUUUUGUUCUCCACAUCCCCAGCUAUAGGAAACGUGUAGUUAUCUACAUCAAUACCAAUUGUAGCCAACAACUGCCCAUGUUGUGCACUCUUUAGGAAAUAUCCAUCCAAACCAAUUACAUUUCUACACCCAGCUCUAAGAACUUCUUUGCAAGCCCCUAAACAUAUGUAUAGUCUUUUGAAUGUAUGACCCUGCCCAUUGUACUAUCAGGAUUAGUUCUUUUCAACUUCUUACCAUAGUCCCACAGAAUCUUGUACUAUUCAGCCACAAUUCCAUUAACAACGUCUGCACAUUUAACUCUUAUUCUAUAAAAUUGAUGCUUAGAGAUCUCAUAUAUGCACUCCUCAUUCAUUUUUUCUAUAAAACUAUUCAUAGACAUUUUUGGAUUUGAUUUGACUUCCUUAUAUACUUUUUGCCAAGUAACCAAUAUGCACUCUUCUAUUCUUCCAAACCAUUGUGCAAGUAUGUUCAUCUUUAAAUGUGUUAAUUCUGAAACUUUUGUCUGGUUGCUAGUAAGCAUACAACUUCCAUGGACAAUUCUCUUGGCAUAUGACUCUUACACUUGUUCCUUCAUUCUUUAAAUAUCUAACUUGCCUUGCAUUCUUAACCAAAUACUGUAAACUUCAUCUUUCAAUAUCUUUAUGUUAUCUAACUUCAUGCUUGCAGGAUUAAACUAGUAGUGUCAACGAGCCGAGCCGAGCCGAGCCGAGCCGAGCGAAGCAAGCUCGCNNNNNNNNNNNNNNNNNNNNNNNNNNNNNNNNNNNNNNNNNNNNNNNNNNNNNNNNNNNNNNNNNNNNNNNNNNNNNNNNNNNNNNNNNNNNNNNNNNNNNNNNNNNNNNNNNNNNNNNNNNNNNNNNNNNNNNNNNNNNNNNNNNNNNNNNNNNNNNNNNNNNNNNNNNNNNNNNNNNNNNNNNNNNNNNNNNNNNNNNNNNNNNNNNNNNNNNNNNNNNNNNNNNNNNNNNNNNNNNNNNNNNNNNNNNNNNNNNNNNNNNNNNNNNNNNNNNNNNNNNNNNNNNNNNNNNNNNNNNNNNNNNNNNNNNNNNNNNNNNNNNNNNNNNNNNNNNNNNNNNNNNNNNNNNNNNNNNNNNNNNNNNNNNNNNNNNNNNNNNNNNNNNNNNNNNNNNNNNNNNNNNNNNNNNNNNNNNNNNNNNNNNNNNNNNNNNNNNNNNNNNNNNNNNNNNNNNNNNNNNNNNNNNNNNNNNNNNNNNNNNNNNNNNNNNNNNNNNNNNNNNNNNNNNNNNNNNNNNNNNNNNNNNNNNNNNNNNNNNNNNNNNNNNNNNNNNNNNNNNNNNNNNNNNNNNNNNNNNNNNNNNNNNNNNNNNNNNNNNNNNNNNNNNNNNNNNNNNNNNNNNNNNNNNNNNNNNNNNNNNNNNNNNNNNNNNNNNNNNNNNNNNNNNNNNNNNNNNNNNNNNNNNNNNNNNNNNNNNNNNNNNNNNNNNNNNNNNNNNNNNNNNNNNNNNNNNNNNNNNNNNNNNNNNNNNNNNNNNNNNNNNNNNNNNNNNNNNNNNNNNNNNNNNNNNNNNNNNNNNNNNNNNNNNNNNNNNNNNNNNNNNNNNNNNNNNNNNNNNNNNNNNNNNNNNNNNNNNNNNNNNNNNNNNNNNNNNNNNNNNNNNNNNNNNNNAAAAAAAAAAAAAUCAAUUAUCUUACUGACUUAUAGCCUGUUUGGAAGUCAAUUUGAGAAUUGAUUUUUUGACCGUUAGGAGGGGUCCACCUGUGAGAGAAGAAGUCAAAUAUGACGACUGAAAUAAUAAAAUAACGGUCAAAAAAUCAAUUUUUUGAGACAAAAAAUCGCUCCCAAACAAACUGUUAGUAAGAUCAAGGUCAAGAAAUGAACACGUUAUUCUAUUUAUUCCAUUCCAAUUAUGCUUAUUGAACAUAAUGGAUGAUAGGUACAACAAUUCACCAAAAAAUAGUCAAAAUUAUCAAAUGAGUAGACUGGGUAAGAACAAUAUUUUUCAAUAUUUAGGAGAAAUCUGAGAACUUCAAUGAAAACCACCCUAAUUUUGAUCCUUUCCUCUAAAGUACAGAACAAGAGCACUUCAUGAAUCAUAGUGACAUGUUUGGCAGGAUGGAUUGGAUAGCACUGGACUGUAUUGAAGAAUGGAAUCAUUAAUCUCGAGUUCUAUCCAAUACUAAGUACAUAACAUGCAAUUAAUAUUUAUGGAUGCUUGCAGUUUCAACUUAUCCACAAUUUUUGCUAGGGCAUCAAUAAUCUUGUUAAGAGCAGUGACUAAACCGUUGUGCUGGUCAUUUCACUUCUCACUGUCGACUUGACAGUUCAUAUUUUGAGAUUCAAGUUGGGUAUUCAGCAGACUAGCAUUACUCUGGAGAACUCUGAUCCAGCGAUCGGCUACAUCAAUAUUUUGACAUCCGUUUGCUGAAAAUCUUCUUCUCUUCAUUCCCUCCCGAAACAUAGUAGAUCCUGUCUCAAAAUUUUGCUGAGGCCAUUUCCCAAUUUCUGCACCUGAUAAUUGCAAACGUAUCAUAUCAAUGAGCAUAAUGGAUCACCAAAUACAGAUUUAUGGAGCUUAACUUGAUUUGAAUAUGCCUCAUGGUAUGGUUGAUAUUUCUUCUCUGCCAGUGAUAGAAAACCUUUGUGUCAUAUAUUUCGGGGAGAUAAACACUAGUUGAAAAAGAUGAUUUAGGUAACCUGAUAUUGGCACUGGUGAAGGAUUUGGCUUUGUUCUGUCAACUGUUGCCGCCUCUUCAUUUCCUCAUCUUCGGCCAAAUGCCAUAACCAUUAUUUUCAUCUAGACUUUCUUAAACAAGUGCUAGUCGAUAUUCAUCCCCUGUGAAUGUUUUCAGGUCCAAGACAUCAUAGACUUCUCGAUCAAAGAAAUCGGGAAGUCUCCUAUCCCUUCUCAAACCGCUUCUUAUCGUCCAGAAGGAUUCAUUAACUCUGAGACUCCCACAUUUUUAUCUUCCUGAAAUCACAUACAAGGUUACUCCAUCUUUUUCCGGCAUUGAACUGGUCCUCAUUCACUCCAUGCUGUCUACAGUAUUCAUACUGGUCCGACCCAAAAAUUGAACCGGAUCUUCUACCCUUAGCCCUUGAUCCUCUACGACCUUCCUGCCCUCUAUGAGGAAAAGGGUGGUUUCUCGUCUCGUUCAUUGAGGGUGUCUCACUAUUUUAUUCUUGUCAUCGGUUCUUUCAAUCAACAAUGUCUAUCCAUUUUCAACACUCGUUGAAGAUAUACCUUUUUAAUGAUGCAGCUGGGUUCUGAUGCCACGAAUUCUUCUGCUAAAAGUAUUUUUGAUAGAAAUCAGAUAAUGUACCCACUAUCUCUUACGUUCCUUUGAAAUGUUCUUUGAGGCUUAUAUUCUGUAUGUUUUUUGGGUUUUACAGAAGGCACGCCCUCUCUCUCAGCAAUUAAAUAUAGCCCUUGUUUGAGCCACAUUAUUCCAUAAGAAUGCAUUUUUAAAUAGUGUAUUGAUAGGAAAUGUGUAAUUAAAAAAUAAUAAAAAGGUUUUGAAUUUAUGUUUAAUAUUACUUUAUUGAAAAAUGUGUGAUUAAAAUCAUAUCAAAUCACUGUUUAAGAUUAUAUUUUUUAAAUAGAGCGUGGGUCAAAUAGGCCAUAAUAAAGAGAUAUAUUCUUUAUUUAGGCAUUUGAUUUCUAGAUUUGAGCACGUACCCUUGAGCCACAUUGUCCUAAUCUUGGGAAAUUUGCGUAUUUUGUCGUUUCCGCAAUCUUUUGCCUAUAUAAAUGCUCUUAAUUUAGGCUCUGUUUGAGCCCUAUUAUUUUCUCUUUAAAAUGAAAAAUAUGACCGUUAUCCAUCAUAUCAGCCACCAUAUUUGACUUUUUAUUUCUUGUGUGAGGCCCAUAACGACUAUAUUUUUCAUUUUCAUUUUUAAAAUAAUGUGGCUCAAACGAAGGCUACAUAUGAAAGAGGCAUAAUAAUGCAGAGGUCCCACCAUGAUGUAGUGUAAAAAAAUUGCAUUAUGGGAGAAAAAAUGUGGAUCGAACGGAGGCUUAAAUAAAAAGGAUCACUCUUGGGAUACAUAAUGGACACCAUAAUGGUGUCCAUAAUCCCGAGGUAGCGCCUCCCCAUUGGAGGGGGCGCAUGUGGGCCUGAUGCCUCCAUCAAUGGGGAGGCGCCACCUUGACAUUAUGGACCCCAUUAUGGUGUCCAUUAUGUACACUUAGGAUAUUCCAAAUAAAAAAGAGGUCGCCCAAUUAAAAGAGAAAAAUAAUAAAUAAAUAAAGACGAGCAAUUCUGCAACAUGGCUUGUCUAUAGGUGGCCAUACAAGAUGAGGAUGCUUUAGAGAUGGCAAAAAAAUUGCGAAAAAAACCCCGCCCCCCAACCUGCCCCGUGAAGCAAAAAAAUAUAAUAAUAUUUUUUUAUUUGAAAAAAAAAAUUAAACGGGGCAACAAACGUGCCCCGUCCCGAACUCACCCCAUUGCCAUCCCUAGGAUGCUUGGAUCAACGGGACUAGAGCUGUGAAUGGAUCAAAUAUGGGCCGGAUCUGUCCAAAUACGAUCAGAUCCGUUACGAAUAUUUAUUUGAUUCGAUCCGAUUUGAUAAUCCAAUGAAUAUUUGAUUGUUAAAUCCAUAUCCGGUUUGUUAUAUUAUCGGAUAUUCGAUCUUUCAACCGAAAAAAUGGAAACCGACCUCUAAACCGGUCUGGUCUUCAUAUAUUAACCAAACGAUAUGAACUUUUAUUCUAAAAAAUAUUUUAAUUAUCUUUGAUGUGCUCACCUCUUAAUAUUAUACUAGAAGACUCAAAUAAUUUUUAUCCAAGUAAUGCUCCUUUGAUUAAUUUUUAAAGGAGUCUCCUCUUAGAAUGUUUUAGUGAUCUUCUAAUAUGGGAUAUUAGUUUUUUUGAAGGAUAUACUUUUCCUCCAAUGUUUUAGUGAUAUUUCAAUGUGGAAUACUAGUCAAUUGUCAAUUCUAAGUUUUUACUAGUUUGCUUUAUUUUUUUUACUAAAAAUCAUAGCCUCAACAAGAUUAUAAUCACAAAUAAUAUCAAUUUGAACAAUAUAAAUUAUUUUGGACAUAUUAAUUGUUAGUUUUUGAUGUUGUAAAACAAAUUAUUAUAGUUAUUUUUAUCUUAUUUUAAUUAAUAAAAAAAUUAAAUAUCUUCAAAUAUUUCAAUUAACAAUAUUAUAAUAUUAUUUAUUAUUUGAAAAUUAUGUGUAAAGUAUAAUAUAAGUUUCAAAAUGGAAAAAAAUUAUGCUUAAUAAAUUAUGAUAUAAUAUAUAAAAUAUAUUAUGUUAUUAUAAUAAAUCGGAUCGGAUCGACCUAUAUCCAUAUUUGCUCCAUUUGGUUAACGGAUUAUCGGAUUCGGAUCUUAAUCCAUCAUUGGAUUGAAACCCUAAAUCCAUCUUCCAUUAAUUUUAUCGAAUUCGAAUCGAAAUCCAAUCCAUUGACAGCCUUAAACGAGACCCAUUUUAACAAUGUCACCGACAACAUUGUUCAUAUUUAGCCCCCCUUUGAGCCAUAUUAUUAUAAAAAUGAGAAUGAAAAAUAUAGUUGUUAUGGGCUCCACAAAAAAAAAAAGUCAAAUAUGAUGGCUUGAUGUGAUGGAUAACGAUCAUAUUUUUUAUUUUAAUAAAGAAAUAAUGGGGCUCAAAUAGGAUCUUAAACGUGAGUGCAGGGGUAGUUUUAGUAACACGUAUUGUUGAGGCAUCAUGGCCUUUUUGGUGGGCCCGGGCUAUCUUUUUGCUUUAUGGCCCGUCCCUAUUAUCGGCCUAUUCCAAUUUAAAAUUGUUACAUUUGUACGUUAAUUUUAUUCUUCAAAUAUUUGUCGAGCUUGUGAUGUUUGUGGAUUAGUAUGCUGGAAUUUUUUACACGUAUGGAAAAGCGAAAGAAUUGUAUUACACAACGGGAAAAAUUGUUGAUUUAUCACUUGGGAUGACGUGAAAUGUGUUCAAAUUGUUGAAAAUGAUAUCUCUAAAAAUUAUAUUAAAUAUUGUAUUACCCUAUUGUUGGAAUAUCACCUAGAAAUUAAGCCCCGUUUGAUCCCCAUUUUUACUCAAAAACGUAUUUUUUCCAUCACAUCAAUAUAUGACCUAUACAUUAUUGUAUGUUUUGAUUUGAAUUCAAAAGGCAUAAAAUUUCAAUUUCACCCAUGGUCUCUCGACUUAGGGUCUGUUUGAUUGUAAUAAUGAAAUUGAAUUGAAUUGAAAAAGAAAAACAAGGAAUUGAAUUGUCUAGAAAUUGUUUUCCUGGGAAUUGUAAAUUAUUGUGUUAUAUUGGUAUAAUUUUUCACAUGAAAAAUGUUAAAAUAAAAGUAUUUUUUGGUGUUCGUUUGACUUUGUUUUACAUGAAAAUUGUCAAUUAAAAAAAUAUAUUUUACUGGUAUUGGGAAUGAAAUUUGUUUCCAUUGCCAACAAAAAAAAAAAAAAAAAAAAAAAAAAACAUCUAUCUUUUGGUGUUCAUUUAACUUAUUUUAUAUGAAAAUUGUCAAUUAAAAUGAAAUACUUUUUUACAAUAAUUCUUAGAAUUUGUUUCCAUUGCCAACAAAAAAUUCCAAAAAAAUAAAAACCAUGAUCAGUAGGUUGGAAUAAAAACCAAGAAAAUACAAUUUCUCAAGACAAGCAAGAAAAUGGAAUUCCACGGAAAUUAAAAUGUAUCAAACACAUAAAAUCGAAAAGGUGGAAUUCGAAUUCCAUGGAAAAUGGAAUUCGAACCAAUCAAACACUGCCUUAUGGCCUGUUUGAUUGACCAAGAAUUCCAUGGAAAGUUACGCUUUCUAACUUGAUCCUUGUUUGAUGGCAUGUACUUACCAUGGAAUUGUUAUUUCAUGUUUCCACCCACCCGUCACUUUUCUUUGUUCUCAUGGAGUUCCAAUUCUUAUGGGUAUGGUAAGAAUUGGAAUUCUAGGUAAUUUAUUAUUAUUAUUUUUUUUUUGUCUUUUUUUUCUUUUCCUUUUUUUUUAUUGGCAAUGGAAAUAAAUUCUAAAAAUUAUUGUAAAAAAAUAUUUUUUUAAUUGGUAAUUUCCAUGUAAAAUAAAACCAAACGAACACCAAAAGAUGGAUGAUUUUCUUAAUUAUUUUUUUUUGGUCGUUAACAAUGGAAACAAAUUUCAUCCCCAAUACUAGUAAAAUAUAUUCCUUUAAUUGAUAAUUUUCAUGUAAAACAAAACCAAACGAACCAAAAAAUACUUUUAUUUCAACAUAUUCACGUGAAAAAUUAUACCAAUCAAACGCAAUAAUUUAUAAUUCACAAGAAAAUAAUUUCUAGGCAGUUCAGUUCCCUGAAAUUCGUUUUUUAUCCACCCAAAUUCAUAUUUGCAAUUAAACGGACCCUUAUAUUAAGAGGAAAUUGCAUAGGUUGUCAGUUUUUGCCUUGACAUUGGAAGUCAAACAAUCGACCCACGCAUUUUGGAGGGCCAUCUAUAGACAAGCCAUGUUGCGGAAUUAUUCUCUUCUUCUUUAUUAUUAUUCCAAUUCCAAAAGUUCAUACUUUAGAAUGUUCAAGUCAUCCUUAUGACCUUUGCCUAUAUUAUGUGGCAAUCUGCUUCAUGUACAGCAGUCCAUACAGCAUACCAUAGAGUGCUGAGGUGCAAAUUUAAAAAAAAAAAAAAAAAACCUAAUAAACCGGUUUCUUGCAAGUGAGCCGGGCUGAAACAAACUCACUCUUCCCCAAGACCCCAAAUCAAUUUCCCUCUCCCAUUUGUCUGAAAGUCGUCUUCUGAAAACACUCCAUCGCCAAUUCUCCUGAAAACGAUCCAACCACAAAAUCUCCACUUUCGAUCGACGCUUCAACCGAUAGACAAUACUUCCUCCCUCCCCAUCGGCUAGAGACCACCGAAUACUCGCUCACUUAGGUAAGAGAAAGCGAAGGAAGCAAUGAUGUCAUUUUCUGCCCUUUUUGUAUUAUUUAUGUUAUUCAAGCAAUAAUUUCUUGUUUCGUCGUAUGUUGAGGAUGAAAUACUAGUUUUGGAUCUGCUAUCAACUGUAGUGUAUGCCGAAAAUAGUUUGAUUACUCUGGGCUUGUCAUCUGAGAGUUACUGUGUAAGAACAAAACAUUGGUUCUUUAUGGUUCGUCAAUCUUGUUUCAGUUUUAUGUGUUGGGGAAAAAUUGAGUUUCGAAAACGUAGUUUGACAAUGCUGGGGUCAUUCAAUUCUGCUUUAGAUUUACUGUGUACGAGAAAUAAUUACGAAAUUUUAAUUUGAAAAUUGGAAUAUCCUCAUUCUCGAAAGGGCUCUGUAAAUUAUUGUGGUUCGUCGAUCUUGUUUCAGUUUUAUGUGUUGGGGGAAAAAUUGAGUUUAGAAAAUGUAGUUUGACAAUGCUGGGGUCAUUCAAUUCUACUUCAGAUUUACUGUGUGUGAGAAAUAAUUGCGAAAUUGUAAUUUGAAAACUGGAAUAUCCUCAUUCUGGAAAGGGCUCUAUAAAUUUCUCGUUGAAGGGAAGGUUAAAGCAUUUCAUAGGAUUAUGUAAGUUCUAAUACUAGUUAGUUUAAAAUAGUAUAACACUUUUAACAUGUUUUUGUAUGACUCAGAAUUCAUCCAAGAAUUUUGGUUGAUGUGAGCAGUAGAUGUGCCAACAACUAUCAUUGGUUACAACACACUGGCAUAACCUGAAGGUUUAUUUAUACUUACUUAUAACAAUAUAUUUGAAUAUUGAUUACAACACAUUGGCAUACCCUGAAGGCUUAAGAUUUACUAUAGAUGGUUCCUUAUUCCAAAGGAUUUGAAUAUUUCUUAAUGGCAUUGUAAUCAGAAUAUUUUGAUAUAACAUUUUUGUUUCUGUAUACAUUACACAAUCACGUGGAGGCGUAUUCACAAUUUCUUGUGUUGCCGGACAAAUUACUAUGCUAUAGUGCUGUUUUAAAUUCUAAGAAGGUUGGAAUGUCUGUUUACUGUGGUUCGAAGAAAAUGCAUGUUUUGUGAGAAUGAUAUGUUUUCAUGUUGAUGUGGUUGAAGUAGACUUGGUCGAUGGUAAGCAAGAAUCGGGGAAUAUGUCAUUGUUGUAGACAAAAGGGACAUAUGCUACCAGAAUGCCCGAGAAAGAAAAGCUGUCCAAAUUGUGGUUUGGGUUUCAUCAAAUGGAUGGAGGUUGAAAAGAACAAUGACCAUAAAGGGCUAUUGUUCCAUUGUUGCACUCGCGACUGUAGGUACUUCAAGUGGUGUAACAAAUCCCUUGACGAAAAGUGUCCGCUGCAUGAUGAUGGUGAAUCAAGUGGCAUUAGAAAUGUAGGCGAACAGGUGGAUGAUUUGUCGCACAUGUUAAAGACGCUCGCUAAGCUAACUGACAAAAAAGACUUGAAGAUCUAGCUCAAAAUAAAUAUGCGCAAAUGGAAGCAAGAUUUGGAGAAAGAAAACUGAAUAUGUCGUGUAUUAGGAUGGUGUAUGACGAAAAUGACUCUUGAGAAUCGUUGUUCAAGUGUUUAUGUAUGAUAUGUUGGUAGUUAUAUGUAAUAUGAUUUUGGAGAAAAUUGUAUUGAUGUUCAACGAGCUUCUCAAGGUGUCAACUAUCAUGUAUUUUGUCCGUAAUCUUAAUGAAGUACUUAUCUAUUUCUUCCCGCCAAUUAUGUCAACUCUCAGUGUUCCCAUUUCAGGUUCAUGUAUUAUAUUUAUGGAAUUAAGCCUUCCACAAAAAUUCAAUUGCCGAAUGAGCACAGGUCUUCUGCCAUUGUAAAGUAUAAUGAUUGAUGCAUUUCUCACAAGUUAACCAUUGCUUGAUCACUAGCAGUUUUGAGUUGUACAAAAAAAUCUUAGCCAUUAUUAUGAAAACAAGACCAAUAGCAGUAGUGUACCAAAAAAAUGAUAAGUGAAGUCAAUGUAAAACAUCAUGAGUUUCAAACGAUAUAAUGUAUUAAAAACUAGAAACUAGUUAUUCAUACUUGUAUGCUUACUUCUUAUGGUUCGAGAAACAUGCAUAGCUCACUUUGCUCAAUAUUUCAGGCUCCAUUUUACCAAAGAAAAGCAAGGGAAAGAAUUCUUUUGACCCCAGGGAUCUCCACCUCGAGACUUUAUUUACAGCCUUUUAUAUUAUCAUUGAAUUAACUCUGCUAAAAUUAUUAUUUCAAAACACUGUUUAAUGAACCACUCCACUUCUUUGUUCUCAAGAAGACCUGUAAUUUUCCUGCAAAUAGCAAGUUUAACACAGCCAGUUAUGUUAUCCAGUAUAAAAGUACAGACAAAAAUUAAAUUAUAGUAGAAAUAGAUCUCACGUAAAUCAGAAAAUCCUUUUGUAAAUUUUUAUUUAUUUUUAUUACCAAAUAUAUGUAUCGGAAAGUAAAAAAUAAUAAUAGGAAAUAAAUAAAUAAAUUAGACAUUCCGCACUGCGCGGAGUGUUGAACAGUUACACUCCGCGCAGCGCAGAGUGUCUAUAAGUGAAUUUUUUUUCUUUUGCUUUCCGAGAUGUAUAUUUCAUAAUUUGGCCAUAACUUUAUCAGAAUCACGCUCAUGACCCCAAUUCAAAAAGCUUUUUUCGACGCGCACGUUGUGGCCACCAAUUUCGGUGGGUGGGCAUCAUUUUCGUGGUCAAAAUCCGCUGUUUUCCCUUCUAAAUCCCCAAUUACUUUCUAAUUCUCUUCCUUUUACGGGAUCUUUUAUGAAAACAUACUUUUAUCGUUCUAAAUAUUUAUCCUUCAUAAAAAAAAAAGUAACCACUAAAAAAUGAAGUGAUCACAAUUUAUACAAGCCACAAUGUUAGCAAUCAGGAGAUUUCCUAGCAUCUACGGUUGAAAAUGUAAACAUAAAUGCCCUAAAAUGAUAAAUUACUAUGCACAAAGCAAUUUGAUUGUUUUUCCAUUGUAGUAAAUGAUCCAAUUCCCGUUGCAAAUUUUCAUCACCCCUUCAGCAAAGAGGCUUUUUCAGACUGCGAAUGCAAUCAACAAACAUCCAUACAGCUGCCAAUUCAAUGUUCACGCCUUCUAUUUCUUGAAAUUUCAACUUUGAGGCGCUGAAUUUCUUCCUUUAGUUCUUCCAAUGACCUUCUGUUGGUUAUCAUGUAACUGCUCAUCAAAUUUGAUAGAUGCCUUAAACAUGAGAGAUAUUUAGCUUUUACUUCAGGAUGAUCAGAUAAAUACUUCACAGCUCCAAACUGCAGAAAUGGAAAGUAAUCAGCUUGAUUGGCGGAUCAUGAGUAUUUGAAACUAGAGUUCCUUAAUUGGAAAUAUUGAAAGCACUGUCCUAUUCGGAAGUGAACAAAAUAAAUGAGCACACAAACCAUCCAAAGAAAUGGGGACAACUAUAAAUUUUGCAUAAUUCGAACUCCAAGUACCUCCUUCAAAAUAGAAAUGCACUGUCGAAGUGCAGCAUCGAGUUCUGUUCUUCAAAUUGAUUCGUGGAAUAAGUGCAUACAAAUGCCACUUGUUUUUUUUACUACCACACACAUUGAUAUAUAGAAACAAUUCCAUUAAUUCUUUAUACCUAACACAAAAUUAGAUGAAUAACUAAUUUAAGAGAGUAUUAGUUCCUAUUAGAAAUUUAAGAGAGUAUAUUACUUGUUCAUGUCCUAACUAUAAUUUUCAUCCUUGAUUAUUGGUUGCUCUCUCGUCUACUUAAUGUCAACUUCAGCAUCACUUGUAGGAUCUUGACGAGCCAUUCUUGAACUCAAAUUCUGAACAAGAGUAGAACGACCUCCAGCAAUCGUAGCAUGUGGAAUUGUCUGGGCGGGACUGGACAUCCAAUAUGCUAUGUUGGGUGGUAAAGGCAAUGUCUGAAAUGACGUUUUCCAUGUUGUUAUUGCAAGUACAUUGGAGAAUCAUAUGAAAUUAACUAUUUGUAAGGAGAAAAGUUACACCACUUACACCAUGAAAUCCAAGAUGAAAAACACCCAUUGCGGACGGUGUCAUUCCUAGUUGUAUUCCAACAUUGUACGACAAAUUGGGACAAUAGUAUUGCAUUGUAUUCCCUAACAUGAACAUGAAAAAAUAAGACAUAUGCUAAAUACACAUUUGGGAACGUGUAAAUACACAUCGGAAAGACUAUACUCACCGGGAUAUUUGAACAAAACAUUCGAUGUUGAUGCUGGAAUAAAAUUUGUAGACGGCACUUGUGUUAGUACGUGACUUUCCUCGUCGCCCUGCGUGAAGCAAUAAAACAAAUUACUCUUAAGAUCACUGAAAUUUUGCCAAUGGUUAAUACCUGAAGAAAAAUGAAUUAAAUAAAUAAAUUGGCAGCCAUUCAUUCAUAAUCUACCGACACUGCCCAAAUUAACGUGAUGCAGUAUAUUAAUUCCUUGUUUCACCCAAAUUAAUGUGAGGCAAUAUAUUUAAUUCCCUGUUUCACCCAUUCAUUCAUAUUCUGUCGACAACACAGUUUUUUCCACUUGGAGUGAGAGGUUAUAAUAGAUAAGCUUCUCCAACGAAAUAUGUAGCUGAAGUAUCACAAUGAUUAUUCUGCUUAGGACACUGAAUGGUCUAAUAAUUUGUAAGAAAUAAAAUAUUUAGACUACAUAACAAAAUUAGGAACUCGGUCUACUAAUAAAUACUUACAGCUAUAACUUGUGAAUUUGAGAAUUGUGUCAUCAUGAAUAUUGUACAUGUGGCAAGGACUCAACAAAUGGUGUGUUGAGUCGGAGAUUUCUUUUCGCCGCUCUCGAUCUCUGUCCUUUGCUGGAAGUUGAUGCUUCUUGCAAGACAUGAGAAUAAUUGACAUUUGCACUUCGUUGAAAUGUAUGACACAUGAUAAAAAUGUGUGAAAGAUAAAUAACCUUUAUUUUCUUCGAGAUCGACUCCAAUGAGCUUUUAUGACGAAAUUUCUUCGGUGCACCCUUUCUUUUCGAACAUUUAGGAUCUUGUAUGGUACCGCUGCCAGUGUCAUGUGAUGCUUUAUAUUGCGAACCUAAAUGCAAACUAGGUUGUGAACCUACAUGCAAACUAGGCUGCGAAAUGCUAUUACUUCUCCUAACUUGUCUUCGUGGACAUCAUGUCUUUGGACUACAAUUGAAUCCAAUCUAUUAUUGCACGAGUUCGCUCUUCGUCGUCCACAGCAAUGUCUGCCAAUGUCGCAAAUACUUCAUACAUUCUAUCGUACCUCAACUGACUAGGAGUGGUAAUCAAACCGGCGUAAUUCCAGCAACCCUCGUAUGGGCUCUACUAACAUCCCGUCUCCAUUUCCUCAAUAUGUACCUCUCCGGUAGUGAUGUGACGCCAUUACGCAUCAACACUGAUAUGGCGUGUCUACAUAAAAUGCCACGAAACUCGAAUAAGUGGUAACUGCAAAUAACAUUGCAAUUCUCUGUCCGAAAUGUGACUGCAAACUUUUUCUUUCUAACAUGUUCUUCGUAAAUAACAUCCUCCUCAACCUCAUACAACUUCUUUGAACAUAAGUCAACUGCAAAUAUCACAUCGCAGUAGACAUUCCCAGUUAUCUCAUCUUGAAAUUCCCGAAAUUUGGAAAUGGUAUAAACAGCCUGAAAUUGCUUUUCCAUCUCAUAUUUUGUUGCACAAGGUACCAUAUGUAAGUAAGACUUGAAAUCUGCUUGGAAUUCCUUCUCAACUUUAUUUCGUAAUGCUCGCUAAUAUUGUUCGACAAACUGUUUCAACCAUGUCUUAGAAUGCACAUAACCAUCGAGGAAUGCAUUCAUACUCUCACUGUGCUGAGUUGUCGACAUCCCCGCCCAAAAGGUUGUUUUCAAAUAACAUGGCACCCAGCGACCCCUGUUCUCAAACAACCCCGACAACCAGUCAUUCUCAUGUAAGUCAUAGGUAUCAAGCAUAGCUUUCCACCCUUCUUCAAAUUCCUCAACGACUAGUGUAUCAUACACUAAGCCGUGUAUAGAUGAAAAAAUGGAGCCCUUUUGAACGUGGUACCAGAACUUAUCCGGCGACUUUUUCAAUAAAUGCCACAAACACCAUCUAUGUCUCGUGUUCGGAAAGACUAUCGCAAUUGCAUUUUGCAUAGCCCUAUCUUAAUCGGUAAUAAUUCCAUUUGGUGCUUGACCAUGCAUACACUACAUCCACGUCUUGGAUAGCCAAACGAAUGUAUCUAUAUCUUCAUUUGCCAACAAAUCACAUCCAAGGAGUGUUGAUUGUCUAUGAUGAUUUACUCCAACGAACGGGGCAAAAGGCAUGUCGUAUUUAUUUGUCAGAUAAGUGGUAUCAAACGUCACUACAUCCCCAAACUCUUUAUACGCUUGCCUACACCUCUUAUCUACCCAGAAGAGAUUCCUAAACCGUGACUCUUCAUCUAAAUCCAUACAGAAGUAAAAACCCUGGCACUGUGCUUGAAUUUGUAAAAAGUAUGAUUGUAUUGCCACGACAUCUCCUUCACCGAGUCUCAAUCGCCUCCCUUGUUCAAUGUAAUUUCGACAAUCCUUUUCCACGCAAGUUAUGUUCUCAUACCCCCUCGCGUCAACAACUGCUGAGUUGUAACUCUUGUGCCUCUAUUCCAGCCAUAUCAUUCACUUUAAGCUUGCGUUUGACAUUUGCACUCAAUUCUCGAUUGCAAUGAUAUAAUCUAGAUUUUGAAGGACUAGUUUUAUGAUUGUGUUCGAGAUCAACCAUGCGGAUUUUUCAUAAUCCACGAAUAUCUGAAGAAGCAUUAAGUCUUGCUUUGCAACCUGUCUGAAUUGUUAGCUACGGCUUCAAAGAAGUACCUGCAUUACUACUUCUCCGGCCCUCACAACAACAUGUCAACGUAACGUAAUUCACUACUCCAUCUUGUCCCUUUCUAGAAUUCCUCCUCCUAACCGGAAAACCUACGUCAUAGGCAUACCUCUUAUUAAACUCAUACACCUCUUUCUCAUCUUUGAACUCUAUACCAACUUUAGGCACAAUCACGCCAUCUCCUCCUAAGAUUUCAUUGUCUAAUGGGAUGACAUUGUCUAUAUUGUUGUCGAUAUUCUCCAUAUUGUUGUCAUCAUUGGAUUCUACUAAAACUUCAUCGUCCAAUACUUCCACAACUUCUUUUCCUACAUCAUAUUAAAUGACAAUAUGAAUUUUGAGUAUUGUUCAAAUGUUCAAGGAAAUCUUGCUUCACUAAUAUUAUAAAUGAAACAAGAAAGUUGUCGAGGCAAUGAAAAUACAUAGGUUUCGAAACAAUGCAUCUUCUAAAAAUUACAAUGACAUUACCUUUCUCCAUCAUUCCGUCCAUCCCUAUGCCACCAAGUUGUUUCCAGAUUCUGUACACAUUUUCGAUAAUGGACAGUAAUUUAAAAAAUUAAAUAAUAAUAAUAAUUCCAAUACAAACACAAUAUAUUUUUUACUGUGUUUUGGAUAAAAGAAGAUGUCGAAAUGGGUAAUGUUCCUAAUUUUCAAACCAUUUCAGUGAGACUGCAGCAUUUUGUGUCGAAAUGGGUAAUGUUCCUCAUCAAAAUAAUUACCUAUUACAAGUAAAGUGGCUCAAUCCCCGUCGGAAGAAACUGGUUUCGUUGCGUCGUCUCAGUCAUCUUCAGCCGAUACUAUUAAGUGAAUCGGAAGGUUUCGAUCGAGCUCGGGAUCACGAAGGAAGUAUGUGGACGGAUUUUAUUUUGGUGGAACUUGUUCUUACCUUCAAUCUCCCGCACUUAGUCCUCCGGUUUUUGUCUGAUUUUUGGUAGAAAUUUUCGAAGGGUUUUUCUCUAAUUUUUACCUCUGUGUGCAAGGGACAACAUGAACUCGGUUACCUCUCUGCUAUUUACAAUAUUCAACAGUAAAAGAAAAGUGUGACUUUUUCCCACCAAUUUUAAGUGGUCACGUGACCAAAAAAUUUAAAAAGCUGUGCACAGUAGAUGAUAUUCUUUCUUUUUUCUUUGGUCCUCAUUAAUUUUGAAUUCUUGGAUCGUUGCUCAUUGUUUGCCUGCCAACCCACGUGAUUGACCCAGAGACCAAGACUUUCUUCUUUUCCAAAAUUUGCCCUUGCCCACUAACUUUCCAUCCCAAAACUAAUUGUAUUUACUUUCCAGUUGUCCGUGCAGUUGUCGUCAACCCUCCAAGUAACUGCAAUUAACCACACACCCAAGAAUGGCAGAGAGCGCAGUAUCAUUUCUGUUGAAUCAGCUAGCAACACUUAUCCAAGAAGAGAGACAACUAUUAGGCAGACUUGAUGAAAACGUCCUGGAUAUCCAAAAGCAACUGGAGUUCAUGCGGGCUUUCUUGCGAGUUGCUGAUGCAGAAGAAGAUGGAGAUCCUCAACUCCAAGCAUGGGUUAAGCAAGUGAGGGAGGUUGCUUAUGAUGCUGAAGAUGUCAUCGAAACAUUUAUGCUACAGUUUGUAAAUCUCCGGGCAGAAGAUGGAUUUUGCGGCUGUGUCCGGAAGAUCUAUCUCUCUUUAAAGAAUCUCAGAGUGCGCCAUAAUAUUGCGUCUGAUUUGGAAAACAUCAAGGGAAGGGUCACGAACAUUUCUAAAGGACGUGAGAUGUUCCAAAGAGAUUCUGGUGUGCAGCUGAGAUCUAGAUCUACCUUACUGUUUGGUGGGCGAGUUGAUGCAAUUUUGGUGGACGAAGCUAAGCUUGUAGGAAUUGACAGGCAAAAAGAAUUGCUCAUUAAAGAGCUUCUUGAUGAUGAAACUCGGCUUAAAGCUGUUUCUGUGUGGGGAAUGGGAGGAUCGGGGAAGUCCACAUUGGUUAAACGGAUUUACGAGGAUGAACGAGUGAAAGGGAAAUUCCAGUGCCAUGCUUGGAUCACUGUUUCUCAGUCCUUUGACAUCAUGAAGCUUCUCAAAGACUUGAUUCGAAAGUUUCACCAUGAAAUCAAGGAAUCUAUGCCUCAGGAACUGGAACGCAGUCAAGAAGUUGAAUUGAAAGAAUUUGUCAAGGAAUUCCUCUCUGAACGUCAGUAUAUCAUAGUUUUUGAUGAUGUAUGGAGCACUGGUUCAUGGAAUGCUCUCAAGCAUGCACUGCCCGACAAAAAUAUGAGUAGUCGUGUGGUACUCACUACACGGACACUCGAUGUGGCUAACACAGCCAGUCAGCCCGGAUAUCCGGGCUGUCACGGCUGUGUCCAUGAAAUGGAGGCCUUAUCUUAUGAAGACUCUUGGAAACUACUUUGUAACAAGACUUUUGGAGAUGAAAUCUUCCCCCCACAUCUACAAGACUGUGCAGAUGCCAUAUUGGAUAAAUGUAAGGGCUUGCCUCUUGCCAUUGAUGCUGUUGGUGGCCUAUUGGCUAUGAAGGACAAGAACAGCAUAGAGGACUGGAGUACCGUCUCUAGCUACCUUAACACCAAGCUACAUGGUUAUAGUGAUAACCUUGAAAGAACACGACAGGUACUUCUUCUAAGUUACUAUGAUUUGCCUUACUAUCUCAAGACUUGUCUAUUGUACUUGAGCAUUUUCUCUGAAGAUAGUACUAACUUUGAAAGAAUACGACAGGUACUUCUUCUAAGUUACUAUGAUUUGCCUUACGAUCUCAAGACUUGUGUAUUGUACUUGAGCAUUUUCCCUGAAGAUCAUAUGAUUGACCAUAUGAGAUUGAUUCGGCUAUGGAUAGCUGAAGGAUUUGUGCAAGGGAAAGAAAGGUUGACAAAAGAAGAGGUUGCACUUCAUUAUCUUGAGGCGCUCAUUAAUAGAAGCCUAAUCCAAGUUGCAGAGAGAUAUCCAGAUGGAAGGGUAAAUCUUUGUCGUAUCCAUGAUAUUGUACAUGAAAUUCUUGUUUCUAAGUCAAAUGAGCAGAAUAUAGUGAACACUGAAAUGGGAAGAGAUUCAGAGUUGCCUGAUAAAGUUCGACGGUUUGCAAUACGUUCUUCCAUAGACAGCGGCCACCUAGAAACUAAUAGGUUGAAGUAUCUACGAUCACUGAUAUUAACAGCGUCCGUAGAUUUACGAUUUGAAUCAUUCUUAUCAAAGCUGCUGUCAGGUAGUCGAAAGUUGCUAAAGGUGUUGGACUUAAGAGAUGCUCCACUAGGAAAGAUCUCAAAUGAAGUUUUCAAACAUUAUCAUCUUACGUAUUUGAGUCUGAGGGGGACAGGGGUCAAGGACAUUCCAGAGUCAAUUGGACAGCUUCAAUGCCUAGAGACUUUAGAUCUUAAACACACUAAGGUCAUUUCUUUACCAAUUGAGAUCCUAAAACUCAAAAGACUCCGACAUCUCUUAGUAUAUAAAUAUAAGCCACGGAUAUGUGGUGUGUUUCCCUUUGAUAAUGUUCAAAGCUUUAAGGCUCCAUACCGAAUAGGAUGCUUAUCAUCCCUACAGAAGCUUUGUUGUAUAGAGGCAGACCAAAUGGGUGACACUACGAUAGUGAGAGAGAUAGGGAAGCUAACCCAAUUGAGGAGAUUGUGUAUUAGGAAAUUAAGAAGAGAAGAUGGGAAGGAUUUUUGCUCGUCCCUCAAGAAGUUAACUGAACUACGCUCGUUGGAUGUCGGUUCCAUUAGAAAGGAUGAGACCAUUGAGUUGCAGGAUGAUCUCUAUUUUAAAUUUCUUCGAAACCUAUACCUGGGGGGGAGGUUGGAGAAGGUACCACAAUGGAUACCUUCUCUUCACUCGCUGAGUAAAGUAGUUCUGAGAGAUAAUAUGUUAAGCAACGAUCCAUUAGAAUCCCUUCAAGAUUUGCCUAGACUAGCAUUUCUUGAACUUGAUGGGACAUUUGAAGGUGAGAAAUUGGAGUUUAAGGCUGAAAAAUUUCAACGUCUCAAGAGUUUAGGGAUUUGGAGGUUUAAUGGAUUAAGAAAAAUCGUGGUGGAGAAGUGUACCAUGCCAAAUCUUGAUGUGCUAUUCUUGGGGCAUUGCAAGUUGGUAGAGUUGCCUAUUGAUUUCGAGCAUUUGAACAAGCUUCGAUACUUUCAAAUCAGUUAUAUGGCCAAAAACUUUGUCGAGGCACUAGAAACUCAGAAACGAAGUGAAGGGAGUAAUUGGAAACUAGCUCAUGUCUGCAAUAUUUUAGUAGAUGAUGAACAAGGAUGGGGAUACUUGUAACAGAGAUUCCACUUGUUUGUAGUAUAGUCUUGUAUCAUUUUUUCUUUGUCAUACUGGAUUGAGUUUUGACGCUGCCAAAAGUAGCUUUGGCUUCUAUUUUGUUACCUAUAUUAUUUCCUUGUACGUAUUUGUCUUCUUUCAUGUCUCAUGAGUCAUGCUCGUAUCAUAGUAAAAUAAAUUGAAAGAAGCUCUAAUUAUUCUGUAUUCACUUCUUUAUUGAUUCUAUUAUUUUAAGGGCUUCUAAAGGAAAUAGAGAAGUCAUGCUUAAAAAAAAAAAAAAAAAAAGGUCAAAUGUAUCAUUUAGAGUCUUGAUUUUUGAGCCAAAUGGAUAAAUAUUUGGAGGAUUCAAUUUUCUUUGGUACAAAAAGUCGUUCAAUUGUAGGUAAGAGCAACACAGUCCAAUACUUCUGAACUUUCAGCAUCUCUCUCUCUCUCUCAAAUUUGGUAAUCGUGAAUUGUUAUAAUGUUAUUGUUUUUGGUGUAAAUCUUAUUACUUAUACUCUGAAAAUAGUCUCUCUCUUUUUUUUAAAAAAAAAAUAAAAAAGGGUAAAACAUAAUAUUUAAACUUCCAAAAAAAAAAAAAAAGAGAGGUCAAAGAAUUUAAAUUAAUUAUCAUUUAUUUAUAACUAACAAAAGUAUAAUUUUUCAAGUCAAAAAUUAAGAACGAAGCUUGGUGUACAGAUAGGGGUUCACAGAAACCAUACCGACACCUCAUAAUAGGGUGGGUGAGUUAUUUUCUGGCCAUCUUUUAUUCGGAGGACCACGCUAUGCUACCAGGCCUGUAAGCCUCUCUCACAUUUGGGAUGGGGUGGGUUUUUUAGGGUAUUUUUUUAACCAUGGGGGACCCACUGAGGUGAGAGAAAUGAGAAAGGAGGCCUCUACCAGGCCUCUUAUUUGGAUGGGCUCUAGACUUGUGAGUAUUCUAAAAUUCUUCGAGUUUGCAGUUAGUCAGAGGGUAGUUCAAGUUGCUUAUAAGCUAAUUCUUCCUCCGUCGUGUAACAUUCAUCCCGUGUUUCAUGUAUCCCAACUAUGCAAAGCAGAGGGAGCAGUGCGAGCUGUGAAAGAAGUACCUAACCAAUUGAAUGAGGAGUUGGAGAUGUUGGUUGAGCCAGAGGCAAUACUUGGGGUGCUAUCGGGCCUAGUUAGCAAUAUUCGAAACAUGGAUGUUUUAAUACAAUGAAAGGAACUACCACCAGUUGAAGCCACUUGGGAAUUUUACGACAUGAUUAAGCAACAGUUUCCUUCUUUUCACCUUGAGGACAAGGUGAAACUUAUGGGGGAGGUAAUGAUAGGCCCACAAUCCAUACGACUUACCAAAGGUGCAAAGGCAAUGUGCACAAUUACAGCACAAAUGGAACAAUCACAGCCAUUACAGCAUUAAUGGUACACAAUUACAGCACCAAUUAGGAAGGAAAACCAACUAUAAAUAAGAGAAAGGAUCACGUUACAGGCAGCCAGAAUUUGGGAGAUUCCUUGGGAGAGUGUGGACCUCUCGAAUGUCAAUUUUUCUUUUUAUUUCCAAAUAAAGUAAUCUGCCUUCCUAUAGCAGAUUUAUUUCCAAUUGUAAUCAUUAAUCAUCACCGAUUAGUGAUUAAAUUCUUAUAAUAAAGCUCCACUUCUGCUUGGGAUCUAUCAUUUUGCUGCAUUAAUUUGUCGUCUCUCUAAUAAUUUAAGCUUUUAAAUGAGAUAGGUAGUUAGGUAAACAUUAUAUCAAAACAAAGAGAUCGUGAAUUCAAGUCUUUGCGCCAUCCGUUAGUGGAAAUUCUACAUGUGUUGGACGUUUACUAAAAUAUGAACCUGUCCUCUUGAGAAGUGCAUUAAAGACAAUUAUAAAUGAAUAUAUACUCCAACCAUAUAAGCUUUUAAAUAAGGUGGUGGUAUCUUUUUGGACACUACACGUGCAUACCUUUAUGGCAUGUUUGGGAGGGUAGAUUAUCCGAAUAGAAUUGUAUAAGAAAACGAAGGCAAAAAUGCUUGUUCAUAGUACUGUUCAAUACAAAUCACUUACUGAGUAUGGUAAUGUUCCAAUUCUACCCCUAUCUUUGCAUCUAUAAAUUAACAAAUUUAUGAUAAAAUGAAAGUAAACAAGUUUGGCCAAGUAAGAACACUGCCAGCUUCCUGAUCAUGAAACAAGACAAUCAAAAACAGCAUGGUCGCUAAUUGGCUUGUAAUAAUUGUAUCUUUAAGCAUCAUUAGGAGCUAGAAUUGAAGAAUGCUCUUCGACUUUUCAGAUACAAGACUAGAAACGUGAAAUUUUUUAAUUUCUUUUUUCUGGUAAUGUGACUUUUUUUUUCCCUCUUUCCAGCAUGUCAUGCUUUGGUUUGGAACCAAAAAGUAAGAGGAAAGACUAUAAACAUUGCAGAUUAGGACUAAACAUAAUGGAAGCUUCAGUUAUCUUCACAAACGGAUCAAAAUCUUAGUUUGGCUAUGCAUACAUUGCCGUUGAAAGAGCUCUGAGGAAUAUCCUAAUUAAGAUGUAUAUAAAAAUUUUCAAGAGAACUAAAUAUUUCAACUAAAGCUAAAGCUAAAGGAAAUUAUCCUAUUGUUGAGUGCUAGGAAGCAUGAACAUUUUAAUAGGGCAAACCAUGGUGUAAAAACAAUCAUAUUCUACAGAGGGCCUUUUAUAAUUUGUAGUUAACAUUAUUACAUAUUUGUAGUUAACAUUAGUCACGAAAAUUCAAUUUGCAAAUUAGUGAAAUGGCGUUUACUAGUCCAAAUGGAUUGUAGUUUUCUCGUUGUAUCUUGUUUUCGGGCUCACAGUUUUUACUUGGUUUCUCCUCAGUUGGGCCCAGCAGUAUGCCGUGCCAGUUAAUGGUUGGGUUCUAUGCAUAUGCCAAGUCUUUGGAGAUAGACGUGGAGAAGGAAGAGUUAGAAGGUACUUUUGUUAUACUGAUGGAUCCUAAAUGAACUUUCCGUUUCCACAGUUUUAUUUUUAUACCCCAGCAUGUUUCUCCCCUGCCAGUUUGAUGAAAUGAACUUUCCCUUUCCACAGUUUUAUUUUUAUACCACAGCAAAUUUCUCUCCUGCCAGUUUGAUGAAAAAUUAAUCGACAGAUUAACCAUGCUCAUACUUACACUCUUUGAUGCUCGGACUCUUCGAAAUGGUUGGAGUACCCGUGUCGGACACGACACGACAUGGGUAUGGGUAUGGGUAUGGGUAUGGAUAUGUGUCGGAUCCUCCAAAUUUAAACUGGACACUUCACCCUUUUUUACUUCUUUUGUCUUUUCCUUUUCUUUCCCGUUUCCUAUAAUUGAAAACUAAACCCCAAAAUUUUAUUUUAUUAGUCUUAACAUCUUAUAUAAUACUCAUUUCAUUUUUUGCGAACUAUUGAUUUUGGUCUAUUCAAAAUGACAUAUUGGGUUAAUAAAAAAAAUUGAAAUUUGAAAGACGUACCCACGUACCCGUGUCCGAAAUUUGGAUUCUUUUUAACCAUGUCCCCGUAUCCUACAUUUUAGAAAAUAAAAUAUCCGACACUUAGAUUUACCCGUACCCGAAUCCGAGCAUCAUAGCUUACACUUUCCAUGUGCACAUGCAAAGGGGGUUGUCCACGUGCAUGUCCAAAUUAGUAUCCACCUUCAUUCGCUCAUAGAGACACUUCCUACCUCCGUUGGACGGAUACUUCAACUAGGGUAGCAUGUUUGUGUUCGACACGUGUCAGACACCGACUCUCUUUGAACACUCUACCAUAGCCAUUUUUCUUUUUUAUCUGAAGUAUUAUAUAUUUUUAACUUAAAGGGCUAGUGAUUGUGAGGCUCCAAUUCUUGAUUGGAAGGGACACCAAAUGCUUCUGCCUUUCCAUCCCUUGGAUGGAUAGAGGGGGAGGGCAGAGCUUUUGGUCACGUGUCGGACACCGACACUCCUUGAACACUCUACCACGAUAACUUUCCUAUUUAUAUCUGAAAUAUUACAUAUUUUUAACUUAAAGGUAUUAUUAAAUAACAAAUAGACGUUGAUAUUUAAAAGAUUUCAACAAGAAAAUUAAUAACAAGUAUAAGCUAAAUUUAUAUUAUAUAAAUGAAGAAUUUUAAAGAAUUUAAUCAAUAUGUCGACAUGUUGUGUCAAUACUUUUUUGAAAAAUCGUGUAUUGAUGUAUCGGAUAUGUGUCAUGUCGGACACACGUGUCCAUGUCAAUGCAUUGUAGCUCCCUAUUGUUAAAUCAUGUGGUUAUCUUAACUUUUUUUCCUUUUCUCAGACGCUAAAUGGCACACUCGAGAAGAUGUAAAGAAGGCUCUUACAUUUGCUGUAUACAAGAAGGCACAGAAGACGACAGCAACUAAAGUAGAUCAAAUGUGCAAGGGGGUUGAGAAAGGGCAAAACUUGUUUGCAGAUUACACUGUCGAAAUUGGAGAACUUGCUACUCUGUUUAUCUCGGGACCAUUUGCAAUUACUCAGCAUCUCAUCUCUUCAUGGGCCAAUCAAGUUGAUGAUAAUGGUGAUGGAGCACAGAUGAAACAAGCUGGCAAUUCAUUUUGAAGCUUGUAGUUUCAGAACAAAACGAUUGUCUAUUAUGAAUGUUCCAAAAUUGAACUGUUUUAUGUACGCAUCGACUUGUAAAUCCUAUUAUUCCUUUUCGCAUUGUUGUUUCUUAGAAAAUGUGAUCUUUUACAUUCAAACUUUAAAAUCUCAUCAUUUACAAAAUACAUCAGUUUUAACUUCAUUUUAUAUUAAAAUCUUUUUCUUUACAAGGCAUAGGACUAUAUAGUUCACUUUACCUAGCAAUCCAUUAAAGUUUGUGAUUCAAGUUACAACUUUAAUAUGGUGAUGAAGAUUUUUUUAAGUAGGCAAGGCUGCGUCACACAUACCCCAAAUUCGAGUAGUGACAUCGAAUAUCCUUAAAACCAUCUCCAUGUAUAUGAUUACCUACUCGUUAUAUUAUGUACAAAUUUGCUUAUUAUCUCUAUAGAAGAAUAUGCAAAUAAAGUGAAACUUUGUACAUUUGUAUUUAUACCUUGCUAAGUCCUGUUAAAUUUCUAUGCAUCUUUGCAUUAGAGCAUGCUCAUUUGAUUGCCAAUCGAGCUAAAGAAUCCGUAGGGUUGAAAAAUCCCCUAAGAAGAGGAUCAUCUCGAGGCAGAAUUCCUUGGAACUCUUCCAAACAAAAGAUGAAUUCUAACAAGUCUCUUGUAAUAAAAACUAUCAUAUUGGACAACUUAAUAGAUAAUUUUAAGUCCUUUUUUGCUAUUUAAUCCUCUCUACGGAACAUACAGUGACAUAAUUUCAAGUGUAUGUUGAUUCUUGAUCAUCUUUUAAUAGCUUACCAAAGCGAAGACUAUCAAUAAGAGAACUUGUACACAAGUCCAGCGUCUAGGGUAGUUUAAACAAAAAAUUAUAGAUUGUGACUUGAAUGAAAAAAUAACUGAUAGGAUACCAACUGGAGAGAACAAGACCAGAUUAUGAAUAAGUAGUUAUUUGAUUAAAAAAAGACUACCAAGUUACUUGUUAUUUAAUAUGGUGGAAUGAUCAAUUCCCAUUUUCUGGAUAUUACUUUUUCUUGCUUAGAUAUUUUAUAUAAUAUUGUAUUCUUUUUAAUUCAGGUUUAUUUAGAUCCGCCCAGUGAAGAUACUUCUCCAAAAGUUGGUGGGUUCUCCUCUCCUUUCUACGAUUGUUAAUAAUUUCAAUCUUGAUUCACGUUUAAUUUAUUUCUUGUGGUGAUUGAAUCCAAAUAUAAGCCAAUUACACUGCUGUAACAGUACUUGUACUUGCAACUGGGAUGUAUUGGCUGAAGCAACUAUUGCUCUUUAUACAAAUGCAUUUGGUUAGCAACUCAUAAGAAUGAAGGUAUCUACACUAGCAACAUGGGUUUGCAUAACUCAUCUCACAAGGUGAUGCAGGAGGAUUCGAGUAGAGUGAUGCUCAUUUGUCAGAUAACACAAUGAUGGCGCUAAGAUAUCAUGAGAUGGCAGAUCGACGCAAAGAUGGGAAGUGAAUCGCAAUUAUUUCCUUGAUUGGGGGAAUUUGACACACUUUUGAUAAUUUGGCCAUAACUUUGGCUACGAUUAUCAGAAUCGCGAUCAUGACCCUAAUUUGAAAAGCUCUCUUCGGUGUGCACGACGUGGUGGGCAUCAAUUUCGAGCCCAAAAUUCGCUAUUUUUCUUUUCGAAAUUUAAUUUUUAGUUAUUUUUUACUAUUUAUGGUAAUAUUUCAUGUCCUUUUUUCCAUAUGCUAGAAAACUCGAAUUGAGUCAAAUUUUUGAUAACUUACUUCUUUUAUUUAAUAUUUUAUUUUGGUGUAUUUUCGGGAUUUUGCCAUUUUUGAUAAUUUUCCCAUAAUUUCAUUUUUUUCAGCUAUUUAACCCGACUUGUGUGUUAAUUUUCAUCAUUCUGAAUUAUUAAUAAUAUUAGUUGAGUUUUCAGAGAAUUUUCUUUGGUUUUGAGCGUUUUCUUUCAUGUUGUUCUUACAAAUCAUCUAUUGCAACGAGCCUAUAGGAUAAUCGUUAUCCUACCUGGCGUCAGUUGGUAUCAGAGCGUCAGUAUCUUCUUGGGAGAUAAAUCCCAUCAAUUAUAAUGGUUGGUGGACGUGGACGUGGUCGUCGAGGGCAGGUUUCGAUUGAGGAAGUCCCACACCAUGAUCGUAAUAAUCAGAAUGUGAUGAUUGAAGAUUUGCAUAGACAAGUUACAAAGUUAACCCAAAUUUUGGCGGAGUAGGAGUUCGGUAAUCAUGACGUGGAGCGUCAUAAUUUCAAUACCAGUUUUGAAAACCUGUAUCACAAUCGUGCUCGAGUUUGGGAGCAUCGUGGAUGAGAGGAUCAUCAUGUGGAUCUCGGUUUCAAAGUGGAUCUGCCCGAGUUUUCUGGUAUGUUGCAGGCUGAAGGAUUUAUUGAUUGGCUGAAUGAAGUGGAGCAGAUUUUUGAAUAUAAGGAGGUUCCAAAUCGUGUCAAAGUGAAACUAGUCGCCAUCAAGCUCAAAGGUAGAGCAUCCGCAUGGUGGGAACAGUUGAAGCAUUUAAGGGAGCGACAGGGAAAAUCCAAAAUUACUGACUGGGAGAAGAUGAAGAAAAAGAUGAAAGGGCACUUCCUCUCGGCUACACUCAAACCUUGUUUCAGAGGCUCCAUUCACUGAGGUAAGGUGCAAGAUCAAUCAAUGAUUAUAUUGAGGAAUUCUAUCAGCUGGUGGCUCGAAAUGAUUUAUAUGAGACGAGGAGCAUAUGGUAGCAUGGUAUUUGGGGGGAUUAAGGCAGCCCCUGUAGGAUGUUCUAAGCCUUCAUUCAUUGUAGACGGUUUCUGAGGCAUAUCAGCGGGCACUUGCAGUGGAGAAACAGCAGAGUAGGAGGCCAGUAGUAGGGGAUGAAGGUAGUCAGCCAGUUCGCCCUCAAGAAUCUCGUCCUGCUUAUCGGCCACAAUGGGAUAAUUCCAGCUCAAGUAUUAAGUGUUUCAGAUGUGGUGAACAGGAGCGUAGGGCGACUGAUUGCAGGAAGCCUACUGGUCAGAAGAAUAAAAAACUUCUGAUUGAUGAGGAUAUGAUAAAGGAGUUCGAGGAGGUUUGGGAGCCUGUGUAUGAUGAUGGUGAAGAUGAGGACGUGCUAUAUGGAGAUGGCCAGGAGACUCUGGUCGUUCGAAAGAGCCUGCUAACUCCCAAGGGAGAUUCUGGGGACAAUUGGUUGAGGACCAACGUUUUUCACACAACUUGCACAGUUGCUGAUGAAGUCUGCAAGCUGAUAAUUGAUAAUGGCAUUUGUGAGAAUGUAGUAUCUGAGGAGGCUAUCAAGAAACUGCAACUGAAGAUGGAUUGUCAUCCCAAACCAUACAAAUUGUCUUGACUGAAUAAAGGUAGUGAGGUAACGGUAGAAAAACGGUGCUUAGUGUCUUUUUCGAUUGGAAAAAAAUAUUUUGAUAAUGCUUGGUGUGAUGUGGUAUCAAUGGAUACGUGUCAUGUUUUGUUGGGACGACCUUGGCAGUAUGAUCGUAGCGUUAUCCAUGAUGGGCUAAAGAAUUCUUAUUCUCUUAGCAUCAAAGCGAAGAAAAUUGUUUUGGUGCCUCGUAGGGAAGAAAACAUCCCUGCCUCGAUAGUUAAUAACAUCAAUCUACUUUCUAUGUCCAAGUUCUUGGUUGAGAUCGGGCGUGAAAAAAUAGUUUAUGUUUUAAUGCCUCGUGAAAAUAGUGCAGCGAAUGUGGAUUCGGAAUUACCAGCAGAAGUGCAGCAACUACUGAUGGAGUUUUCUGACUUGAUGCCAAAGGAUCUUCCUCCAGGAUUACCACCUAUGAGGGACAUUCAACAUCGGAUCGACCUUAUUCCAGGGUCGAGUCUACCAAACCGACUAGCAUAUCACCUCAGUCCCAAGAAAGCUAAAGAGUUACAGCGACAGGUGGUAGGAUUAUUGGAGAGGGGCUACAUUCGUGAGAGUACAAGUCCUUGUGCAGUUCCUGCUCUACUAGUGCCGAAGAAAGAUGGGUCGUGGCGUAUGUGUGUUGACAGCAGGGCAAUUAACAGGAUUACAGUGAAGUACAGGUUUCCAAUUCUCUUCCUGGACGACAUGUUGGAUCAAUUGUUCGGUUCUAAGGUCUUCUCAAAAAUUGACUUUAAAAGCAGAUAUCACCAGAUCAGAAUCAGGCCUCGAGAUAAGUGGAAGACAGUGUUCAAGACACAGCAUGGAUUGUACAAGUGGAUGGUCAUGCUCUUUGAACUAUCCAAUGCACCCAGCACUUUUAUGAGGUUUAUGCAUCCGAUUUUACGGCCUUUCAUGGGGAAGUUUGUGGUAAUCUAUUUUGACGACAUACUUAUUUAUAGUCUAACAUGGGACUUACAUUUUAAUCAUCUUCGUGUUGUCUUUGAUGUAAUGAGGAUGGAGCGCUUAUUCAUCAAUCAGAAUAAGUGUUCUUUCUUCACAACUUCUAUAACUUUUUUGGGAUUUUUUGUGCCUACUGAUGGUGUUUAUGCAGAUCAAUCCAAAUUUGAGGCAAUUUUGAAUUGGCCCAAGCCAAAAACUUUGCACGAUGUCAGGAGUUUCCAUAGAUUGACAUCUCUCUAUUGUGAAUUGGCCCAAGCCAAAAACUUUGCACGAUGUCAGGAGUUUCCAUAGAUUGACAUCCCUCUAUUGUCGGUUCAUCAGAAACUUCAGUACCUUAAUUGCUCCUACCACAGAGUGCCUUAAAGGGCGUGAUUUUUGGAGGACCGAGGAGGCAAAGGCUAGCUUUCAGUUGGUUAAGCAGAAGAUGAUGGAGGCCCCAGUCUUGGUACUUCCGGACGUUGAGAAGUUGUUCGAGGUAAACUAUGAUGCGUCUGGAGUUGGUAUUGGUGGUGUUCUGAGUCAGGAGGGGCAUCCAGUAGCCUUUUUUAGUGAGAAACUAUCGGGAUCGAAGAAAAAUUAUUCCACUUAUCACCUGGAGUUCUAUACCAUAGUUUAGGCUCUGAAGUAUUGUCGUCAUUACCUGGUACAGAGGGAGUUCAUCCUUGUCAAUGAUCAUGAGGCCUUGAAGUACAUCAAUGGUCCGCACAAUCUAGUUCAUAGCAGAAACAUCCUGAGACAUGGUAAUUAGUAGGGGAAGUAGUGGCUUUUUGGGCAAAGAAGAUUUCUUAAUUUAUUUUUCAUUAUUAAAGUAGCACAUCUCCUUCUUGAUUGGCUAACCUGCGAAGGUAAUUGAUGGAUUUUCGUUUGCCAUCUCUCUCUCUUGGACCAUUCCAGUGACUGCAAGGAAAAAAUUUCUUCUGGUUUCUCUUGUCAAUUGUGUUUAUUAUGCAUCCUUUUAGUAGCAUCAUACCGAAAACUUUGUGUGAUCUAUUAAAACACAUAGUAUCUGGGAUUCUUGCCAUAUUCUGUUGAACUUAUUAAUUGAAAUUUGUAAAAUCUUGGUAUGGGAUCUGCAGCAUCUGCUAUAAUACUUAAUCAAAUGCAAUAUUUUUACAGAUGUUGAUGCAAAAGAGAUUAUUAUCUGAUAUCUUUGCUCUAUCAAAAUGUAAGUAUAUAUAAUAAUUCUUUUGUUCUAAUAGUCCAAGUUCUCAUUUGAUCCCACUGCAAAGUUAGGUCUUGAUGUUGUAUCCUGCACUAUUACGAGGUACAUUCGGCUACAAUUGAGAAUUUUAAGUAUGAAUAUGUUCUACAAGCCUUGGCAAGGCUAUGUAUUUUUUAAGUAUGACAACUGAAUAAAUCUCAACAAAUGGGGUAGCAUUCUUUGAACCCAUAAAAACCAGUAAGGAAGCUAGUGACUAAGGUCUUCAUCAACAUAGUGAACCCGUCAGAUGUACGAAUCAAUUAGUCGAUGGCCUUAGGUUCUAUUAGACCUUUCUUUGCUUUCUGUUGACCUACAAGUUUGACUUCCUACUAAGGUCAAAUGAGGGCCUUUCACCUGGAGUAAAGUUUUGCUCAGGUAAUUGACUUCUAAGAUAGAUAAUUUCAGGAGAAAAAGAGGCAUUUAUCCAUUACACAUAUGGUGUGCUUCCAUUCCUUUUCUAUGUAUUUCAUUUGUCUCGAUAUAAAGAGAGAUGUGAUUCAAGAAAAUAAAUCCAUGCUUGUGAAGUUUCAGUAAUAGAAAGCAUCAAGUCUAAAUUAGAAGAAGAAUUUGAAUGUUCUCGUUCUCUCUGGUCACAAGAGUGUUUUCAUGCACAAUAAUUCCGUUGUUGAGCAAAAAUUUACCAAUUUAUGAAGACAUCAUCCAUUAUGGUAAUGAAUUCAUGAAACUCUAAUCAUUUUCUUAAAAUCCUUCUUUGGGAGAGCUCUAUUUUAGCAAUGAUGGAGUUGAAAGGACAACAGAGAAUAUAAGGUUGACCCAGCACUUGUAGGCAUCUAUGAUGCUCGGACUCGGGUACAGGUAUCGGAUACGGGUACAUAUCUAGGAGUCGGAUCUUCCUCAUUAUAAAAAUUAAGAUACGGGAAUAUGGUUAAAAGAAUCUGAAUUUUGGAUAUGAGUGCUGGGAUACUUCUUACAAUUUUUUUUUUUUUUAAGAUGAUAGAACAAUGCCAAAUGACAAAGAGAAAAAUGGUUCAAUUAAAGCAAAUUGCCACAAUAUUAAAUUAAAUUGUAAACAAAUUAACUGAUAUUGAUUAUUAAAAAAUGAACUCGUAAUUUAUUUACUUUAUCAACUCCUUUGAUAAAAUCAAUUUAAAAAAUGGAUUAUAAUUUGAAAUCAAUUUAAAUUUUGAGUAAAAAAAAUUCUUUUUCAAAAAAUUAAGCAAAAAAAAUCAAUUUCAAUGUCUUAUAUAAUUUUUUAAAAAAAUUAUAGAAAUAAAUUUAGAUUUAAUACCAAAAAAGAUAUAUCACUAAAUCAUUUUAAUUACAACAUAAAAUGUUCACAACGAUAAAAUAUUAGAAAUAAAAAAAAUUAAACAAAAAUAAACUCAAAUUAAAUUAAAUACAAAAAUAAACUAAUUAACUAAAUCCAUUGGACUUCAAAAUAGCCCAUUUAACUCCCUCAUUAAUUUUGUCCAUUGGACUUCCCAACAGCCCAUUUAACCCUUCCAAACGUAUUGUCUUCCCUAAUUCACUUUCUUCCCCAACUCCUCUAUCUCUCUACAAUUUCUUCUGCCGAAAACUAAGAAGCAAGACACCUGCCAUCUUUUCCCUUUGCUGCCGUGGCCGAGUAUAAAAUAAAGGAUCUGAUCCAUAUCUCGUGUCAUGUCGUGUCGACACGGAUACUUCUCCACUUUUGGAGAGUCCGAGCAACACAAGUAGGCAUGAUCAAUUCCUACAAAUGGAACCAAAUUGAUGUAGGGAGAACAUAGGACCGAGCGUGAGACACCUAAGGACAUAGAGCAAUUUGAUUAUUGAAAGAGAGAAUCAGAAGAUGACAGGGAUAUACAUGAGGCAUUUGACCAGUUGUAUGUAGAGAGCAUUAAGUUAAAGAAGAUUAAUAGUUCUACCUAGUGAUGUCAACGGGGUGGGGAAGGGUGGCGGGUAUGGAUCGGGCACCCUUCCCUACCCCCACCCCCAUUGGAUAGUUUCCCAACACAUACCCGUUUAAGUUGGGGACGAGUCAGGAGCAGGGUGGGUCAAGUCUCCUGUCCUAUUUAUCACCCCAUUUAUUUAUUUACUUAUUGCUUUUAUUUUUUUAUUUCCUUAGUUAAUAAAUAUUUUUACUUUUUCACCAAUAUGUUAAAAACAACUUAUGUUCUAUUUGAAAAUGAUGAUAAAUCUAUUAUUUUUGUUUGAUAAAAACUUAUAUUUGAAAUUAAUAUUAAAUGGGGCGGGUAAUGGGUCGGGGACUAUGUUUCCCGUACCCAUCCCAUACCCGUUUCGGGGUAAUGACCCUCACCCCAUACCCAUCCCAUGAACCCGAUCAGACAAGUAUUCCUCGUCCCGAAGGGGCAGGGCCCCACGGGUAUCGGGUUAAACGGGCUUUUUUGCUAUCCCUAGUUCUUCCUCUAAGAAAUUACAUGAAUUGGAAUUAGAAAAAGAGAGCUUAGAAGUUAAACUUGAAGAUCAACUAGAAGAUUGAAUGAGUUAGGAGUUAAGAAAGAGUCCUUAGAAAUUAAGGUUAAGACUCUUAUGAGUAAUCUUGAGAAAUCUAGUGCCCAACUUCAGUUAUUCUCUAGUUGAUCUAAAAAGUUUGACGCCACGUUAGGUUUGAAUAAACUUGCUAGGGAUAGGAGAGGUUUAGGUUAUAAAGAAAGAAGCUUUCAUAACACUAAGGUGUAGCUCGGUGUUUAGGCCUUGAGUUUGCUCCCCAAUGGUCAUCAGUUUGAGUACCCUCGGGGCCAUUGAGGUGAGUACCCGACUGUAAACUUUAGGGCCUCGUGGGAAUAGUCGAGGUGUGCGAAAGCUGGUCGGAACACCUACGGUCAUUAAAAAAAAAACUUUCGUACCACUACCCCAUCUACAACCAAGUUUGUGAUGUCUUUGACAACACAAAGAGUGUAGGAGUCUUGAGACAAAGAUCUUUUGUGUAACAUAUGUUUCCCAACCUAGGGAUCAAAACUUGAGACAUAGAAUUACUCCUAGUUUCAUUCUCUCUUGUUGCAAUUAUGGUGAGUUAGGUCACAUAAAGCCUAGGUGUCGUAAGCCCUUGGUUAGCAACAACAAACAAGAUCUCAUUACUCAUGUUAAACUCUUGGCUAAUCAAGUGAGUCACUUAACUGAUAUGAUAAGUUAUUUGACUAAGAUGAUAUCUUCUUCUAAAAAGAUUUGGGUUAGAAAGAAUGAACUCUCUAGUCAAAGACUUAUGUUCUAUUUGAAAAUAAUGAUAAAUCUAUUAUUUUUGUUUGAUAAAAACUUAUAUUUGAAAUUAAUAUUAAACGGGGUGGGUAACGGGUCGGGGACUAUGUUUCCUGUACCCAUCCCAUACCCGUUUCGGGGCAAUGACCCUCACCCCGUACCCAUCCCAUGAACCCGAUCAGGCAAGUAUUCCUCGUCCCGAAGGGAUAGGGCCCCACGGGUAUCGGGUUGAACGAGUUUUUUUGCCAUCCCUAGUUCUUCCUCUAAGAAAUUUCAUGAAUUGAAAUUAGAAAAAGAGAGCUUAGAAGUCAAACUUGAAGAUCAACUAGAAGAUUGAAUGAGUUGGGAGUUAAGAAAGAGUCCUUAGAAAUUAAGGUUAAGACUCUUACGAGUAAUCUUAAGAAAUCUAGUGCCCAACUUCAGUUAUUUUCUAGUUGAUCUAAAAAGUUUGACGACACGUUAGGUUUGAAUAAACUAGCCAGGGAUAGGAGAGGUUUAGGUUAUAAAGAAAGAAGCUUUCAUAAUCCUAAGGUGUAGUUUGGUGGUCAGGCCUUAGGUUUGCUUCCCAAUGAUCAUCAGUUUGAGUACCCUCGGAGCCAUUGAGGUGAGUACCCGACUGUAAACUUUAGGAUCUUGUGGGAAUAGUUGAGGUGUGCGAAAGCUGGUCCGGACACCUAUGGUCAUUAAAAAAAAAGCUUUCGUGCCACUACUCCAUCUAAAACCAAGUUUGUGAUGUCUUUGACAAAACAAAGAGUGUAGGAGUCCUGAGACAAAGAUCUUUUGAGUAACAUAUGUUUCCCAACCUAGGGAUCAAAACUUGAGACAUAUAAUUACUCCUAGUUUCAUUCUCUCUUGUUGCAAUUAUGGUGAGUUAGGUCAUAUAAAGCCUAGGUGCCGUAAGCCCUUGGUUAGCAACAACAAACAAGAUCUCAUUACUCAUGUUAAACUCUUGGCUAAUCAAGUGAGUCACUUAACUGAUAUGAUAAGUUAUUUGACUAAGAUGACGUCUUCUUCUAAAAAGAUUUGGGUUAGAAAGAAUGAACUCUCUAGUCAAAGUAAUGUUAUAAAUUGUUGUGUAGCUCUAAAAGGUAAGAGCACUUGUGUUCCUCAUUGAGUAAGUCUUUAGGUGCAUGCAUCUGCAUUGUUCAUGUAAUCUGCAUAUUAAUGCAUGUACUCUAAAUUUUUUCUUUUCUCAUAUGUUUUGUAUUGUUUGUUUUAUAAAUUUAAAAAAAAAAAAAAGGAAGAAGGAUUUUUAAGACAUAUCACUUUUAAGUGAUAUCCGUGCACAUGUUAUUUUGUGAUCGAGUACUAGUAAAAUUAAUGAAUGGUGAAUAAAAUUUCUAUAAACUUUGUUUAGGCUUGUUUCGAAUGCUUGGUAUAUGUUACUUUAUGUAUCAUCUACCCUACACAUAUUAAGCUCUUGCUAGUGAGUUUUAACCACGUAUGUGAGAUUUAGGAUGGUAGUUAUUGGUGUGGUGAGGUGACCAAGAAUAUGGAAUGACCUUUAACUAAUUGACUUAAGCUCUUGUAGAUUCCCAUAAAAGAAAAUUGCAGUAUUGAGCUUUUUAUUUUAAAUGUGCUAGUAGCACUAGGUUAGACUUUAUUAAUUUGAGGAAUAUAUUUAUUCACCUGUGAUUGAUUUGCGUGUCCUCUCUUACUAAUGUAAGAUUUUGAGACUUGCUUACAGGAGAUUACUCACUUUCUGCACAUGGGUUGUUUAUACAAUUUGCUCCAUAUAGAUUAUAGAUUCAAAAUGAGGUAUGAGGGAAAAGUUCACUAUUUUUCUAUUAUGCUCGUAUAAGUAAGCAAAUAUCUGUUUAUGUGAUUUUUAGCUUUAUUUGAUGUUAUAUUUAAAAAUCCAUGAAAAAGAAUUAUCUUAAUAAAAAAUAAAAAUUCUCCCAACACAUGUUUGCAUAAUUUUGCAUAGUUUGUCCAUGUGUAUAUUUUUUCACUCGUUCCUCUUUGCGUUAUUCAUAAUUAUAUUGCUUAAUUUUUCUUUAUAAUUCGUGAUAAAAAUGAGGAGGGAAGUAUUUAUUUCAGGGGAGUUGAGUAAUAUAUGAGUUAGGAGGAGAAGUCGAUACAUUGUUGAGCUUGCUUUUAAUAUUUGACUUAAGGAGAGUCAUUGAUAUUUUUUAUGAUUGAUGAUUAUUUUUUCAUAUUUGUCUUAGUGGGAGUCGUAGAUAUUUUUUAUGAUUGAUGAUUAUACAACCAACAACCCUAGGCGGAACCCAGCAUUAGCGGUUCCAUGCCUCCGACAUAGGUAGUUCCUUCGAAGCCAAACGUUAGGCUGGGUCUUCUUUUAUGAAACCUCCCAAAAAGCACGGAUGGAAAAAGUUUGUUCGAGCAUCAAAUACAACUUGAUGAACAUUUGAUGAAAAACCCUUUAACGAGGGGAAAAGGCUAUAAAGAUCACUAAGUACUUGAUGGGACUUAAUGAUUGUGAAGGUUUCAUCGAAAAAGCUCAAAAAGCAUCGGCAUCAACGGUUGUAGUUACCCAAUAGGGGGCAGGCCAUGUCAUCAAGGAAUGAACCCCAAACUCGAGAGUGAAAGGGGGAGAAGGUAUGUUAGAAGAGAGCAAUAGAAAUUAGGAAAGCGCAGGUCAGGGACAGUACAUCAACGAAGUUCUCAAAUUACCUUUUCCUGUUUUCUAUUUAGGAUGCAUUAUUUUUUGGACUAUCUACUGGAAAUUUGAAAAUCCAUGAUCGAGUUACAGUUACAACGAAUGAGCGAAGGAAUUAUAAUGUUUCUGACACUUGUACCUUUUUUGACUUAGGGGAAGUCAUAGAUAAUUUUUAUGAUUGAUGAUCUUACUAGCAUAAUGUGUUAUUUUGCCUUAUUGAUAUUAAGGUCUUUUUUUUUUUUUUUUUUUUUUUUUUUUUUUUUUUUUUUUUUUUUUUUUUUUUUUUGUAUUGCUAGUUUAGCUGUUGUGAUGAUAUAUCUCAAAUUGUCAUGUUUAAUUUUUAAGUUAUUGAUACACGUAGUAUUAUACGCUUUAGUAUUACACGUAUUUUGCUUGCAUAGUUUAUGUAACUUAGUUAUGUGCUUCAUUGUUAGUUUCCUCUUACUUUUACACGUGGUAUUAUUAAUUUCAUGUGUUUCAAAAAACAUGUAUUACAAGCUAAUGAGUUAAGUUUGUGAAUUGAGUCUUUGGAUUAAUAGUGUUAGGUUCUGUUGAUUUUAAUUGUUCGUCCCAAAUAUUUCUGGUAAUCAGCUGAUCAAUUAUUCAUUUCAUUUAAAGAAUAUCCUUUGAAAGAAAUUUGAACGUCAAUGUCAUCAUUGUUUUGAAACUCAUUUGUAUGAAAGAAAUUUGGAGAAAUAUAUUUCGUCCUAUCACUUUUGAUACAGCCUCCUUUGAGUUGUGUAAUAUAAGCUGCAUUGUCUUCAUGCAAAAUUAUUGGACUAUCAUUUGUUGAAGUUAACCCGCAUGAUGCUUGAAUAUGAUGGGUCAUGUUCCUCAACCAUACACAUUCUCGACCUGCUUCAUGAAUUGCAAUAAUUUCAGAAUGAUUUGAGGAAGUUUCUAUCAAGUAUUGUUUCACAGAUCUCCAUGAUAUAUCUGUUCCUCCCGUAUAAAGGCGUACUAACUCAAAAUGUGUUGGUCGCCUACAAUUUUAAUCUAUGCUUUACGUUCGUGUUCGCGGGCACAACCGGGAAUACCCAUGAUGCUCGAAUACUUGGUUGAGCAAUACACAGUCCAGAAAUACAUUUUUCCCUGCCAGCAUCAAGUAAGUAUUAUUUAGCGAACUUUGGUUUUGCUCAUCGGCUCAGAUAAUGUCCCCUUACAAAGGCUCCGAUAUAUUGUACCAUUCCAACAAUUUUGGGAUGAACGAACUGGUCAUCGUUGUAGGUUUCGAAAUGCUCGUGAGAGAUUUAACUUCAGACACUGUUCAUGCCGAAACGUCAUCGAACACGCCUUCGACAUGUGGAAACAGAGAUGGAAAAUCCUCAACCGUAUGCCCAUCUACAACUUUCUGACACAAGUGGUUGUCGUCAUGAUGACGAUGGGUAUUCAUAAUUUACUAUGUCGUUCUGGAGUUGUGGACGAGAAAUUCAUGAGAGUGGACAUAGAUGAUGAUGCAGCCGAGGUGGAGCUGUCUGACGCGGAUGACGAAAUUCAUGUCGAAAUAAACGCACCUGAAAUGCAAAGAAAUGAAUGGGACCAACUUCGCAACUAUUUGGUGUAGUAGUUGUAACGAAAUCUUGUUUUAGGAACAUUUUAUUGCGCACGCGAGGAAUGUUACGUUUGUAUGUUAAUUUUAUUCUUCAUAUAUUUGUCGAGCCUGUGAUGUUCAUGGAUUAGUAUGCUGAGAUACUUUACGUGUAUCGAAAAGCGAAAGAAUUGUAUUACACAAUGGGAAAAAUGUUGAUUUAUUACUUAGGACGAUGUGAAAUGCGUUCAAAUUGUUCAACGUCGAUUUUGCUCGAAUUAAACUAUUCGCGGGCUCUUUUCCUCAGAUAUAAUGGGAAAGGUUGUUUCAUAUAUCACAUAUGAAAGAGGCAUAAUAAUGCAGAGGUCCCACCAUAUGUGGUGUAAAAAAAUGCAUUAUGGGAGAAAAAAUGUGGAUGGAAUGGAGGCUUUAAUUAAAAAAGAGCCAGCCUAAUUAAAAGAAAAAAAUAAUUAAAAAAAAGACGAGAACAAUUCCGUAACAUGGCACAUCUAUAGGUGGCCAUACAAGACAAGGAUGCUUUAGAGAUGGCAAAAAAAAAUUUUCCAUCCUGUCCCGAAUGGGGCAAAAAAAAAACACUCGGCGGGGCAGGGCGGGGAGGGGAUGACCCCGGAACCUGCCCCAUGAAGCAAAAAAUAAAAAUAAAAAUAAAAAUAAAAAUAAUAUAUAUAUAUAUAUAUAUANNNNNNNNNNNNNNNNNNAUUUGAAAAUGUAAACAAAAUAAAAAAAUAAACGGGGCAAAAAACCCGCCCCGCCCCAAACCCGCCCCAUUGUCAUCCCUAGGAUGCUUGGACCAACAGGACUAGAGCUGUCAAUGGAUCGGAUCUGUCCAAAUUCGAUCUGAUCCGUUAAGAAUAAUUAUCUGAUCCAAUCCGAUCCGAUAAUCCAACGAAUAUUCGAUUGUUAAAUUAUAUCCGGUUUGUUAUGUUAUCGAAUAUUUGAUCCGAUUACUCGAUCCUUCAAUCGAAAAAUGGGAACCGACCUCUAAUCAUGUUCGGUCUUCGUUUGUAAGUUAAUUUUAUUCUUCAAUAUUUGUCAAGCCUGUGAUGUUCGUGGAUUAGUAUGCUGAAAUUUUUUAUGUGUAUCGAAAAGCAAAAGAAUUGUACUACACAACGGGAAAAAAUGUUGAUUUAUCGCUUGGGACGACGUGAAAUGCGUUCAAAUUGUUUAACGCCGGUUAUGCUCGAAUAAAAUUAUUCGCGGGCUUUUUUCCUUGGUUAAUUAUUAUCAUUAUUAUUAUUUUCUUCCCGGUAACGAUGGUUGUAUGUGAUUCAGUGUGUUGUAGCUCUGACAUCAAUUAGGGAAAUGGUAGCCUUCGACUAUUCAAACAAUUUCACAAGGGUUAGCUUGUGGUUCACUAUAAAAUGACAAAAGGAUAUGAUGGGAAAGGUUGUUUCAUACAUAACAUAUGAAAGAGGCAUAAUAAUGCAGACGUCCCACAGUGAUUUGGUGUAAAAAAAUGCAUUAUGGGAGAAAAAUGUAGAUCGAACGAAGGCUUAAAUAAAAAAGAGCCUGCCCAAUUAAAAGAAAAUAAUAAUAAUAAUAAUAAUAAUAAUAAUAAUAAUAAUAAUAAUAAUAAUAAUAAUAAAAAGAUGAGUACAAUCUACAACAUGGCUUGUCUAUAGGUGCCCAUACAAUACGAGGAUGUUUGGACCAACAGGACUAGAGCUGUCAAUGGAUUGGAUAUGAUCGAAUCUGUCCAAAUUCGAUCCGAUUUGUUAAGAAUAAUUAUCUGAUCCAAUCCGAUAAUUCAACGAAUAUUUGAUUGUUAAAUUCAUAUCCAAUUUGUUAUGUUAUCGAAUAUUCGAUCCGAUUACCCGAUCCUUCAACCGAAAAAAUGGGAACCGACCUUUAAUCCGGUCUGGUCUUCAUAUAUUAACCGAACGAUAUGAACUUUUUUUUUCCAAAACAUAUUUUAACUAUUUUGAUGGGCUCACCUUUUUAUACUAGAAGACUCAAAUAAUUCUUAUCCAAGUGAUGCUCUUUUAGCUCAUUUUUAAAGGAGUCUCCUCUUAGAAUGUUUUAGUAAUCUUCCAAUGUGGGAUAUUAGUUUUUUAAAGGAUAUACUUUUCCUCCAAUGUUUUAGUGAUCUUUCAAUGUAGGAUACUAGUAAAUUAUCAAUUCUAAGUGUUUACUAGUUUACUUUAUUGUUUUCAUUAAAAUUCAUAGCCUCAACAAGAUUAUAAUUACAAAUAAUAACAAUUUGAACAAUGUAGAUUAUUUAGGACAUAUUCAUUGUUAGUUUUUGAUGUUAUAAAACAAAUAAUUAUAGUUAUUUUUAUCUUAUUUUAAUUAUUAAAAAAAUUAAAUAUCUUCAAAUAUUUCAAUUAACAAUAUUAUAAUAUUAUAUAAUAUAUUUUUUUAUUUGAAAAUUAUGUGUAAAGUAUAAUAUAAGUUUCAAAAUGGAAAAAAUUAUGUUUAAUAAAUUAUGAUAUAAUAUAUAAAAUAUAUUAUGUUAUUAUAAUAAAUCGAAUCGGAUUGUUAUUGGAUCGAAUCGAUCUAUAUCUAAAUUUUCUCCAUUUAGUUAACGGAUUAUCGGAUUCGAAUCUUAAUCGGAUUAUCGAAUUGAGACCCUAAAUCUAUCUCCCACUAAUUUUAUUAGAUUCGGAUCGAAUUCAGAUUAAAAUCAAAUCCAUUGACAGCCCCUAAACGGAACCCGUUUUAACAAUAUCACCGACAGCAUUGUUAAUAUUUAAACAUGAGCACAGGGGUAGUUUUAGUAACAAGUAUUGUUGAGGCAUCGUCACCUUUUUGGUGGGCCCAAGCUAUCUUUUUGCUUUAUGGCCCGUCCCUAUUAUCGGCCUAUUUCAAUUUAAAACUAUUACGUUUGUACAUUAAUUUUAUUCUUCAUAUAUUUGUUGAGCCUGUGAUGUUCAUAGAUUAGUAUGCUGAAAUUUUUUACUUGUAUCGAAAAGUAAAAGAAUUGUAUUACACAACGGGAAAAAAUGUUGAUUUAUCACUUGGGACGAUGUGAAAUGCGUUCAAAUUGUUCAAAAUGAUAUUCAUGUCACACUCUAAAAAUUAUAUUAAGGCUAUGUUUGAUAGCCAUUUAUUUUCCAUUGAACUUGGAAAAUCAAUUCCAUCUUCCACUUUUCCAUUGUUUGAUAGCAUUUUUUUCCUAAAAUUCAUUUUCCAACUUUCUUGCCACAUUAGCCAAUUUCCAACUUUUCUUUGAAUUGGAAUUCCAAUUCCUCGGUUACUGUAGCCUCUUUUUUUUUCAUAAUGGAAACAAAUUUUAAGAAUUAUUGUAAAAAAAAUAUUUCCCUUUAAUUGACAAUUUUCAUGAAAAACAAAGCCAAACAAACACCAAAAGAUAAAUGAUUUUCUUGAAUUUUUUUUUUUUUUGCAAUGGAAAUAAAUUUCAUCCCCAAUAUCAAUAAAUUAUAUCCCUUUAAUUGACAAUUUUCAUGUAAAACAAAGCCAAACGAACACAAAAAAAAAUUAUAUUUCAACAUUUUUCACGUGAAAAAUUAUAGCAAUUAAAUACAAUAAAUUGACAAUUCUCACUAAAACAAUUUCUAGACUAUUCAAUUCCCUGUAAUUCGUUUUCUUUCUCCCCAAAUUUCAUCUUUGCAAUUAAACGGACCCUAAAUAUAUUCAAUCAAUCAGACAAAAUGAUUGUAGUACCCUAUUGUUAGAAUAUCACCUAGAAAUUAAAAGAAAAAAGAAAGAACAUCAUCUAUAGGCAAAGUUGAUAAGGACAACUUGAACAUUUUAAAGUAUGAACUUUUGGAAUUGGAAUAAUAAUAAAGAAGACGAGAAUAAUUCCGAGACAUGUCUUGUCUGUAGGUGGCCCUACAAAACGCGUGGGUUGAUUAUUUAACCUCCAAUGUCAAGGCAAAAAUUGACAAGCUAUUCAAUUUCCUCUUAAUCUUAAUUGUAUUUGCUUUCCAAUUGUCCGUUCAGUCGUCAUCAACCCUCCUAGAAACUGCAGUUAACUCAGAAGAGAGACAACUAUUAGGAAGACUUAAUGAAAACGUCCAGCAUAUCCAAAGUCAGCUGAAGCUCAUGCAAGCUUCCUUGCGAGUUGCUGAUGCAAAAGAAGAUGGCGAUCCACAACUCCAAGCGUGGGUUAAGGAAGUGAGGGAGGUUGCUUAUGAUGCUGAAAAUGUCAUCGAAACCGGGAAAUACGUGGAAAUGACCCAAACAAAGAGGCCAUUUUUCCAAAAUAGCCUUUGACUAAUUUUGGUGCCUAAAAUACCCCUCUUUUUAAAUAUUACAUAACAGGAGGCUGUUUGGGAGUGAUUUUGAGAAUUGAUUUUUUGACCGUUAGGAAAAAAGUGGGGUCCACCUGUGAGAGAAGAAGUCAAAUAUAACGGCUGGAAUAGUGAAAUAACGGUCAAAAAAUCAAUUUUUUUGGUGAAAAAAUCUGGCCCAAACAGGCCACCAAGUAAAUAUAAUAUAGAAAUCUUCCAUUUUAGUCCUCAAAAAUUAAAUACUACUUGAAUUUUAAUAGAUUACCAAUUUAUUUAAUUUUUGUUCACUCUAAGUAGCACCCCCUUUUUAUUGGUAUCAGAGCCAUAGAGAUCUAUGAGAAACUCAUAAUAAAUAAAUUACCUAAACAAGUAAAAAUCUUUAGAUAUAGGUUAACACUUCUUCUAUUUUAUUUAAACUUAAUAAAUAAUAAAUUACGUGUUAGGCAUCUAAAAGAAUAUUUAGACUACACAUCUUUAAAAAAGCCAUAAAAAUCAUGGAAACUAAAAUAAGAAAAAUAGAUAAUUAUUAUAAAUUAGAAGAAGGAAGAGGAAGUUAUAUAUUUUUAAAACCUAUUUCUAAUAAAUUAAAAAUUAUGACAUUAAGAAUAAUUAAAGAAUUACCCAAAGAAAUAAAAGAACAAAUAUUAGAAAAAUUAAUAAUAGGAUUGAUAUAAAUAUAUAUAUAUAUAUAUAUAUAUAUAUAUAUAUAUAUAUAUAUAUAUGUGUGUGUGUGUGUGUGUGUGUGUGUGUGUGUGUGUGUGUGAAAAAAUUAUUAAAGAAUAUGAAGAUGAAGAGAUUAAUUUAUACUAUAAAGAGAAGUAUGAGUAUAAGUGAUAAUACACAUUUAAAAUUAAAUAAAUUACUCAUAAAAAUGGAAAAAAUACAAGAUAAAAUACAAGAUAUAAUGUUAAUACCAAAAGGAAUAAGGGUAUCAAAUAAAAGACAAUUAACAAAAUUAAAUUGUGAAAGAUUAAGACUUGAAAGUUAAUAUUUCAGUAUAGUAAAAGAAGAAUUAAUAGAUCCAGAUAUAGCCAACAGAAAUUAUGAAAUAAUAAUAGAUAAAAAGAAGAUAAAAAAUGCAAAUUGACUUAUAUGUUAGAAAGAUGACCAGAAAAAUUUAAUACGUCAAUAAGUAAAUAUAUGGAAGAAUUAAAGUCACUAAUAAAAAUAUUAAUAAAUGAUAUACAAGAUUUAAGAAAUGAAGUAAGAGAAACAAGAAACGAUAUAAAUAUAUUAAAAAUUGAAAUUAGAGAAUUAAAAGAAAGUAAUAAAAAUAAUGAAAAGAAAAUAGAUAAAAAAAAACUAAUAGAAAAAGAAAUGACUCGAAUAGGAAAGAUACAUAUUGAGAAAGCGAAUAUAGUAAUAGAAACAGGAAUAAUGAAUGAUGAAUUUAGAAAUAAUAUAUUACCUCAAAAUUUUAGAAGAAGAAGGAUCUAGAGAAAAAAUGUUAGGAAAAUUAAAAAUAGAAGAAAACCAAGAAAAUAAAGAUGAAUGAAGAAUUAGACUUACUUAUAGAAUAUUUUGAUCAAUUAAGUUUAAGCGAUAUAAGUGAAUACCAAAUUUUAAUGAAUACUGGAGGAGGGCCAUAUCUAGCAGGAACCUCUAAACAAGAAUUACAAAAAUUAGAUGAAAGUUAUGCACCUAUAUAUAAUAAACCAUAUAAACAAUUUUAUGAUGAAGUAAGAGAUAGACAACCACCUAAAGGAAAUAAAUAUAGAGACAGAUUUGAAUUAAAUGAUAAUUAUGAUAAAUCAAUUAAUCAUGGAGGAACAAAAUUAGAUUUAAAUUGCAAAAUAGAUGCUAAAAAAGCCUUAUUAAUUUGGGCAGAUUCAAUGAAAUUUUUUUUAUAUAAUAAAGAUGACACAUGGGAAAAUAUUGAAAGAAGAAUAGACUUUUUAAUAACAUCCUUUGAAGGAGAUGUUAGAAAUUGGUGGGAAGAAAUAAGCAAUGAUACAAAGACAUUAAUAAAAAGAAAUGUACAAAUAGAAAUAAUAAAAUCAGAUAGACAAGGUAUAAAAAGUUAGUAUAAUAUAUUUCAGAUGAAUUUUUAGGAGAAAAUUGGAUAAAAAAUGCUAAAGGAGAAGCAAUAAGAGAAAAAGAUAGUGCUAGGAUUAAAUUAAUAAAUCUAACAAUAUGUGACAUGUGUAAAAUUAAAGAAUAUACUUGUGAAUUUAGAAAUUAUUAUUAUAUUCAAUUUUAUAGCAAUGAAAAUCAAGAAAUAUACCAAAGUAUGUAUUAUAAUAAAUUAACAGGUUCAUAGGGAAUAUAUUUUAAAAUAGAAUUUAAAAAAUAUGUUAGAGACAAUAUUGAAAUACCAAGAACUUUAGGUUCAAGAAUAAAAUUUUUAUUUGAAAGACUUGCAUAUAGAUGUCAACAACGACAAUUAAUAAAAAAAUCAGGAAAACUAACUAAAAUAUGUUGUGUCUAUAUGAAAAAUUCGAUACAUUGGGGAUGUAAUCCUGAGAAAAGUGUUAAUAAAAGAAAAUAUAAAAAUAAAAAGUUUUAAAAUUUUAAAAUUUUAAUAAAAAAUAUAUAAAACCUAGAAGAAGAAGAUAUUAUAAAAGAAAAAAUUAUCUCAUAUGGUCAACAGAAAAAUAAAAGUCAAUAUAAAUGUUGGAAUUGUGAAGAAAUAUAUUAUAUAAGUCCUGAUUGUAACAAAAAGAAAGUUAAAAUAUUACAAAAAGAAUUUUAUAAAUAAAAGAUGAAUUAAGUGAAAUAUCAGGUAAUGAACAAUAUUAUAAUCAAGAAGUAUAUAUAAGUAAAACAGAUAGUGAUGAAUCAGGAUCUGAAUAAAGAAUUAGAAAAAAUAGAAAAUAAUAAUAUAAGUAUAAAAGAAUAAGAAGGAAUAGAAGGUUAUGGAUUAAAAGUCACUUUUGAUAAUAAUAAAUUUAGGAAAAUGCAAAAAUUAUCUUUGGACUUAAAAAUAGAAAAAUGGGAAGUCUUAGAUAGAAUCUGGAAAAAAAAGAAUAACAAUAAAUAAAUAUCAUAAAAUUGAAAAAACUAUAUAUGUAAGAACAACUUAUGGAAAUCAUAAAUUAAAUCUUUUAACAAAAAAUACAGUUGAUGAAUUAUUAACAAAGAUUAAUAAAAAACAAAGUGAAAAAAUCCAAUAUGUUUAUUUAGCAGGAACACAAAUAAUAUUUAAAUCAUUAUUCAGAAAAAGGAUAGACUCACCCUUAACUAUAACCUUACAUGAUAGAAUAAUAAUAAAUUUAAAAGAUAGUCAUUUAGGAACAAUAAAAAGAAAUUUAGCAUAUCAAAAAAUAAUGUUUACGUGCUACCCAAAAUAUUGUGUAUCAUUAAAGGAUGGAAAUUUUAAUGAAGUUUUAAGAUUGCAUUUAAGUUACAUGGAGACGAUAUUAUGCAACCAGAUGAUCAAAUUAUGACUAUAAAAUAUGAAGCCUUAUAUACAUUUACUAAUUAUAAUUAUGGAAAUAUUUAUUCAGAUAAACCUUAUAUUGAAGUACAUAAGGAAUGUAAGGAUAUCGGUAAAAUAAUUGAACCAAAUAAACAAAUAAGCUUAAUUCCAGAAGAAUGUGAAUUUAGUAUAACUAAAAAUAAACCAGAAAUAACAGAAUUAGAUGAAGGAAAAUGUUCUAAUAAUAUAAUAUUUAAAGAUCGAAAAUUAAUCAAAUGAUCAAAAAGUAUAAAAAUACCUAAUAAAAAAUAAGUCAGAAGAGUUUAAUAAUAUAAAAUAAGUAAAAUUAUAUAGGAAUGCAGGAAAUAUGAAAAUUGAAGGGGAAUAUUAUAAUAGAAGAGAACAUAUAAAUGGACCAAAUAUUUUAAUAGAUACAGGAGCUAGUGAAUGUCAUAUAGUUUCAAUCAGAAAUAAAGGAUUAUUAAUUCAUAAAACUGAACCAUAUAGGUACGUAAAUUUUGAUGGACAAAUACAUUUUACAGAUUUAGAAGUUAAAGUACCCAUAAAAAUAGGAGGAAUAAAUCUUUUAAUACCAUUUCAUAUAGAUAAAAGUAUGGAUAUAAACCCUCAUAUACUUUUAGGAACGAGUUUUCUAAAUGGAUUACAAUAUUAUAGUAUAAAAAGAGAAUGAUUAUACAUAGGACAUAAUGGAGAAAUUAUAUUACGCAAAAAGAAUUAAAUGAAUAAUCAGAUAAGUUUUUGAUUAAGUGUAUAUAUACAAAUUACUAUUUUAGAUACGAACAUAACAAUUUUUGUUUUAAUAGACACAGGAAGUGAUAUAACAAUAUUUAAAAAAUUUCCAAUAACAUCAUGGAAUAAUAGUAGUAAUAUAAAAAUAAUUGGAGUUACAUGAGAAAUUACUCAGAUAAUAAAUAAUGCUGAUAAAGUUAGUAUAAUUCUUGGAAGUAAACAAGUUAUAAUAAAUAAAAUUUAUAAAUAUGAUAAAUUAAAAUGUGAUAUAUUAUUAGGAAAUGAUUUUAUACAACAAUUUCAAUAUUAUAAACAAAAUAUUUAUAUGAUAAUGCUACAAACACCUUGUGGACAUUUAUUAAAAAUUUCAAGAGAAUUUAGACUUUAUAAAGUUCAGUCAGCCCAGCGUGGUGAUAAAUGAGAGGAAAAACUAAUAAUAUUUAAUGAAAUAAAAAAUAAAAGAAUAUUAUAUAAAAGUCUUGAAAAUGGGAAUAAAAAUAAGUAUAGAAAAAAUUAUUGAACAAUUAGAAAAAGUUUAUGGAGAAAAUCCAUUGUUAUUUUGCAAACCAUACCAUCCUAAAGCCAAAAUAUAAUUAACAGAAAAUAUUAUAAUAAGAGUCAGACCAAUGAUGUAUAUUAUAGAAGAUACACAAGAAUUUAAAAAGCAGAUAAAAGAAUUGUUAGAACAGAAACUUAUUAGACCUAGUAAUGGAUCUCAUAAUAGUCCAGCCUUUAUGGUAAUGAAACAUUCUGAGCAGAUUAGAGGAAAAACUAGAAUUGUUAUAAAUUAUAAAGAAUUAAAUAAAUAUACUAAAUUUGAUGGAUAUUUUCUACCAAAUAAAGAAGUUUUAAUAAACCUUGGAAAAGGAAAACAAUAUUAUUCUAAAUUUGAUUGUAAAUCAGGAUUUUGGCAAAUAAAAAUGGAAGAAGAUAGUAUACAAUAUACUGCAUUUAGUACCCCUUAAGGAAAAUAUGAAUGGUUAGUAAUAUGAUUUGAAUUAAAAAAUGCACCACAAAUAUAUCAAAGAAAAAAUGGAUAAUAUAUUCAAAAAGUUUAAUGAAUUUCUAAUUGUUUAUAUAGAUGAUAUAUUAAUAUGUUCUAAUAGUAAAAAUGAACAUAGAAAUCAUUUAAUACAAUUUAUAAAUAAAUGUAAAGAAGAAUGAAUUGUACUUUCUAAAAAGAAAUAUAUAGUAGAAAAAUAAGAAAUAGACUUUCUUGUAUUAUCAAUAGAUAAGAAAUGAAUAAAAUUAUAUAUUCAUAUAUCUAAAAAGAUAGAAAGCUUUCCAGAUAAAUUAGAAUCUGAGAAACAAAUAUAAAUUUUUUUUAGGAUGUUUAAAUUAUGCGGAAGGAUUUAUUGAAAAUCUUUCUAAGAAAAUGCAUAAAAUACAAAUUUUAUUCAGAAAAAUAAAUACUAAAUGAUGGAAUGAAGAAUAUACAGAAAUUGUAAGAUCAUUGAAAGAAGAAUGUAGAAAUUUACUAGAAAUUGUCAGAUCAUUGAAAGAAGAAUGUAGAAAUUUACCAAAAUUAAGAUUACCAGAUGAAAAAGAUAAUGUAAUUGUUAAUACUGACGCCUCAGAUAAAUAUUGGGCAGCAAUAUUAAAAACAGAUUUAAAUGAGAAUUGUAGAUAUUCAAGUGGAGCUUUUAAUCAAGCAGAAAUAAAUUAUAUCACUCAUGAAAAAGAAUUACUAACAAUUAUUAGAGGAAUGAAAAAGUUUUCAUUAUUCUUGUUAUCCAAGAAAUUUAUUGUUGAGACCGAUAAUUCUCAAGUUGCAGGAUUAGUCUGGAAUAAACUACCAUCAGAACCUCAAUACAGAAGGCUUUAUAGUAAUUUGAUAUAGUUCAUAUUAAAGGAGUUAAUAAUUUUCUUGCAGAUUUUCUCAGCAGAAACAUAGAAUUUGCUGGUGGAUAAAGUUAGGGUCAUAGAGUUAUACCAAUCUAUCCAACAUAUACAAAAAAGGAUAGAUUUUCUUAAAGAAAAAUCUGAAAACAUAGAUUCGGGAGCAACACAGAUAUCAGGAAUUUUCAACUCAAAUAUAAAAAUUUUGUUGAAUAUUAUUACUGCUCAUCAUAAAGAAACCAUAGAACUAAAAAAUUAAGUUGAUGCUAGUGCAGCACAACUAAAAGAUAUACUGUCUGAGACAGAUAUGCUAAAGAGCUCAGAAAUGAGUUUUUCAAUUCAAUACCAAACAGGGACAGCUGGAAGCAGCAGUGGACCCAGACGAGACAAUAUACCAAUUGAUAAAAAAAGGAGAUGCUGUUUUUGUAUCAUCAACCAAAAAAGUGGUGAUACAUGAAGAUAAAAAAGAUUCCAAAACAAUCAGCAUCAUAGACCAAGAAGAUAAAAUCCUUUUAGAUCCAAAAGAAGAAAAAUAUGCCGAAAUAGUCAGAAUUGCUUACGAAAUAAAAAUGAGUGAUUCAUAUUUUAUUUCUCCAAAAAAUAAUGUUUAUCACAAAAUAAAAACCAUGGAAGGAGGAGACCCUUCAUUUAUAAAAAAUUUGGUAGAUUAUGGAUUCAUGGAUUUGAUAUAUCCAAGAAAAGAUUUGAUAGAAAUUUCAAAAUUUGAUAAUAUAUUCAUAAAAGAAGUAUCAAGAUUUGCCAAGGGACUAAGAAUAUAUUUGAAAUUGUAUUCAAUAAGUCCUGAAUAUGGUAGAGUUGUCUACUAUCCAGUUGAACACAUAUUUCAAUUGGAUACGUUGCAACCAAUUUCCAAAUAGAUGUGGUGGAAAAUGAUAGAAAAAUUCCAACAGUGACAAAAUCAUGUAUCAGACAUAGAAAAGCACUUGGAAUUAAAGUCAUAUACAACAUUUCCAGAAAUUUAUUUGACAAAAAAUUCUCAUGCCUAUGCCAAUAUGAAAAUUAGAUGCUGGUAUCAAAUCAAGGACAUGAAAAAUCUGAAAUUUUGAAGGACUAUAUUACAAGAUUCGAAAUACAUCAAUUUCCAGGAUAUCCUACCACAAUAAAAGAAUCCUGCCAGUUAAGGGAGUGCCCCAGCUGCAUGUGAAGACAUAAAAGAUAAAGAGCAAUAACAGAAAAAGAUGCUCUUUGAAUAAAAAAAAGUUGAAAAAGCAUGUGAAGACAUAGAAAAAUGAGGACAAUAAUAGAAGCUCCUUUGAUAAAAAAUAAAGAUGUAGGUCCAAAAAAGGACAAUAAUAGAAAUGCAAGUAUGCCUUUGCUGAUAUAUUGAAUGAUGUAAUAGAUCAAUAAUAGAGUCUCAUGUAUUUGUAUAAAUAGAGGCAUUGUAAUAGAGAAGAGCAUCUUGAAACCAAAGUAUCUUCUCUCAAAUUGUAAGCACAAUUUGUAGUGGAAAUCAAUAUUUCUAAACUCAGUUUUUCUGAAAAUCCCUUUGUACCAAAUAAAAGUUUUGUAUAAAUUUGAAUAUAAAUAAAAUUUCCAAAUUUUUUAUAUCAAUAUGAGUUUCUAAUUCUUUAUUCCCAUAUUUUCUUGAAAAAUCUAAUAGAAAGUUUCCUUCUUAUUUUAGUAAAAAGAGAGUUUUUCUUUAUAGAAGUCUAGAAUUUUAUUCUUUAAAAUUGAUACAGUGAGAGCAAGAAACUGAAAUAAUAAAGAUUCCGUGAAUGCAUGAGGCCGUUGAAGGAAGCAGUUUACACAUUUAAAGCUUAAAGGUCACUCAGUUCAAAGAAUAAAGAUCCAGAUCGAACCUAAGGUAAAACUAUUGAACUUUUGCUAAAAUUUGAAUGAAUCUUUUUAGAUAUUAAAGAAUCGAAGGGAUUUAUGGUAUGAUUUCAUGAUUAUUUGUAUUAAUGUCAGGAUAUACAGUUAAAGGAUUAGAUAAUUUAUUAGAAAGAAUGUUAGAAGAAAUAAAAAAAUAUGUAUUCUCAAUUAGAAAAUAUGAAUGCAUCUUCUGAAGAAUAUAAUAUACUAUAUAAUAAAUGUGAACAAUAUGCUACAGAUUAUUCCAAUUUAUUAGAUCAUAGAAUGAAAUUAUAUUCAAAUAUUCAAAAUAAAAAAUAAAAUAUUUAAAAGAUUAUGAUAUAAGUAGCAUUAUAGAAAGAAUCAUUUCAUUAAGGGUAAUAUAGACUUUUUCAUGAAGAGGAAUAGUGAUAGGCCAAAUAGAAAAAUCUCUCAUCGAAACAUUUAUGCUACAAUCUGCAAAUCUCCGUGCAGAAGAUGUAUUUUGCUGCAGUGUCCAGGAGAUCUAUAUCUUUUUAAAGAAUCUCGGAGUGCACCAUAAUAUUGCGUCUGAUUUGGAAAACAUCAAGGGAAGGAUCACGAAUAUUUUUAAAGCACGUGAGACAUUCCGAAUAGAAUCUGGUGUGCAGCCGAGACCUGGCUCUACCUUAUUGUUUGAUGGGCGAGUUGAUGCAAUUUUUAUAGCCGAAGCUAAGCUUGUAGGAAUUGACAGGCCAAAAGAAUUGCUCAUUAAAGAGCUUCUUGAUGAUGAAACUCGACUUAAAGCUGUUUCUGUGUGGGCAAUGGGAGGAUUGGGGAAGUCCACAUUGGUUAAACGAAUUUACGAGGAUGAACAAGUGAAAGGGAAAUUUCAGUGCCAUGCUUGGAUCACUGUUUCUCAGUCCUUUGACAUCAUGAAGCUUCUCAAAGACUUGAUUCGAAAGUUGUACCGUGAAAUCAAGGAACCUAUGCCUCAGGAACUGAAACGUAGUCAAGAAUUUGCUGAAUUGAAAGAAUCUGUCGAGCAAUUCCUCUCUGAGCGUCAGUAUAUUAUAGUUUUUGAUGAUGUAUGGAUCACUGAUUCAUGGGAUGCUCUCAAGCAUGCACUGCCUGACAAAAAUAUGAGUAGUCGUGUAGUGCUCACUACACGGACACUCGACGUGGCUAACUUAGCCAGUCGGACGGAAUAUCUGAGCUGUGUCCAUGAAAUGGAGGCCUUAUCGUAUGAAGACUCUUCAAAACUACUUUGUAACAAGACUUUUGGAGACAAAACCUUGCCCCCACAUCUAAAGACUGUGCAGAUGGCAUAUUGGAUCAAUGUAAGGUCUUGCCUCUUGCCGUUGAUGCUGUUGGUGGUCUAUUGGCUAUGAAGGACAAGAACAAUAUAGAGGAGUGGAGUACAGUUUUUAGCUACCUUAACACCAAGCUACAUGGUUGUCGUGAUAAUCGUAAAAGAAUACGACAGGUACUUCUUCGAUAAAUUCCAAGAACCAGAUGAAUACGAAUAGUGUUAUUGAAGUUUCUGAAGACAAAAAAGCCAGCUGCCAGUAUACUUCCAUGCGUGAAGGAUUUGCAGUUGCACAAAUCCUUCAGCUAUCCAUAAUCGAAUCAAUAUCGUAUGGUCAAUCACAUGAUCUUCAGGGGAAAUUCUCAAGUACAAUAGACAAGUCUGGAGAUAGUAAGGCAAAUCAUAGUAACUUAGAAGAAGUACCUGUCAUAUUCUUUCAAAGUUAGUACUAUCUUCAGGGAAAAUGCUCAAGUACAAUAGAUAAGUCUUAAGGUACUAAGGUAAAUCAUGAGUUAAUUUAAUCACCAAUCACCAACAUUUGUCGAUGGUUACUACUUGCUCACUCAAGAAAAAUGGUUACUCAUUGCUCAUCCACUUUAAAAAAGAAUUACUCAUCCAUCAUUCAUUACACUUCCAUCUAUCCAACAAGGUUAAAAUGUCCAUGUGGCAGACGGAUUUCAUAUGUGGUAACUAACACCGUUAAAAUUUGACAAGUUGGGUAUUAUUCUUACGCACAAACAUAUAUAUAUUACAUAAUCUUGGCUGGAGGUGAGGGUUUUAUUCCUUAUUCCUCGUAUCCUUACAUUAUUGAAAAAGGAAAAUAAAAUUACAUAAUGAGAUCCAGAUCAAACCUAAAUUUUAACUUCACGAAAAUAAAAUGUGUAAAAAAUAGAGUUGGUCCACAAAUUCCAGAUCGCACACAAUAUGGGGAGAACCCAUUCAUCAUUUUCACUCACACCAUUAUCCCCAAAUCAGAGAGAACCCUUGGAGGCGAAAAUUGGUUCGAAGUCCAGCACUCCAUCUCAGUCGGAGUAAGAAGCUAGCGAUUAAUUUAUCAAUCUUCUCCAUGCUUGGGUUUUCCAGCCUAGGUUAAGCUCGCGGUUGCCUUUUUUUUCUUUUUAGCCGUAAGACGAGAGCUCCACCAUAUGCAAAUCGAUCGUCUCUAACGCCAUCCAGCGCCUCCGACGGAAUCUAGCAGCACAUAUUAUGUAAGGAUGAUAUAUUUGGCAUCCAUUUUCCUCGAUUUUAUUGUUUUCGAAUUCAAAGAUUUUACAAUUAUCUGUGCUUGUAGUUUACUGUAGCAUAAUAUAUGGGUCAUUUGUGUGCAGUAGCCAAGAAAGAACACUGGACUAUGUCAUAGCUUCGACAGAAGGGUCACUUCUUUGCGGAUUGCAUGAAAAAAAGGGCAACCCCCCCCCACCGGUGUAAAAUUGGCUUUGAGGUCGAGAGGGAGACGAAGAAUUAGGGAAAAUUGUUCAAUUGAUAUAGUGCUAAUUGUAAAUAUUGGGAAUUGGUCGACAAUGGAGGAUCAAGUAGCAUUACUGUGAAUGAGAAAAAUCAUGUGGCUGUUGAGGAAUUUGAACACUUCUCCCACUUGUUCCAAUCUUUUUUUGGAGUAACGGAAGAAAAAUUUAUUGAAAAGAUUGAACAUGACAAUACGCAAGGCCAACGAAAGUGCAGAGGUGGAUAAGAAAUGGAAGGGACCAGCAUGAUUAAUAGUUAUGUUGUCAUAAGUUUCAUUCCGUACCACUUUUGAUGUGUGGUAUGUGUUCUUUCUAGUAUAGCUGGUGAACUGUAAGAAAGUUGGUAUUUAUUUGGGUGACUGUAUGUUGGUGUUCUGUCUAGUGUAGUUGGUGAACUGUCUAGUGUAGUAUGUGUUCUGUCUAGUGUUUGGCAAGUUGUUGUAAUUUUCAAUCAUUCCAUCUUAGUAAUGUUAAUUUGUGUUCUUCACUCUAGUGUUUGGAAGUUGCUGUAAUUUUCUAUCAUUCCAUCUCAAUAAUUUGUUCUCUCUUACUGUGAACUCGAUUAAUCAUAUAGGGUUUGAGCAUGAAAACUUUUAGCUGUCUGAUGGUAUGAGCAUCAAUGAAAUUGCAAUGCUAACUGCAGGUAUUGAGCAUAAAAACUUGUAGCUGCCAUUCAUAAAUCUAAAAGAAAAUGAGGAUUGUAAAUGUACAUGAACAUUGUUUAAGAGUGGCUUUUUCCCCCACUCUGAUGGGAGCACUAUUGAGAAUUUGUUCAAAAUCAAUAUAGUGUUGAAGUGUGGAAUGUUAAAACUAAAUGGUGGAAGUGGAAUAUUAAAACUAAACGGUGGAUAGAACCAAACAGUUGGAUGAAAACGGUGGAAUAAUACAAUAAAAAACCAAACGGUGGCCCAAGUUCUUGGCUCAUGCGACCGCAUGAGCCAUGUAGCCAUGCGGUUGCAUGGCCACUUACCGAAAAUUGGAGGGGCUGCAUGGACUAAUACCAUGCGGUCGCAUGGGUAAGAAAUCCGACCGUUACAAUAUUGUUUCUUAUCGUUGAAGGUUCAAAUUUUGGUGGCUUUUCAUUAUGUUUGGCACCACUUCGAGCAGCUAUCAUCCAUGGCUAUAUAUAGGUGAUUUGUGAUCAUUUCAAGGGUGUGAAAAAAAAAAUCGUUACAAACAUGAGAGAAACACCUUUUGAUCCAAAUAUUAUUCCACAUAAAAUCAAACCAUUGAUUCCUUAUUCAUAUUCAAAUCUUCCUUGUGUUCUUAAAGUUUUGGAGGAUCGUGCUUAUGUUUUAGCGCUAGAUCCUUUACAAGGCUUGAUAUAAUCCUACAAACCAUUUGCCAAAAUCUUUAAGCACCUCAAACAAUCCCGAGGGGAGGUAAAUAUAAUUUGAGGACAACAAUUACGUGUUCGAGCCUUCAUUUCAUUAUGUUCUUCAUCUUCUUCAUUUCAUCUUCUUGAUUUUUUGGUUAUUGGUUCUUCUCCAAUUUCCUCGGUGAUGCAAAUUUCCCAAUAAUCUCAAACUAUAUUUUGGCGAUGGAGAAUGAAACCACUUUGGUGACAAUCAAGUUAAUGGAUUGAGAUCUUGUUCGUGGGGACUGUUUGAUGGCUCGACUUGUAGGAGAAUUUGAAUCCAGAUUUUGUGUAAGUCGAAAUGGCUCUCCAAAUUCGGUAAGUGAAAUUACAUUUGUUUAUUGAAUUCUGAAAAAUUCAAUGUGCAUUAAUAAAAUAUGAUUCAUGUUGGAUCUUCGAUCUAAUGAAACGGUGCCGACAAUUAAAUGGACAUCAUGAAAGAAAUCUUUUGAUUUUUUGCACCGCCUUUAUGGAAAUAGAUGAAUCAGUCUCUGCAUGUAUUCAUGAUAUUCUGAAAAAGGAUUUAAUGAUAACUAUUGUCACAUGCAUGAUAAGUAUACUAAGAUACUGCCAUACUGGUUCUUUAUUUGGCAUAUCUAAAGAAAGUGAGGAAGGCAAUGGACUUAAAUGUCAGAAGCAUAUUCAUUUCAUUAAAUGGCACAUUUCGAAUUUGUUUUAUCGGACGGUGAUGGUCAGAUGAUCAUGAAUUUCCAUUAUUCUGAUUAAAUUUCCACUUGCAUUCUUAAACUAAAGAAUUUGUCGUAUUAAUAUGUUAUUGAGAGAAUGCAUGAAUUUAGCCUUUGAAUGGCAGUAUGCUUCUUUGGUCUGAAAUGCCGACAAUCAUGUUCCUUUAUGAUAAAAACCACACCUUAAACUCUGUUUAAAUAUUUGACCGACCAGCCGCCAAUGGAGAAAAAUGCAUGUAAGUUUAUACGUGUUGGCAUGAUUCAAUAAUCGGCAGAGAAUGGUACUGCUAUUGGUUGAACAUGCAUGGCUGCCUGUAAUGAGUCAUGGACCAUGAAAAGGUGUAUAUGGUUCAAAUGGAUUAAAUGGUGACUUUUCAAUUUUGCAAUUUAAAACCAUUUGUGAAGUUGACAGCUUUGUUUAUUGGGGUUAAUUUACUGGCAUGUUUUGGUAAUAAAAUUUUGAAAAACGACCUUCAUAUAAAAUCCUCUAUGUUUCAUGAAUAGUCUGAAUGAAUCUCUACUGAUUGUCUUCUCCCAAUCAAAACCUCGCGAAAACAUUUGUCAGCCAUGGAAGGGAUAAAUGGAACCCAAUUGUGUGGUUCCUAGUAAGGCUUCUUUGGGAUAUUAUGAACACGUUCAUGGCUGACUGGUGGUAGGCGGUGGAGGAAGUUGCUCAACCGCCGACUUAUUAUAAUAGGAAGUAAGUAAAAUGGGUGUGGUGCAUUAAUAUCAACCAAUAAAAGAUUCAUGAAGAUAGGAUAGGAUCACAACAUUUGAUCAUACAAGUUGGCAUAUUUUCUGGACAAGUGCAUGUGAUUCAGAUUACUAAAUGGUGACUCCUAAUCUUUGGUGACUAAUUUUCGAAUGUAAAAAUUGUGUUUGCAUGGUAUAUGGUCAUGAUAGCAAUAUUAGAAUUCUGUGAAAGAAAUUCUAAAACUUCAAACAUUGAAUCCAUAAAUCUAUUUGGAAUUGAUCUAGUCACCAAAUAGGUAAAAUAUUCUUUAGAAUUUAUUCAUGUAUUGAAAAACCACAAGGGCAGUAGCAGAAGGAGGCUGCCAUAUAUUUCAAAAUGGGUAAGCACUUUCAUUGGAAGAGUACUAAUUGUUUUUCGGAAUUGCAUGAUGCUAAGCUGCAUAAUUAUAAAUUUUCUACGUGAUAUAUUUGACAUAGAAUAAAGCAUGUGCGUGAUCUUGCUUUGUUAUGAAAAUUUGAUUUUAUAUAUGGAAUAUUAUGAAAUAUUCUAGGACCAAUUUAGAUGGAAAAUAUGUGAUUUUACAAAGUAUGGCUAAUUGCAUUUUGAUAAAUGUUACUGCAUGUGGAAAUGAAAUAAAUUGAUUAGUCUCACUUCAUUGUGACAUUUGGAAAUUGUUCACAUACAUGGGAUUAUAAUAUUGGAAGAAUGCAUUUGUUGAAAAUGUUUGAAUUUCCAUUUCUUUGUUGAAGUGUACGGGAACGGGAAAAUUCUAAAGUGUUAGAAUUUUAUGAUAGAAAUUAUGUGAACUUUCAUGUCCAAUUCCUUUACUAGAAAAUGGAAAAUUACAUAUGGAUUACUUCAUCUCACUUUGUUGUAACAAUUGGAAUGGUUCAUAUGCAUGAAUGUUAAAGAAUGCAAUUUAAAUCAAUUGUAGUGGCUGAAGAUCUAUUUGACCAUGGUUGUUAUUCAGUGAUUAAUUUCAAUAUAUGGGCUAUCACAUUUUCUUGGAUGAUAUAUCCACUUGAAUUGCCCACAUGUUUCCAUAGGGCACCAUUUACUGUACAGUGCAUUUGUCAUUAUGUUGGCUUAUGGACUUCAAGGUGCAAGUAAAGUACAUCCAUAUUUGUGUUUUGAGACCAGCCUAUUAAUAUUUAAUUGGUCUAAAGGAUGUGCAUAAAUGUGGAAGGAUGCCUACUAUUUGUUGAAAGCUCAUGAAAUUUCAUGACUACUUAUUCUAUUGGAAUACGAGAAUCACUUGAUAAACUUGAUGGUUGAUUUCAUGUUCUAUUAAAAUGAUGAUAGCCACAAAAUUAAGUGAGAUGAUCUUAUACAAAGUCGUGUUUGUAUAUAAAUGUGACAAAAUAUGAUUUUGUCCAAAUGUGAAUAAGGUGAACAUAUGUCUUAUUGUUUGAUAUGAUAUAAUCUUGUAGAAGUGACAAAGUGCAAUUCUUGUUAAACAAGAAAGUCUUAUUCGAAAAACCAGUUGAGUUGGUUUAUGCUUGGAAAGACAUUAUUGGUCUAUGAGAUGACCUUGAUCAAAUUGUGCGAUCAAAAUUAAAGAUAGUUGGAUUAAAGUAUGUUGUGACUUAACAACCACUAUCUGAAAGUAACUAAACUUUCACGAGUAUUAUCAAAGUGAUAAGAAAAACUAUAAAAGAGUUAAUGAACUUUAAGUUCAAUAUCAAUCCCAAAUGUGGGGGUCGACAUAUUGAGGAACUCUAUGUUCGAGUAUAACCCAAAAUGUGGGGGUUAACAUUAAUCUUAUGAACUUAAUGUUGCAUCCAUAUAUCUUUGAACUUCUCAUAUAAGUUAGUUUAAAAAGUUACCGUAUCUUUUACCUUUUAAUCAUUGCAAUACAUCUAUGAUGGAGAAAAGUAUUGAAGGCCUUGUAAAAAUGAAACACACUAAGUCUAAAGUGGAUUAAAUGGGUAAAGGCUGAUUGUGGUGCUUGGAAAACCAAUGGAAUAUUUAAAAAAUAUUCAUUGAAGAUCAUUAUAAUGAUUCAAUGAUGAUAAGUAAAUACCCAAGUAUUAAAAUCCACAAAUAGAAGUGAUUGGCUACUGUAAUGAAUUAAUGGAAAUCAUCCAACGGUGUUUUAAAAAUCUGUAAGGCUUUAAAUGAAACGAAUGAAAAGCAUGUGGCUUCUUGGUGGUGACAAUUUGUAUCUAUCAAAUGAAUCGAUCAUUGGCUAGCUAUAUUUUGAUAAGAUACUAAGUCACAUAAAAUGAGAAAUAAAGACAUAUAAGUCUUAGAAGUGACGUCACAAGGAAUUAUCGAAGGUGGAAUAAUUUUCGAAGAGAAUUUAGUGGAUCCUUUAACUAGACCACUAAAUAAAACUUUAGUGGCAUCUACUUUGAGUAGGAUGGGGUUGAAACUCCUAAUCUAUAAAGGUCCAUCAAUGACGGCAACCCUACCUGUUAUUACUCAAAAAGGUAAUCUAUGGGUUCAAAGGGUAAAAACAAGUCAUUCGAUUUGUGGGAUGGUUGCAGCAUUAUUGAAAUCCGCAUAGACUCUAUCCUCAGUAAAAUAACGCUGGUUGUUACUGAAGUGAGGGUUGAGCAUUAAAUCUCUUAAUGAAGUUCAGUGCUAAAAACACAAGUAUUUCUAAAAGUAACAAAGGUACUAGAAGAAACUUCACCUAAACAAACUUCGAGGUGGUGCCGCCUCAAUUGAGAGUUGGAGUUUCUCUCUUAAAAGUUUGUUGAAUAGGAUGAGAGCAAGACCAUAAUAGCGCUAAGCGAUUUUUGAGGAACUUGAGAACACGUGGUAUUCAUGUGGGUGUUCGAACCGGUAUUAUCACAUGGAAUAAUUGGUUCAAAGCUAUGGCUACCUUUGAUUCCGACUAUAUUGUUUGGAUUACACUAUGGCUAGAUUCAAAUCGAAAGAUAUCUAAUCCUUAUGCAUGAGUAUCGUAUGAUUUGGAUAUGAGACUUGAUUGAAUUUUAAACAAGUGGAGGAUUGUUGAGAAUUUGUUCAAAAUCAAUAUAGUGUUGAAGUGUGAAAUGUUAAAACUAAAUGGUGGAAGUGGAAUAUUAAAACUAAAUGGUGGAUGGAACCAAACGGUGGGAUGAAAAUGGUGGAAUAAAACAAUAAAAAACCAAAUGGUAGCCCAAGUUCUUGGCUCAUGCUGUCGCAUGGCCACUUACCGAAAAUUGGAGAGGCUGCAUGUGAUGUUCCAUGCGAAAUCCAUGCGGUCGCAUAGGUAAGAAAUUCGAACGUUGCGGAUGCAAACCCGGAUAGCAACGAAAACUAUCGAACCCACACAAGAGUAACAUCAAUCCCAAGAAUGCUAAUUUGAUUCGAAGUUUACAGAUUUAAUUCAUAAACGAUAAAUUAGGCAACCAACGAUAUAUUAAAUCGAAGACCUCAUAAUUACACAAUUUAAGAACCUCGCCCAAGGUUGUGAACACCACAAGAAAUCCCAACCAGAUCCCUUGAUAAGUUCAAAGUCCCGAAAAACAAAGGUUUGAAAGCAAAUUGCAUCUCUAAAUUAAUUCUCAAAUCAAAGUCUGUUCCUUAAUGAAAGAUAGAAAAUAAUUUAUACUACCUUAGGAAACAAGGAAACCACAAAAUUCUAGAGUCCUAAAAUAAUGAAACUUGCCAAAAAUAAGAAAUUGAAUCAAAUUAAAAUUCUAGCAAAAAUUGGAAAUUCGCAUCUUCAGUUUUGCUCAUGCGACCGCAUGGUAGAACUUGGUGCGGUCGCAUGGUUGAAGAUGUUGCCGCCUUUCGAGUUUGGUAGCCACCUGUGCAACCGCAUGCCUGCAACACGGUGUGAUCGCAUGGAGUUAUGAUUUUGUCCCUUCUUUGCUGCUUGAACCGCGUUGUUCGUAGGCUUCCGGACUUCGACCCCAACAUGAAAGUUGUCACUUAGCUCAUGGACUUCAACAUAGUAUGCUCCGUGCCUCGAUCCAUCAAUUGUGCCACCCUAUUAGCUUCCCGAAGACCCGAACUUGGUUUAGGUUUCUUCCAAUCAAACUCCAAUGCUUUGGUUCGUUUUGGCGAAACCCGUAUCACAUCUACCCCUCCCUCUUCGAGAGGAUUCGACCUCGAAUCUUUACCUGGUUCAAAUACUUGUCCCGUGUCCACUCCUUGAUUGAUAUUUUUGAACCCCGACGUUCAAACCUGUCUCCUCUAUUCCUCAUUUCACCCAAUUCAACUCCAUUGAACCCAACGUCAUCCACAUCACCACCAUAACCAAAUUCACCAUGCAAUUCCACCCUCGGUUCCCGUCGUCCCGAUCUCCUAGCAUUAGGUACCUCAACUCGUUCCAUAUGCAAAUUGGUAACCGAUGUGUCAAUCCUUUCUAUCCUAUCACCCAUAUCCUUCAACAUUCGCUCAAACCUACAUAUCACAUCCUCCAGCAUAUUUGUUCGAGUACCAACCAGACUUGAGUUUGACCCUUCGCUGCAAGACAUCCUAAAUACUAAAUUUUACAUGCCUCAUUUUUUAUAUUGCUUGGAAAUCACUCAAUUUAAGCUUUUUCCCUCAAAUAAUCUCACCACUCAGCCUUUUACCUCUCAAUUGCUUCCAAUCAGUGUUCUUGAGAACAAUAGGUGGCUUUGAACUCGUGGAAUAAUAGUUAAUUGUUCAAGACUCAAUAAUCAGGAAGUUAAAGAACUAAGACAAUAAAUAAAAUUUUUGGAGGGACUAAAAAAAAAUUUUUGACACGUGAACAGUGACGAUGAUAUGGAUGUGAAUAGUACGACGAACAGUAAAUUUUUUUUUGUAGACUCUUACGAAGGGAAAACGAUUAGGACACUAACACAAUAAACGGAAUUGAAUUUGGACUCUAUAUGAACCUGAAAAACAACUUUAAAUUUUUAUUUUUAUUUUUUAUUUUUUUUUUGGUAUUUUGAUGGAUCUAAAAUAAGACUCUAACGAAGAACGACGAAGAACACAAGAACGAAAGGAAAACAACGAAACUGACUCAACAAGACAAAUUGAAAGAUAUAACUUCGAACUUGGAGCCUAAGCUCUGAUAUCACCUGAUGCGAACCCAGAUAGCAACGAACACUAUUGAACCCACAUGAGAGUAACACCAAUCCCAAGAACGCCAAUUUGAUUUGAAGUUUACGGAUUUAAUUCCUAAACGAUGAAUUAGGUAACCAACGAUAUAUUAAAUCGAAGACCUCAUAAUUACAUAAUUUAAGAAACUCACCCAAGGUUGCGAACGCCACAAGAAAUCCCAACCGGAUCCCUUGAUAAGUUCAAAGUCCCGAAGAACAAAGGUUUGAAAGCAAAUCACAUCUCUGAAUUAAUUUUCAAAUCAAAGUCUGUUCCAUAAUGAAAGAUAAAAAAUAAUUUAUAUUACCCUAAGAAACAAGGAAACCACGAAAUUCUAGAGUCCUAAAAUAAUGAAACUUGCCAAAAAUAAGAAAUUGAAUCAAAUCAAAAUUCUCGCAAAAAUUGAAAAUUUGCGUCUUCAGUUUUGCCCAUGCGACUGCAUGGUAGAACUUCAUGCGGUCGCAUGGUUGAAGAUGUUGCCACCUCUCGAGUUUCAGUAGCCACCUGUGCGACCACAUGCCUAUGACACGGUGCGGUCGCAUGGAGUUAUGGUUUGGCCCCUUCUUCGGCUGCUUGAAUCACGUUGUUUCAUAAGCUUCCAAUCAAACUCCAAUGCUUUGGUUCGUUUUGGCGAAACCCGUAUCACAUCAGUUGCAAUAUUGUUUCUUGCCGUUGAAGGUUCAAAUUUUGGUGGCUUUUCAUUAUGUUUGGCACCACUUCGAUCAGCUAUCAUCCAUGGCUAUAUAUAGGUGAUUUGUCAUCAUUUCAAGGGUAUGAAAAAAAAUCAUUACAAACAUGAGAGAAACACCUUUUGAUCCAAAUAUUAUUCCACAUAAAAUCAAACCAUUGAUUCCUUAUUCAUAUUCAAAUCUUUCUUGUGUUCUUAAAGUUUUGGAGGAUCGCGCUUAUGUUUUAGCGCUAGACCCUUUACAAGGCUUGAGAUAAUCCUACAAACCAUUUGCCAAAAUCUUUAAGCAUCUCAAACAAUCUCGAGAGGAAGGAAAUAUAGUUUGAGGACAGUGAUUACGCGUUCGAGCCUUCAUUUCAUUAUGAUCUUCAUCUUCUUCAUUUCAUCUUCUUGAUUUUUUGGUGAUUGGUUCUUCUCCAAUUUGCUCAGUGAUGCAAAUUUCCCAACAAGCACAUACCAGUAAACCAAUCAAGCCAUGUACAACAAAAGGUAAAAAAAGCAAUCAAGCCAUGUGUUUAUCACGGAGUAAUGUCCAGACUGCCAAUGUAAACCAGUAGACAAUAAGUGUAACUGUACAAACUCUAAGAUGAUUAAAUUAUCAAUUCCAUUGUCCAUGUAUUCCAUCAUCUAGUUAAACUAAAUUCAUACAAAAUGACCAAAAAUAAGGCAAUUCAUCCUCUUAGGCAAGAUUAUUCAAUAAUUAUUUGUUAACUGGAUUUUCUUUACUAAGUCACUUGGAACAAUACCAUCAGCACAAUAAAAUGCACAAAGGAGCAGUAAAAUCCAAAAGUGUGAUUUGAAUUAUGAAUUUGUUUUUCAUAACAAAUCAAAGGGAUGAUCUUCUCUCAAAAAACUUAGAAAAGUUUAGCUACAAACCAACAAUGAGGGUCUUAGAGAACCUCAAGCUACUAGACAAACUACUUGUGAAGAGCACAAGAAUAGUUAUCUGUACCGACAUCUUCUGCAAGGCAUGGAUUACGUUACAACAUAAUAUUCCCAAAAUAAGUAAAUCAAAAAAACAGAGUCAUUGGCAUAAUAUUCCCAAACAUUUAAGCUUUCCCAAACGACAAAUGGGAUUACGUUACAACAUAGUAUUCCCAAAAUAUUAUAGUAAUAACUGAGAUUACUGUAAUAAGUAAAUAAAAAUAAUAAAAAGAAUAUAAAAAAUUCAUAAUACAAGUGAGUGAAAAUGGGUUGACAGAUUUCCUUGCAAAACAAAGUGGUCGAAAAAGGGACUACGUUACAGCAUAGCAGCAAUUUAGGUUUGUUCACAUCUCAAACAAACUUUUUCUACCGUAGUCUACUGUAACCAUUGAUUUCGGCAUUUAUACAUCUCAAACAAGCUUUUUCUACCUUUGUCUGUCAUCGAAGAUGGCGAUAGAUUGAAGCUGGAACAGCUCUUUUUUACACCGUCGAAUCUAUGAAGACGGCGAUAGCUUGAAGUCGGAACAGCUCUUUACCUUCAAACCGGAGACGACAGCUUCUUGUACAUGCGGUAGGUUUCAAGAAUUGGGGCCAGAAAAAGAGAAAGCGCGGACAAUAUGCUGAGCAGAUUUGAAUUACCCAGUCUUUUCUUAUGAGUGGGUAUUGUUGCCCGCUCCAUUAGUCUCAAUUGUAAAACCCGGCCCAACAAUGAAUACGGCAAAAUUUGUUAUUUAUUGAAAAUUCAAAAUAUGCUCCCUUUCCACGUCAUAGUGUCAUCCAGCAGGUAAAGACAAGGGUACAAACAGCAUUAUCCAAACUCAAAAAAGAAAAGAAAAAUAAAGCACAAAUUGCAAUCAUACUCCCAAACGUUUUGAAAAAAAAUGUAAAUUGGUCCAAUAAAUUAUUAAAAUAUUAAAAAUUAAAAAAAAAAAUUAUAAUGGUACAAAUGAAACAUUGUCAAUAAUACUUCAUUUUUUUAGAGCAAUUUCAAUACUACGGCAUUAACUUUCCUCUCCUCCUCUCUCUCUAAUGCAAAAUUUUUCUGUUUAAUUUCUUCACACAAGCACAACAAACAAAAGUAGUGAACAAUUGAGGGAUUCCUACAAUUCCCCCACCUGCCGAUUGAAUUCUGGGAUCUCAAAUACCAAUUUACCAAAGACAAUGCUUUCUCAAAAAAUCCAUAUUCAAGAUUACAGAAAAAUAUGGGUGAUGAUGACAACCUACUUGCUAGCAAUGACGAAAGUAUUUCUCCUGGAGGUCGGAACCUGCCUGUUGGAGGCAGCGGCGAUGGGAGUCAGUUUGAAAUGAACCAUCUCUUAGAUUAUUUUAAGAUCGUAGGGACAACUUCGGCACCAAAAGGUGCUCGGGUUAUUUAUUUGUGCAUAGACAUUACUGCUUCAUAUGCUCUUUCUCGGUGAGCUUCUCACUACUGGGCCAGAAAUAUGGGCAAGCUCUGAAGGUAAAGUCGAUGCAUUUGUUGCUGGAAUUGGGAUGGGAGGAACAGUGAUUGGUGUAGGGAAGUUCCUCAAGUAGAAGAAUCCAAAGAUAAAGGUCAACAGAGAUCCUGAGAUAUCCUUCUCUUAUUCUUCACUUUAUAUUUACAUUUCCAAUCUUGAUUUCUCAUUUUUAUUUGAUCUCUGUUAAAAUUCAAGAGAAUGUAUUUGGGAAUGAAGAAUUCUUUCAUUGAUUUUGAUGGACGUGUUGUAGUUCAUUUAUAAAACAAUGAAUAUUGCAAAAUGGGUAUAUUCCUAUUCUAGAAAUGGAAAAUCAAUCACUUGCAACUAAACAAGGAAAAUAAAUAUUGCUAAACUAGACAAGGAAAAUAAAUCUUGGUAAUUAUCAAUUAUUCAAUACUCCCCCUCAAGUUGGAGCAUGAAGACCUGGAAUGUCCAACUUGUGAGCGAAAUGACAAAAAUAAUCUUUGCCGGGAGCCUUUGGGAAAAUAUCCUCCAAAUUGAUGUGGAAUGCCCAACUUCCAAUUUUAUUUAUUUAUUAUUAUUAUUAUUAUUUAAAACAUAAGAAAACCCCUAGGUUGUUUAAGGGGCACGGGGAAAGCCGGUAAAAUUCAAGAAACCGACCCUCCAAAGUUUUUUUGUUUUUAAAGUCCUCUAGUUUGUUUAAGAGGUAGGGGGAUAGCCAAUAAAAUUUAAGGUACCGACCCUCCAAUUUUUAUUUUUUUUUUAAAUCUCUAGAAUGGACUCAUUUUGGCAUGGGCUAAAAAAAUUUUCAGUAGCCCAAAUCUAAAAAAAAAAAAAAAAAUUCAGUAGCUCAGGAGGAUCUAACAAAUGGAAGGCCCAAACAUUAAUUAACCGACCCAAUUAGUACAAAAUCCGUUUCAACUUCUUCCCAAAGAAUCAUCACUAUGGCAGAAGUCAAUAACCCAUUUGAAAGAGGCAGCACCAAUUAGAGCUUCCAUAGCUACCGCCUUCAUCAAAUCAGGAAGAGGUAAAAAAGCUCCAUCACCAUAAGAUUUAAAAUUUGAGUCGUGGGCAGCAUAUUCAGAAGCUUGAGGAACUAUGACAGAAAAUUGGGAAGAAUUUUAUUUCUGGAUUAUUUUCACCCAAUAAAAAACUUUAGCUCGAAGAAUCAUAUUCAAACAAGUUCUAGUUUUGGUUGCGUAUGAGAAAGAGAUGGUAAAGAUAAGGCUGCAGCAGAGGCUGUAGUAAAUGAGAAAGUGGGGAUAGAUAAGGCCCCAGUAGAGGAAUUAAUAACAUUUGUGAAGAAUGAUUCUUUGUUGCAACAGGUCAAUAGCUUGAGGGAGGAACUGCAACUAUUGGCAUCAAGUAGAUCUGUUACAGUUGUUACGUCAAAAACUUCAGGAUCCAGCAGAGACGGUAAAAGCUUGAUUAAAAUUUGAAAAAAAAAAAAAAAAAUUGGCUGGUUUUAUUUCGCCGGGCAAGCGACCUUGUACCACUCGCCGGAAAUGCAAUUCGAAGGUUCGUUUAGGCUCGAACCCGCUCUGAUACCAUGUUAAAAUUCAAGAGAAUGUAUUUGGGAAUGAAGAAUUCUUUCACUGAUUUUAAUGGACGUGUUGCAGUUCAUUUAUAAUACAAUGAAUAUUGCAAAAUAGGUAUAUUCCUAUUCUAGAAAUGGAAAAUCAAUCAUUUACAACUAAACAAGGAAAAUAAAUAUUGCUAAACUAAACAAGGAAACUAAAUCUUGCUAAAUAUCAAUUAUUCAAUAAUCUCCAUCCAUUUCUUUUAUUUUCCCCGUUUUCUAUUGCGUCACUAACAGGUAUAUGGUAUAGAACCUGCCGAAAGUGCAAUUUUAAGUGGAGGAAAACUAGGUAAUUCAAAUAUUUCAGCACGAUCAUUUAUCGGUACGUAGGUCUGGCGCCCAAGGUGGCUGGAGGGCGGAGUUUUGGUGGUGGAGGAAGAGGGAGGAGGAGGGGGAGAAAGAGGGAGGAGAUGAUUUUUUUAGUUUUUAAUAUUUUAAUAAUUUAUUGGACCAAUUUACAUUUUUUUUCAAAAUGUUUGUGAGUAUAAUUGCAAUUUAUGCUUUAUUUUUCUUUUUUUAAUUGAUUUUUUGUUUUAAAUAAAAGGGUAUAAUAGUCAUUUUACGUUCAACAACAGUGAAAAUGACGUUUUGCUCAACAAAAUGUCGAAAUAAGGGCAAAAAUGUCAAAAAAUGAAAGGUAGAGAGGUUUCUCACAAUAGACUUGAAAGGUAUCCACGUUUUGUGUCAAUUACCCAAGAGUCUUUUAAGGUAUAAUAAAAUAAGGAUAAGGAUAAGGAUAAGAUUCACAAAGUACAAUCUAUAGUCCCAUUGAAGACGGUCUUCUCUUCAUAGAAAAUUCUGAAGUACCAAAAAAUCCUUGCCAGAAGGUCUGACCACCUCUCACAAUGGCUGUGGGUCCCGCGUGAAUAAAAAUUGCCGGCCUCCAUGUGCUUAUGUGUGUUCUGUCAGGGCCUUUGUUGGUGUAGCACGACCCUCUCUUCAUUACUAAUUGUACUUGCCACCUGUAUAACAAUGCAAAUUCUAGAUUCUCUUACUUUUCGUUCCAAUUUUAUUUAAACUAAGAAGUGGAAUUUAUACAAAUAUGAAAAAUGUGUGCAAAAAUAAGACAGGCCAUUGCCAAUCCAAACAAUUAGCUAGCCAUGGCUGAAUAAUGGUGGUGGAGUCAGGAUAUAUUUUUUGGAUAGGCAAAAAUAAUUGUAAGUAAUAUUAUUAUAAUUAUUCUGACCUAUUUUCAUAAUGCUACACAAUCUAGAUGCUUGACAAUAACCUUAAAAAAAAAAAAAAAAAAAAAACGCACGUUUCAUUUUACAAAAGAAGAAAAAAUCAUGGACAUUUAUAUAGUUCUUGCCGACAUUGUCCCAAAUCUAAAAAAGAUGUAGAAUUAAUUAAGGGUGAUUAGCACAAAACGUCCCCACCUUUCAAGAUUUUUGUGAAAAACGUUCCUAUCUUUCGUUUUUUGGCAAUUUCACCCUCACCUUUGCCUUUUAUUAAGGAAAACGUCCUUCCGUCCACUUAUCGUUAAAAUAUUCCGUUAAAUCAAAUAAAAUGAUAUUUUUCUUUUCAAAAGGUAAGGGUAACAUUGUCCAAAUCAAUUUUUCUUUGCUUCCCAAAUUACAAUGACUUAUUUAAAAUUACUUAUUUCUACUUUUUUUCUCCUUGUAGAUACAAGAUGUUUGCCAGUUUGGGAUAUUAGACUUUGUAAGAAUAUGCAGAAAUAUAUCCUUUAAAUUUUGUGUUAUACUUUGCUUAAAUGUGUGGUUGUUCAUCUUCAUUUUGUGCUUAUGAAGGGUGUAAAUAAAGGGUAAAAUGACAAGACCAAUUAAAAUGUAAUUUUGUAAAUGGACAAUGCAUAUGAACGUAGAAGAUGAUGAACAUGAACGGGUCUUCUUUCCAUUUUAGCACAAAAUUGAACUUAUGGUAACAGUCCCUACCUUUACAUUGUCUUUGUACAAAACAUCCACUGUGGCGAAACCUUGUAUUUUUCUGAGUAACGCUAUGUAUCUACAUUAGAGAUGAUCAUCGUAUAAUUUGUAGUUUCAUUAAAUGGUAAGACCAGUAAAGUAGGUCUUAUAUAUCCGUAUAUUUAAUUGCUAAUAUAAUUUCAUGCACAUUGUGUGUCAUAUAGAUCGGUGAUAAUCUCUAAUGAAAAUAAAUAUAACUAUUCUAUUUUUAUGUUGGCUAGAAUAAUGUUAUGCAAUACCAUCAAUCUAUAUAGCAUUAUUCUCUUUAGCUGGCUAUCUUUUUUUUUCUUUUUCUUUUUUUAUGACGGGAGAACCUACAACCGUCACCCUUUGGGUGCACACUGAGUAAACCCUCAGACUAAUGCAAAUAGUCUACAAAUCACGCGCAGUCAGGUAAAUCGCACUAGACAAGCCCGAUGUGAUAAGCUCAACCAAAAAAGUGUUGGUAGGAGGAAUCGAACUCAUGAUCAAAGGUCUCCGCGCUCACCUACUCCACCAACUCGGCCACCCCAUGAGGGGCGCUGGUUGUCUUUUGAAUGGUUGAGUUUUACAUAUGUUAGACUAUAUCUAUAUGUCUCCCUUCUAAACUUGUACUUUGCUUUAUUUUUGUGCGUCAAUAAAAACUGUGUCAUUGAAGUGGCUUGAUUAAAGAAAGGCCAAUAAUGAAUCUUCUGCCAUUAAAUGCUGACAAGUGAACUGCUAGCUAAUAAUUAGCUAGAUUGACAGCAUAUUAACUAACCAUUAAUAUAUGUGUACAAAAUAAUUUACUAAAAGUUUGACAAGGCCGCCAAAUGUCAAGUUUGUCAAACUUGUUGUAGUUGGUUUUGUACUUCUAGCAUGGUCCAUUAACCAAUUAGUUGAAUCAAAGUUGAAAGGCAAAUAAAUAAAUUUUAUUUCUUCUUAAUUCCAUAAAUGGCAAUCCACCCGGCUGGCCAGGGAUGUGUUUUCUUGUGUCUAUGCUCUGGGUAGUCUGUGUCUUGUGAGGGUGAAGUUAAGAUUUGCAUGGCUUUGAAGUUAUAUAUAUGAAGGGAGCGAGUCGACAAAGAGAGUUUGCUGUGCUCCUAUUUGACCUACAAUUUUUAUCAGCUUUUCAACUACACACUCUAUCAACUUUUAUCAAAAUUUACUAACAACCUGAUUUCAGCCAAACCAGAUAGAACAAUAUGUAGAAAAAAAAAAAAUUGCUGGUUCCCAUGAGUGUCAAAAGUCUAUCUACUAUUUACUUGGGAGGAAAUGGAGUCACGUCUCUUAAGCCCAUAAGAUAAUGACAAAAGGCAUGGAAUGCUCAUUCUUGGGUACAGAAGUUAUUUGAUUAAACCCUAGAGGCUGGAGAACACUUUUAAUUCGGGAUUCAAACAUUUCUUGCUUGGCCUCUCAAACCCUACUAUAAAAUAAUGAAAAGAAAUAAACUAACAGAGAGGGAAUUCUUAUAGGGUGUGGAUAAUAUUAAGAUUAAAAAAAAAAAAAAAAACCUGUCGCUAAUUGCCCAUAGGAAUCUAGAGGCUCGGGUUGGUCAACCGAACUGGACUAGACUGUCGAUCUUCUGAAGUAGCCUAAGCAUGGGAAAGAGACCGUAAUUGGCGUCGAGAAUAAACUUCAAGGGUCGACACAGGUUCUGCAAAAGAAUCAAAUGUAGUUCAUUCAAGGUUCAUGAUAGAAUUAAUGGGAAGCGUUAUUGAAAGGCUCACCGCUAGAUCGGAGGCAGAAGCACUUUUAGGAUUGGCUAGUAACUCAAAAAAAUGCUACUAGUUUUUGAAAUUGGGAAAUCAUAUAAGAAUAUUUUGUGUAAAAAAUCUAGGUUGUGCGAAAACAUUUUAAAUUUUAUUGUUUUUGUUUCCGACACUAGAACUAUAUGUUCAUGAAUUCUUGAAACUUAUUUGAAACUUCAGUUUCUUUAUAUUUUUAAUACUAUUCAGAAACUUAAAGAAAACUUUUUAACCAAAUAUCGGAAAGUGUAAUUAAAAAUUUUCACUUUGUUGUGGCUUAUGGGUUUCAACUAGAAAUUAAGCUUCUGUUUAGACACAAACUUAUAAGUAAUUUAUAAAUUCAGUCAAAAUAAAAGUCACAAAUUAAUUUCAACCAUACAUUAUGAUUACUAUUCACUAUUAUUCAUGCAUUUCAUGGCACAUUACUAUUCCUCCUUAUACAUCAUUUAUAAAUUUGCCAAGUGGUAAGAAUAAUUUUCCCUUUCUUACAGAUCGUGAAAUGAAGAGACACUAUUUUGCUUGCUUUCAACCUACACUAUUGUCAGCUAGCACUCGUUGAAAAUGUACCAGCUAAUCUAGCUAAGUGGCAACCGUUAAAAUGUAUAAUUUAAUCUGAGCGAGAUUUAGGAUCUGUUUCACAUUGGCAUAGUUGGGAAUAUAGGUCAUGAAUAAAAUCAGGAAGAUUUGAUUAAUUAUUACAUAAUAAACUGUUAAAUACGGGUCAAAAAAUUAAGAACAACAUGUGAUUGAGUAUUUUCUCAAAUAGUGUUAAUUUGUCCGUGGCUUUUGUUUGCGUCCUACAAGGUAGUUGUAGCCCUAGGAAGAUGUAUUCAAUGCAUGAGGAAUUUGAAUGCAUUAUAUCGAUUAUGCAUCAUUAUUUAAUCCCUUAAAAAUAUGUUCAAUGAUGUUGCACUGAUCGAAAAUACCUGACAAAAGUCGUGACUGAACACUCGCAAUAGGAGGUGGAAGCCACUUUUUUGGAAUUUUUUAUUCACACGGGGUCUCACAUGCAUGUGAGAGGAUAUCGAGGCUUGAAUCCGGUAUUUUCGAUCAACUCAGUUUAAUUGAAAUACAUUUGAUAUGCACUUCUUGUUACACCUCAAAUUUGCAUGGGUCAGGUAAGCAUCAUCAUGAAAGAGAAGUUCACAUAGGCCUAUAACGACACGCCACAUGGAAACUCAACGUGUUCCUGCACUUUUCGCCUAGUUGGAAUGAGUCUGGUGGACCAAUGAACCCGUCCUCAAUAGUAUUGUGUCGUCCUUUAUGGUCUUUGCAUAUAUAGUCCCCAUGGUGAAGCCUUGCCCCUUAGCAGGGCCAGUCCUGUGAUUGUCAGGGUCCGAUGUGAAAUUCAUAAAUUGGGCCCCUGGCGAAAUCAACGUAAAUGCAAAAUUCAACGGUGUAGUAUGCGAUUUAUUACUAACUUAAAACUAACAUUAGAACAAUAAUAAUAUAAGCCGUCCAAACUGCAAUUGUAUAAACAAACAAUGCUUCAAACAUUUUCAAUCUCUUCAAUAACAAGUUAGGCAAGCCAUUGCUUACUUGAGAAGUGGAUUUUCGACGAAAAUUGUGGAAUUACAGCUUUGAGAACUCACGAGCCUGAAAUAAAAAUUUAAAUAAAAUGAAAGACUUUAAUCAUAGAGUGAAGGCGGGUUGGAUGGGAUAUGUUAAUUAAAUUAAUUUUAUAAUAAUAUUAUUAAUAUUUAGAAUUUUAAUUAUGUCUAAUUUUUUAAAGAAAAACUCAUAACUCUUAAUUAUGAGUUGAGAAUUGACAUAUUGAAAACACAUAGUCCAAUAUCUUUGAAAUUUGCUUUACAAGUUAAAAAUAGGGAAGUACUACAUAUACAUAAUUGUCUACAUAAUGGUGUCCAUAAUUACAUGUGGCACUAGAUUUAACCUUUAAUUCAAAUCUCACACUUGCACAUCAACAAUCGGAUGAUUGCCACAUCACAUUAUGGACACCAUUAUGUACAAUAAUUAUGUACAAGUAGAAUUUUCCUUAAAAAUAUAUAUUGCAUCAAAAAAGAAAUAUCCAAUCACCAGAAAUAGAUUAAUUCCCAUUUUGCAGUAAGUUUAGCAACAAUUCAAAUUGCAAAAUUAAAAAUAAAAAUAUGAAAAAGAUUGAAAGCGAUCUCCUGAAUCAAAGCAAAGAAUUUUCAUUUACUACUAAAAAUAGUGUAUAUCUCCUUCCAACGUCAGUGAAAAUUGCUUUACAAAUAAGAAAAUGAAAUUCUACAAAUCUAACAAAAAAUCUAACAAUUUGGGCAAGUCUACAAAUCUGGACCUGGCAUUGUUUUGAAACAACCAAAAAAAAAAAUUAAUAAUAAUAAUAAUAAUCUGGGCAAAAUAGGCCCAAGAACAAAAAAAUCUAACAAUUUGGGCAAAUCUACAAAUCUGGGCCUGGCAUUGUUAUGGAAAAAAAUAAAUAAAUAAAUAAAUAGGCCCUUUUCAUUCUUGCUCAGUCUUUUGAAAAAAAACUGCCAUUUUUUUUAUCUGUUUCAGUGAAAUCGGUCUUUUGUGAGGGAUUUCAGAUUCUUCAAAGUCCACCGUUACUGAGAGGAUUUGCGAAUAAGAGGAACCUGAAUUUUGGAGCAAUGGCAGUAAAAGGCCUCAACAAAUUGGGCCUUACUCGUCUGCUAGCUGGCCCGGCCCAACCAAUGUUUUGUGCCAGACCAUGUCGGGCCCAAUUCGUUUUAUUAAUCCAGGGCAUGUCUUGGCAAAUAGAGUCGAUCACUAUGUGGGCUGGGACAAGAUCAGCCCGUUUGACGUGACUUUUGCUUUUAGCUUUGCUUCCUACAAAAGAGUUUUUGGAGGUAGUUAUUUUAAUUUUUAUUUGAAAACUAAUUUUUUAAAAAGUUAUCUAUUCUGGAAGUACUUUUAGAGGACGUCACAAUGAAUCAGCCUCCUCUAAAAGCUCUUUUAACGUGAAGAAACACUUUCAUAAAAUUAAUCAAACGAUUUAAAAGCAACUUUUGAACCUUAUAAAUUUAUUUUGACUUUUCAAAAAUCAUGUCAAACAAGCACUAUAUAUGUUGUCACUACUAUGGUUGGAGUAAUUAGCGAAUGUAGGUCUAAAACUAGUUGCAAGAAAAUUGCGACGCUCUGCGAAAUCUCCUUCUAAAUCCCACAAGAAUAUCGUCAUUUUCCUAUACUCGAGAGAUUCAUUCCCAAGUCCUAUGCAAAGAUGUUAUUUUUUUCGUUCAAGUCACAAUCUAGAAUCUUUUGUUUAAACUACCCUAGACGCUAGGACAAACUUGUUUACCAGUUCUCUUAUUGAUUGUGCUCACUUUGGUAAGCUGAUAAAAGAUGAUCAAGAAUCAACAAACACUUGAAAUUACAUCACUAUAUGUUCCAUAGGGAGGAUUAAAUAGCAAAAGAGGACUUAAAAUCGUAUCUAUUAAGUUGUCCAAUAUGAUAGUUAUUAUUACAAGAGACUUGUUAGAAUAUGUUUAUCUUUUGUUUGGAAGAGAUCCAAGGACUUCUACCUCGAGAUGAUCCUCUUCUCAAGGGAUGUCUCGACCCUAUGCAUUCUUUAGCUCGGUCGACAAUCAAAUGAACAUGCUUUGAUGCAAACAUGCAUAGAAAUUUAACAGGACUUAGCAUGGUAUAAAUACUAAUGUACAAAGUUUCACCUUUUUUGCGUAUUCUUCUAUAGAGAUAGUAAGCAAAUUUGUACAUAAUAUAAUGAGUAGGUAAGCAUACACAUGGAGAUGGUAAAGUAUAUUCAAUAGUCACUACUAGACUUUGGGGUAUGUGUGACACAGCCUUGCCUACUUAAAAAAUCUUCGUCAACCACAUAUAAAAGUAGAAACUUGAAUAUCAAACUUUAAUGGCUUGCUUUGUAAAGUGAACUAUAUCGUCAUGUAGUCCUAUGCCUUGUAAAGAAAAAGAUUUUAAUAUAAAAUGAAUUUAAUACUGUAUUUAGAAAAUGAUGAGAUUUUAAAGUUUGAAUGUAAAAGAUACACAUUCUAUCGGAAAAACAUUGAGAAAAAGAAUAAUAGGAUUUACAAGUCAAUGCAUGCGUAAAACAGUACAAUUUUGGAACAUCAUAAUAGACAAUUUGUUCUAAAACUACAAGCACCAAAAACCUGUAGUCGAUCUUUAUAUCCCACAAGUGUGCGGAUCAUUACAAGUAAUAAUGUGAACUUAUAAGUCCAGAUAUCAUUUUCACAAGGAUUACUAUUUAGCAAUUGGUUCAAUUAUUUCUAACAUGAAUUUGAUCGAAAACAAGUAAAAUAGUAAUUUUUCUUUUUGUAAUUUUAUAUUUUAAAUAUACUAAAACAAAUAAAAGUGAUUUUUUUAAUAUGAUGGUUUAAGUAUUAGGAUUCAUGAUUUUACCAUGGUUAUCCCCUUAAUCUCAAUUACCAAGUUUUAUAUAAUUGAUUAUGUUUACCUGAUCGAAUUCUUCUAAUGUAUUCAAUUUACCCCUCUCGAGUUCUCUUUGAGUCUAUUUACCUAAUUUAAUUCCAUAUCCAUAUGUGAAUCAAUCUUAGUUAAACACAAUUAUGUUCUAAAAAUUCAUGUAAUGAUCGCAAUAACUAGCAUAAGUAUCUCUACGUUUUAUUCUAAUUACCGACUUUUAUUAUGUGGUCUAAACAAACAAUUCGCAUCUCUACGUAAUUAUUGUUCAUGAAAUCAAUGAAUUAGUGACUAAUUAAUCUAAGUAUUAAGAUUAGAAGCAAAAAACAAUUCACAAAAUCAAUUGAAGAUUUAAAACUUUUUAAUUAAAAUUAAAGUUCAAAACUAGAUUACAAUCAUUCAUCCUAACUAAAUACUUAGUUCCUGUUUGUUUUUCAUUUUUAUAGUAAGAAUGCAUUUUGGAAUAAUAGUUGAUGGAGGAUGUGUGAUUAAAAAUUAAGGAAAAUUUUUUUAUUUACGUGUAAUAUUAUUUUAUUGAAAAAUUGGUGGUUGAAAAGAAGAGAGAGAGAAAUAUAUUUUGGAAAAAAUGAGUAUCAAACAAGGGCUUAAUUGAAAAAUAUAUUUUGGAAAAAAUGGGUAUCAAGCAAGGGUUUAAUUACACAUCAUGUAAUAAGAAUAAAAAUAUAAGAAUGAAUUAAAGUACAUUAUUAAAGAAAAACGAGAAAAAGAUGAAGAUCUUGCACCAAGAUUAUGCCUCUUCUUGUAAAAUCCUUGAAACCAUAGUUUUUUUAGUUUUUAAUUAAAAUUAAAGUUCAAAACUAGGUUGCAAGUAUUCAUCCUAACUAAAUACUUAAUUACACAUCAAGGAAGAGAAUAAAAAUACAAGAAUGAAUUAAAGUACAUCACCGGGUAUUAAAGAAAAACAAGAAAAAGAUAAAGAUCUUCCAUCAAGAUUACGCUUCUUCUUGUAAAAUCCUUGAAACCCUAGUUCUUUGAUUGAUUUUUUGACAUUUUUUCUCCUUUUAGCUUGAAUAAUAUAUGUACAAUGAUCCCCAAGCCUUGCCUUGAAUAUAUGUGUGUGUGUGUAAUAAAACUCCGCAAGCCCCCCUGAAUUGUUGGUAUGUAUUUAUAGAAACAAAUUAUGCUAAAUCCUUGUUCAACUUGAAUUCCACCAAAGAGUUUAAAUUGGUUUCUACUAAAGAGUUUAAAAAAUAAAAGGAAAUAAAUUCAUUUUUCAAUUGAACUUCCUUUUUUCUUGUAACUUUAUUCAUCCAUCUUCUUUUAUUUUGCAAUUAAAUCAUCUUUAUUCAAAAAUCAUAAUAGUUGAUUCGAGACAAGUUUCAAAAUUUACAAUUUAAUCCUCAAACUUUUCAAGUGUUGAAUUUAAAUCCCGAAACUUAUGAAUUUUUUUUUAUCGAAUACUUCAAUAAUACUUCCAAUUGAUCUCUUGUAAUUCGAUUAAUCUUCAAUUUCUUUAAAUUGACUUCAAUUAAGCUCCAAAUAGCCUCUUUUCAUAUAAAUUGUAUUGUAUGAAGUUGGAAUUAACAUGAUUUAUAUAAAAUAAGUAGAUACUCACUCAAUUUAUAUAUCAUUGAAUAAGAAUAGAAGCCCGAAUAAACACAUAAAAUGCACUUAUUAGAUAUCUCCAAACUUAAACUCUUAUUCGUCCCGAGCAAGACUAUCUACUAAGAUACAAAAAUAAUAAUAAUAAUAAUAAAUAAAUAAAUAAUCUAAAUGUAUUAGAUAACUUUGUUGAACUCACGUUAAGUAUUGAAAUCGUUUGAUACUUUACAAAAAGUAUAUACGUAAUACAACUAAAACUAAUUCUUUACGUGCUAAAAAUUAUUUCCAUAUGUAUUGAAAUUACGAGAACCAUUUUGAAUAAAAUUUACUUGUUCAUCUAAAGAAGUAAGCAUCCAGCAAUUUUCGACAGCGUGAUUUCUCCUACAAUUCUUACAUGUUGAACUAACCAUCAUUGCAUUUGCUCCAUGUGUUUGCAAUUUUAGAAGUAACUCUACCUGCUUUGUUAAAGCAGCAAUCUAUGCAUUAGCAGAUGUUGUGCUGUCUAGUUCAUAUAUUCCAGCUGCUUUCGGUGGUACCACACUUUCUUAUGCCAAUAUUGAUGGGACAUUUGUAAUGAGUAUAAUGUCAAAGUCUUGUCAGUUUAAGUUGUAGGAUACUGCGCCCUGCUGAAGAGUAAAUGCGCGACAGGCUAGUGAGUUUAAAUUAAUGACUACAAUGGAUACUUUGGUUCAAGAGAUGAAGCCAGCAUAUAUUUAUCCAAUGGGACACUAUUUCAUAUGUAACACUAUAAAUACCCAUUCCUUGUAUCGUUUGAAGGCUAAUGCAACUCAAUACACUUAAAGCUACAUUGUGUCUUCUCUCAUUUACUCUCAUUUGUUGGAGUUUAUAUUAUCUUGCUUUAGUCUAGUUGUUGGUAAUUGAUUAUUAUUAUGCAAUCGCCCCUAAAUAUAUUGUCGGUGUCUGAACAUUAUUAUCUCGUGUUAUAGAGCAUCUCUCACGUCUAUUACAAUAAUCUCUCCAAUCAAAAUGUGUUGAAAUUUGUUUGCGUGGAUGCAAGUGAACCCGACAUCUGUUGUCUAUGUUACCACUUACUAUUAUAAAAAACGAGGUCAACAAUUAUAACUUUAUCUCAUAUUUUCAAUUGAAGUCCUCUUAAUUUUUUUUAAGAGGCAACGAACCUACAAAAUUAAUCAAACUGCAAUAGAUGAGAAAUCAUUAAUUUUUGGCCUGACAAAUUAUACUUUCUUUAGCUAUAAAUAAAUGAUAAUUGAUUUAAAUUCUUUAACCUAUAUUUUUUUUAAGUCUAAUCUUUAUGUUUUCCCCUUUUUAUUAAAAAAAGAAAAAGAAAAAAAGUAUUACUCAGAGUAUAAGUAAUAAGAUUUAGACCAAAAACAAUAUUAUAACAAUUCUCGAUUACCAAAUGUCACACACACACACACACACACACUAGUCUUCGUCUCGUGCAUUGCAUGAAUUUUGUAUUUAUUUUGUUGUUAUUAGUGUAGAAAUUGUAGAUUUUGCAAAUAGUAUUUGCUAAAAAACAUUUUGCUGUAACAAAUAACUAUUUAAAUCACAUUAUUUUUCUUUAUGCUACCUUGAUUAUAGUUUGAGUAGCUUCGACUGGUUUGAGUCUAGCAGAUUCACCGGUCUUUAAUUCUAACUUCGCCCUUUCCUCAUACUGGUGAUACCUUUGUGGCUUAGCAUUCUACUUUACUGAACCCAAACUCGACCGCUCUUAUUCCUUUUUCAUUAAUGAAAUUUCCAUCACACUUUUGUCCUAAUAAAUUAUCUGUUUAACUUUCUAUAUUUAUUCCCACGAAGCAUAUAAUAACGCAAAUAGAUUUAGCACUUUACAGUUUUGAAGGAAAAUCUCCCCAUUUCUACUGCAUUAUCAACAGACAAAACAUAAAUUCCAACUUCAAUCGAGAAACGGAAAUUUAUGUACAAUUAGUUCAGCAGUCAAUCGGAAGACAUAAUCACCAAUGGUUCGCAACUUCGAUGAGCUCCGAUUGAAAACGGCAAAGAAGACAAACAUCAACAACCCUCCUUUUGAAGUAACACCACCAAAAUCACUAACCUUCAUCUUUUUAAAAAGUUCAUAUAUCCCGUUAUAUCCCUGACAUUGAACAACAUGUCAUUGGCCAAGCCAUCUUGGUGGUUGUGCUGCUUUAGCAACUUUGAAGAUAAUGCAAAUGACUAAACAUGUGGUGGAGUAUUGUAAAGGAGUGAGUAGCCUUACUUCCACGAUCCACUGAGCCUAAGCCCUUUGUCACUCCAAAUAGUUAGGUCUCAACUAAAAUUACUUACUUCAGGCAGCAUUGCCUACUCCAUCGCACCAUGUUAACAAAAUUGUAAGUUUCAACUUAAAGGUCCACUUUAAUACUUAAGACAGAAAAUUGGAUCAAAUUAAUAGCACCAUCUAACAAAAUUACAAGUUUUAACUAAAAUGGGUACUAUAAUACUUUAUACAAUAGAAAAUAGGAUCAAAAUUAAGGUUACGUUUUUGAAUGAAGGUUUUCUGGAAUUUUUUGAAUCCAAGAUCCAAAAAACCAGCGAAAUUUCUAUGACACAAUUGAAUUUCUAAAAUCUUCAUGACGACUAAUUUCAAGCUUCAAUACAACAACCAAUUUAUUGCUUCUGACACCAAAGAAAUUUCGAUAAACUAUGCAUCAACACAUCCCGUUAAAAAAAUGCAGUAAUUCAAUAGAGGAGAAGAAUACAUCUAAAUUAAAAUUUUAGCAAAUUCAAACACUCUCAAAGUGAGAAAUUACCAAUAAUGAAGAGAAGUGUGGUGAACAAGACAACUCUAAUUGCGGCAUAAAGCUGAAUUGGUGGAACUUGCUAAAUAAAUUCUUGGGAUUCGUUCAACCGUUUAUGCAUUUGAAUUUUCAAUUCCUCAAUUUUCACCUUAUCCAUUUUGGUCAGAAACCUUGAAAAACAAAAAUUGGAACUUCAGAAUUUGAAAAAAGUAAACGAAGGGGACAAAGGUAAAACAACGUCGAUUUACGAGAUCGGAACAGGCUAUUCUUGCCGGAGAAAUUGUACUUGGAUUUCUCGAAAUGAAUUUGACAGGAAAUGGAUCUAUAUCUCAUUUAUAUUUGUCCACAGGUCUCAAACUUCCUAAAAUUAAUGUACUCCUCUCCUUUAGGAAGGAGCUUAAAGAUAUGUGCCUUUCAUCUCUGUUUUAUUCCUUCUCUCUUCUCAAAGCACUAAUAUAAGUUCAAUCUCAUUUUUUUCUCAGCAAAGUUUGACGGAAAAGUCCAAGUGAAUGACAUUAUCAUCAAAGCUGCUGCUAUUGUAUUAAGAAAUGUACCAGAAGCAAAUGGUAAGAUGCAUUGUUUUCGACAUACUGGACCAAAUAUUGAUCAACUGUAAAAUGCUUGGCCACAUGAAACUUACUAUAUUUAGUUGUGUUUUAAUAUAUUUUCUGUGGUGAGACAUUCUCAUAAUGGAAAAGCAUAAAACAAGAUAACAAAUAUUCAGUGAAGCUGAUAGCUCCAAUCAAAAUCACUUUUCAAACAGGAAGUGAACACAACACGGCAAAAAAAUGCGUCAUGAAAAAUAAAAUGGAGGGAGACAGAGCUUACUUGUAGUUGUGGCUGAGAUGUUCAAACACUAUACUCAGAGCUUCCAUAAAUGCCACAGAAAGUGUAAACGUCGAUGCAACAUGCGAAGGAUAAACUUCCUAUAAUCCAAAUGACAAAGGAAACCGAAUUGCAGUGAAGAUCAUAUUUUGACAAGUGUGAUACUGAUAAACUCAGAAAUGGUAUAACAAAGUCAAAUUAGAUCUCAACUUCAAUGUGUAGUGAAGAUCAAAACAUUAGUAACUACAUGCUUUUCUUCUCUUCUAUUUUGUUUUCUCCCUCUACAUGUAAGAAAAGGGAAAGGAAGUGAAUGAUGAUCCUGCCAUUGAAGUAAAAUAGCAUAACAAAAAUGUUGAAUUAAAUAAAUAUGUUUUCUAUUGGAUAAAAUUUUCUCCCUCUACAUGUAAGAAAAGGGAAAGGAAGUGAAUGAUGAUCCUGCCAUUGAAGUAAAAUAGCAUAACAAAAAUGUUGAAUUAAAUAAAUAAGUUCUCUAUUGGAUAAAAUUUGUUCAUAGGGACCAAAGGAGGGAGGAAUCUUAAGCAUCAAAAGUCAUAAAAUAGACGUGCAGUUUAGAAUAAUGCUAUUUGCAGUCGCUCAUUGCGACAGUCGCCCUAUGUGGCAUACACAUGGCAGGUGAUUAUUUGAUACAUUAAUGAAUAAAAAAACUACCACAUUAUUUGCUUUCCCCCAUGACCCCAACUUGGAUCAACACCAGAAAACUCAGUUUCAACUCCUUUUUUAACCUUCAGAAUUUCCUCAGAGAUGUUGACCACCUACAAAAGAUCAGCCAUAUCAGACUCCAGCAAAUCAAUUAAUGGCACUGUCAAAGAAUGCAUACGAUAGUCAAUAAAUUCCGAAGAUACUGAAAAACACAAUAUAACUACAUGCACACGCAAAAGGUUGUAUAAAAUAAAAGUGGCAGGUCUAAGGGAUGCUGUAUGGGACAGUUGAAAGGAUUACUCAAUGAAAGAACAAUGUAACUACAACAAAAUGCAUCAUUCUCCAUCCCUGAAGAAAAAUGACCCAUGAGCAAAUAAGAAUAAAAGAAUUGGCCUCAACUAAUGCCUAGCGGUAUAUGUAGGAACAAAUUACACGGACAUAGUAAUAAAUAAUUAAAAGGGAGUUUCUUUCAUAAAAUCAACGUGUUAAAGAUAAUAUUUAUAUACUAUAUCAAGAGAGAGGUCUUAAAAUUCACAAUAUAAGAAAAAUGAAAGCCAAAAAUAGCUGAUUCAAUAAAAGGUAAGAAUAAAAAAGACGAAAAGAAAACAUACAAAAUCAUGAGAUUUUUCGGAAUAAACGAGAACCAGAUUGACUUGACAGGGCCUUUCCCUCCAUAAGCCGAUUCUAAUGCAUCUUUUGCCUGCAACACUACCUCCAUCCGCUACGUACAAAAAAUUAUAAUGUAUCAAAUGGAUAGUCUAGAACUUGAAUACAUAAUUAGCAAUUUUAGCCUCAUUGCCCAUGUUAUUCCAGAGCCAAUCUUAAAUUUAGAUUAAGUUCAUAGCUUAAAAGGCAUUACGUGGCUCGAGAUCUUAUUCAACGAGCCAAAAAACAAAUUACAGUAAAAUCAGCUAAACAAUUACCUCUCUAGCCGUAUCAGUAUUAUCCAAGGAAAAACUUAUAGUUUCUUUAAUAUGGGUUCUUUCUAAAGUCAACACAUGUAGCACGUCCUCAAAUUCAUCUCUUUGGUCAUCAAUCAAUGUUCACUCCACUUAUACUCGUUGCAAAAAGCAUCGAAUGCAAUUCUUAUAAUGAACAUGCCGAAUUAUGCAUAAUAAGCAAUCAUUCAAGAUAAAAUAUAGGACCAUACUCCAAUGAAAAGCAUACAAACUGGAAAAGUACUUUACAACCCGAUAAGACAUCAAAAAGAGAACUUGAACCAGGAGGAACAUGCAUAAUAUGAUUGCUAUCAUUAGUUUCCUAAUGAGUUCCUAUAUUUUUGCUUUAUUAGAACUUGUAAAACAUGUCCAGCUUCUAGGUGUAAAUCAUUUAUAGAUAGCAGAACUAAGAUGGUAUACAUAGAAUAAUAUUUAAUCAUUACGUCUAGACUUAAGGUUCUAUAACUGUUGCAAAUUUACUUUCAUUUCUACCAUUCCAUUGGAGGAUUAAUGCUUAUAAAAUAACACAUAUUUUAUACAUUACACUCUUUAAAACAGGAUCUUCUUUACUAAAGUAUUUGUACUAUAGUUAAAACAACCCCAAAAAUCCUUAAAAGUUUUAAGCUAUGAAAAAACUCGCCCAAAAAAUCGAUAGCAGUAAAAGUGGCUGAAAAGGGGUAAUAUUAACAAGCUCAUACACAUCAGUAAGCCAAGGUAUAGGCCUUACACAUGGCUGUCAAUAAGCGAACUUUGAGGCUUUUAGUUGAAGCUUUGCAUAAGGUGGAGCUGAAUAAGUAAGCCUUACAUGCUUUUGGAAACACUGAUAAAUAUUGUCUACUUUCCCUCCUACAUGUUGGUCUACAAGUACUAUGAUCCAAUUUAUUUGAAGAUGGGAAAAUUGGUAUUCAUGAUCAAGCUUGCGUCAGACAGGAAUAGAAAACCAAGUAAGCUCACUUCAAUUUAAUAAUUCACAUAAAUUACAUAAUGACAAGAAACCAAGUCAUGUGUGAAAGCUAGUGCUGCCUAAUAAAAAAAUCUAGAAUGUUACUGUGAGCAAAAGGUAAGGAUUGUCAAUAAUCACCACCAUCACAAGUAUAAUGGAUAAUCAUACAUUGUAAGACUUGGCAUUAAGGGUGGUUUAUCAAAUCUUCCUAUUGGAUUCAUGGCAUAUUGCAGUUAAAUAAAACACGAUUGAUUUCAUAACUGCACUUAUGUCUCGUAUUGUCUUACACAUCACACUGAUGGGAAGGUAGCAUAUCAACUCACUGUUUAACCUCAUUACAGAAAGUUCCAACAAGCAUCAUAUCUAUCCACAAAAACAAAUAAUUUUACCACGUUCACCCCUCAGAAACUGAAUAAAAAACAAUCCUUGUACUUGCUCAUUCUGGCUGAUAUACAAAAGUUAGCAAAUGCCAUGGCUAAAAUACUCAUUCCAGUAUAUGAAAAACCGAACUUCAAGAGCUCAAAUUCAUACUGGACCAUAACUACAUUCCACUCUUAAAACUCAGCCUUCGACAACAACAGAUAUCAUGAAGCAGAUCUUAACAUCUUUCUCUAUAAUUUAUCAUAACAAUUAAGUGUACCAUUUAAUAUGACCAUGUUAAUUCGUUUUGAGCAGAAAUCAUGAUCGAUUAUAAUCGAAAUAAAAUCCAAAUUAGUCUGUAUUGCUAUAAUUAGGGCAUAAACUUCAAAUCAAUACGAGUAAAGAGUGUACCAGAUCAUGAAGCAUAGGCACUUAAAAUUAUACAAAUGUAGAAUCAAAAUUCACAAGCCUUUUAAGAUAAAAUGAAGGCCCAUUAAGAAUAAAGUGGAAUUAAUUUACCUUAAAUAGAAAAAUCCUCUUCUGUGAGCAUAAUUAAAAGGCCUGACAGCAAAUGAACACGAAAAUUCGCGAUUCCACGAACUUAAAUUGCACUUACUAAACUGCAGUUGACAAUACUUAUGAGAUGAAUUUAAUGAAAACCCGAAUGUUACACACCUCAACCAAAAUUCAGAACAAAGUAUUGCAUCUAGAUCUCAAAUGUUGAAGUUUGUGAAAGAAGAAAGCUCAAAAAAUAAUAACAAACACAUAGAUUUAAAACUGUAAACAAAAAUCAACAACUCUUAAAAUUUCAAACCUUUCCUAUAAUUUGCAGGGGUAUUAUUACAAAUGACCUGCUACUAUUCAUUUUUGAUAAAAUGUCUAUUAUACCCUUAAUGAAAUAAUUUAUCAUAUAUUGCACAAGAUAUCCUUAAUUUAUUGGGAUAGUUUUAAAUUCCUCUAUUUCUCUCAUUUCGAGUUUUAAUAUAUAAUUUCAUUCUUUGAUCUAAUAAAUUAGCAUAAUCUGUAAUAUAAUUGCCAUGUAAUUUACUAAAAUUAUCAAAUUUCUUCGAUAAUAUAUCCAUAAUCUCUAAUUGAGAAUAAAUAUUUUCUAUUUUUUCCAUUAAUCUAUCUAACAGAUUAUCUAAUCCUUUAAUUGUAUAACCUGGCAUUAUUCAAAUAAUUCCUUGCAAACUUUAUGAAUAAUAACAUAUUUAGAUAAGUUUUUUGCAAACAUGAACAAUAAUAAUCCCUACAAUUCUUUCAAGAUAUUAGAAGAAUUCUUUCUAAAUUUAACAAAGACAAUAAUUUUACCUUACUUUUGAUCUUAAAUCUGUAUUCUUAGAACCGAGUGACCUUCAGGCUAUGAAUCUGCAAACUGCUCCCUUAAACGGCCUCUUGCCUCAAUGGGAAUUCUGCUAUUUCAGCUUCUUGCCCUCACUGUAUCUUUUCUUAGAAUUAAGAAUAAAGAUCUUAAGUAAAGAAAAUUCUCUCUUUGUUAAAGUAAGAAAGAGAUUAUCUUCUUCAAUCUAUCAAGAAUCUAUGGGAUAGUAAGUUUAGAAACUCAUAUCUUUCUGAUAUCAAAAGAUUGAGAUUUUAUUUCUAUAAUGAUUUAUACAAGAUUUAUAUUGUAUACAAGGGGUUUCCAGAAAAACUGGUUUUGGAAAAAGCUUAAGGAAAGAGAAUGGUUUCUAACUCGAGAUACCCCAUUCUUUCCGAAAGACCUCUAUUUAUACAUGACUCAAACUUACUAUUAUUGGUCUAUUACAUCAUUGCAUACAUCAGAAAUUUGAAAAAAGGCUCACAUGCCUCUCUAUUCUUUUCCUCCUGGGGUCUACAUUUUCACAUGCAUUCUUUGAAUUUUCAUCAAAGGGACCUCCUUUCUUCUAUAAUUGCCUUAUCAUCUUUGACUUCAUAUGCAGCUGGCUAGAUGCUUUUCUAUUAUUGCUCCUUCAUCUUUGGCUUUAUUUGCAGCUGGCUAGAUGCUUUGGUAGUGGUAGGUCCUUUUCCAUUUAUCAAUCCUUCAAUUUUGUCUACAUGUGGGGCACUCCCUCAAUCUGCAUGAUUCUUGGAUUGUUGUUGGACUUCCACUAAUUUGAUGGGUAUCAAAUUUUAAGAUAUAUUCCUUCAAAAUUGUAGAUUUUUCUUUUCCAUUGUUUGUAAGGAGGGUCCAUCCUUCAUAUUGGCACAAGCAUCUGAAUUUUUUAUCAUAUAAGUUCUUUGCAAUGUUGUAAAGAACUUUCAUCCCCAAAACUCUCCGGGAUUUUAUCCAUGAUCUAUUGAUUUUUGGCAAUGGUUUAUUAUUUCGGCCAACUUCAAUCUGGAAAUCUCGGCCAACAUAUCCAAUUGUAAUGAUAUGUUCAGCAGGAUAAUAUAUCCUUCCAUCAACUUCAGGACUUAUUGAAUAAAAUUUGAUAUAAAUCGAUCUUCCUUGGGCAAAUUUUGAAACUUCUGCCCUGAAUAUAUCAUCAAAUUUUUCAAUUUCUUUUAAAUCUUUUCCUGGAUAAAUCAAAUCCAGAAAUCCAUAAUCUGCUGCCAUUUUGACCAUGAAAGGGUCUGCAUCUUUGGUAAUUAUUAAUCUUGGAUAAACAUGAUCCCCUGAUGAAAUAAAAUAAGAUUCAUUUUCUUCCAAUUCAUAAACAAUUUUGGCAAAUGAUCUAUAUUCUUCUUCUUUUGAUGACAAAGGGGUAUCAUCAUCUUCAUCAGUUUUGAUUCUUAUAACUCUUGUAUGCUCAUCACUAUUUUUUAUAGUCACCUUCCGGGGACUUGAUAUGUCUCUUUUGAUAUUGCUGGGUCCACUGCUGCUUCCUGGCUGUGUACCUGUUUGUAUUUUUGAGAUUGUAUCAAUUGGCAUUUCCUGUUUGGUAUCUAAUGACUCGAAUUGUGAAGUAAUAUCAACAAUUCUGUNNNNNNNNNNNNNNNNNNNNNNNNNNNNNNNNNNNNNNNNNNNNNNNNNNNNNNNNNNNNNNNNNNNNNNNNNNNNNNNNNNNNNNNNNNNNNNNNNNNNNNNNNNNNNNNNNNNNNNNNNNNNNNNNNNNNNNNNNNNNNNNNNNNNNNNNNNNNNNNNNNNNNNNNNNNNNNNNNNNNNNNNNNNNNNNNNNNNNNNNNNNNNNNNNNNNNNNNNNNNNNNNNNNNNNNNNNNNNNNNNNNNNNNNNNNNNNNNNNNNNNNNNNNNNNNNNNNNNNNNNNNNNNNNNNNNNNNNNNNNNNNNNNNNNNNNNNNNNNNNNNNNNNNNNNNNNNNNNNNNNNNNNNNNNNNNNNNNNNNNNNNNNNNNNNNNNNNNNNNNNNNNNNNNNNNNNNNNNNNNNNNNNNNNNNNNNNNNNNNNNNNNNNNNNNNNNNNNNNNNNNNNNNNNNNNNNNNNNNNNNNNNNNNNNNNNNNNNNNNNNNNNNNNNNNNNNNNNNNNNNNNNNNNNNNNNNNNNNNNNNNNNNNNNNNNNNNNNNNNNNNNNNNNNNNNNNNNNNNNNNNNNNNNNNNNNNNNNNNNNNNNNNNNNNNNNNNNNNNNNNNNNNNNNNNNNNNNNNNNNNNNNNNNNNNNNNNNNNNNNNNNNNNNNNNNNNNNNNNNNNNNNNNNNNNNNNNNNNNNNNNNNNNNNNNNNNNNNNNNNNNNNNNNNNNNNNNNNNNNNNNNNNNNNNNNNNNNNNNNNNNNNNNNNNNNNNNNNNNNNNNNNNNNNNNNNNNNNNNNNNNNNNNNNNNNNNNNNNNNNNNNNNNNNNNNNNNNNNNNNNNNNNNNNNNNNNNNNNNNNNNNNNNNNNNNNNNNNNNNNNNNNNNNNNNNNNNNNNNNNNNNNNNNNNNNNNNNNNNNNNNNNNNNNNNNNNNNNNNNNNNNNNNNNNNNNNNNNNNNNNNNNNNNNNNNNNNNNNNNNNNNNNNNNNNNNNNNNNNNNNNNNNNNNNNNNNNNNNNNNNNNNNNNNNNNNNNNNNNNNNNNNNNNNNNNNNNNNNNNNNNNNNNNNNNNNNNNNNNNNNNNNNNNNNNNNNNNNNNNNNNNNNNNNNNNNNNNNNNNNNNNNNNNNNNNNNNNNNNNNNNNNNNNNNNNNNNNNNNNNNNNNNNNNNNNNNNNNNNNNNNNNNNNNNNNNNNNNNNNNNNNNNNNNNNNNNNNNNNNNNNNNNNNNNNNNNNNNNNNNNNNNNNNNNNNNNNNNNNNNNNNNNNNNNNNNNNNNNNNNNNNNNNNNNNNNNNNNNNNNNNNNNNNNNNNNNNNNNNNNNNNNNNNNNNNNNNNNNNNNNNNNNNNNNNNNNNNNNNNNNNNNNNNNNNNNNNNNNNNNNNNNNNNNNNNNNNNNNNNNNNNNNNNNNNNNNNNNNNNNNNNNNNNNNNNNNNNNNNNNNNNNNNNNNNNNNNNNNNNNNNNNNNNNNNNNNNNNNNNNNNNNNNNNNNNNNNNNNNNNNNNNNNNNNNNNNNNNNNNNNNNNNNNNNNNNNNNNNNNNNNNNNNNNNNNNNNNNNNNNNNNNNNNNNNNNNNNNNNNNNNNNNNNNNNNNNNNNNNNNNNNNNNNNNNNNNNNNNNNNNNNNNNNNNNNNNNNNNNNNNNNNNNNNNNNNNNNNNNNNNNNNNNNNNNNNNNNNNNNNNNNNNNNNNNNNNNNNNNNNNNNNNNNNNNNNNNNNNNNNNNNNNNNNNNNNNNNNNNNNNNNNNNNNNNNNNNNNNNNNNNNNNNNNNNNNNNNNNNNNNNNNNNNNNNNNNNNNNNNNNNNNNNNNNNNNNNNNNNNNNNNNNNNNNNNNNNNNNNNNNNNNNNNNNNNNNNNNNNNNNNNNNNNNNNNNNNNNNNNNNNNNNNNNNNNNNNNNNNNNNNNNNNNNNNNNNNNNNNNNNNNNNNNNNNNNNNNNNNNNNNNNNNNNNNNNNNNNNNNNNNNNNNNNNNNNNNNNNNNNNNNNNNNNNNNNNNNNNNNNNNNNNNNNNNNNNNNNNNNNNNNNNNNNNNNNNNNNNNNNNNNNNNNNNNNNNNNNNNNNNNNNNNNNNNNNNNNNNNNNNNNNNNNNNNNNNNNNNNNNNNNNNNNNNNNNNNNNNNNNNNNNNNNNNNNNNNNNNNNNNNNNNNNNNNNNNNNNNNNNNNNNNNNNNNNNNNNNNNNNNNNNNNNNNNNNNNNNNNNNNNNNNNNNNNNNNNNNNNNNNNNNNNNNNNNNNNNNNNNNNNNNNNNNNNNNNNNNNNNNNNNNNNNNNNNNNNNNNNNNNNNNNNNNNNNNNNNNNNNNNNNNNNNNNNNNNNNNNNNNNNNNNNNNNNNNNNNNNNNNNNNNNNNNNNNNNNNNNNNNNNNNNNNNNNNNNNNNNNNNNNNNNNNNNNNNNNNNNNNNNNNNNNNNNNNNNNNNNNNNNNNNNNNNNNNNNNNNNNNNNNNNNNNNNNNNNNNNNNNNNNNNNNNNNNNNNNNNNNNNNNNNNNNNNNNNNNNNNNNNNNNNNNNNNNNNNNNNNNNNNNNNNNNNNNNNNNNNNNNNNNNNNNNNNNNNNNNNNNNNNNNNNNNNNNNNNNNNNNNNNNNNNNNNNNNNNNNNNNNNNNNNNNNNNNNNNNNNNNNNNNNNNNNNNNNNNNNNNNNNNNNNNNNNNNNNNNNNNNNNNNNNNNNNNNNNNNNNNNNNNNNNNNNNNNNNNNNNNNNNNNNNNNNNNNNNNNNNNNNNNNNNNNNNNNNNNNNNNNNNNNNNNNNNNNNNNNNNNNNNNNNNNNNNNNNNNNNNNNNNNNNNNNNNNNNNNNNNNNNNNNNNNNNNNNNNNNNNNNNNNNNNNNNNNNNNNNNNNNNNNNNNNNNNNNNNNNNNNNNNNNNNNNNNNNNNNNNNNNNNNNNNNNNNNNNNNNNNNNNNNNNNNNNNNNNNNNNNNNNNNNNNNNNNNNNNNNNNNNNNNNNNNNNNNNNNNNNNNNNNNNNNNNNNNNNNNNNNNNNNNNNNNNNNNNNNNNNNNNNNNNNNNNNNNNNNNNNNNNNNNNNNNNNNNNNNNNNNNNNNNNNNNNNNNNNNNNNNNNNNNNNNNNNNNNNNNNNNNNNNNNNNNNNNNNNNNNNNNNNNNNNNNNNNNNNNNNNNNNNNNNNNNNNNNNNNNNNNNNNNNNNNNNNNNNNNNNNNNNNNNNNNNNNNNNNNNNNNNNNNNNNNNNNNNNNNNNNNNNNNNNNNNNNNNNNNNNNNNNNNNNNNNNNNNNNNNNNNNNNNNNNNNNNNNNNNNNNNNNNNNNNNNNNNNNNNNNNNNNNNNNNNNNNNNNNNNNNNNNNNNNNNNNNNNNNNNNNNNNNNNNNNNNNNNNNNNNNNNNNNNNNNNNNNNNNNNNNNNNNNNNNNNNNNNNNNNNNNNNNNNNNNNNNNNNNNNNNNNNNNNNNNNNNNNNNNNNNNNNNNNNNNNNNNNNNNNNNNNNNNNNNNNNNNNNNNNNNNNNNNNNNNNNNNNNNNNNNNNNNNNNNNNNNNNNNNNNNNNNNNNNNNNNNNNNNNNNNNNNNNNNNNNNNNNNNNNNNNNNNNNNNNNNNNNNNNNNNNNNNNNNNNNNNNNNNNNNNNNNNNNNNNNNNNNNNNNNNNNNNNNNNNNNNNNNNNNNNNNNNNNNNNNNNNNNNNNNNNNNNNNNNNNNNNNNNNNNNNNNNNNNNNNNNNNNNNNNNNNNNNNNNNNNNNNNNNNNNNNNNNNNNNNNNNNNNNNNNNNNNNNNNNNNNNNNNNNNNNNNNNNNNNNNNNNNNNNNNNNNNNNNNNNNNNNNNNNNNNNNNNNNNNNNNNNNNNNNNNNNNNNNNNNNNNNNNNNNNNNNNNNNNNNNNNNNNNNNNNNNNNNNNNNNNNNNNNNNNNNNNNNNNNNNNNNNNNNNNNNNNNNNNNNNNNNNNNNNNNNNNNNNNNNNNNNNNNNNNNNNNNNNNNNNNNNNNNNNNNNNNNNNNNNNNNNNNNNNNNNNNNNNNNNNNNNNNNNNNNNNNNNNNNNNNNNNNNNNNNNNNNNNNNNNNNNNNNNNNNNNNNNNNNNNNNNNNNNNNNNNNNNNNNNNNNNNNNNNNNNNNNNNNNNNNNNNNNNNNNNNNNNNNNNNNNNNNNNNNNNNNNNNNNNNNNNNNNNNNNNNNNNNNNNNNNNNNNNNNNNNNNNNNNNNNNNNNNNNNNNNNNNNNNNNNNNNNNNNNNNNNNNNNNNNNNNNNNNNNNNNNNNNNNNNNNNNNNNNNNNNNNNNNNNNNNNNNNNNNNNNNNNNNNNNNNNNNNNNNNNNNNNNNNNNNNNNNNNNNNNNNNNNNNNNNNNNNNNNNNNNNNNNNNNNNNNNNNNNNNNNNNNNNNNNNNNNNNNNNNNNNNNNNNNNNNNNNNNNNNNNNNNNNNNNNNNNNNNNNNNNNNNNNNNNNNNNNNNNNNNNNNNNNNNNNNNNNNNNNNNNNNNNNNNNNNNNNNNNNNNNNNNNNNNNNNNNNNNNNNNNNNNNNNNNNNNNNNNNNNNNNNNNNNNNNNNNNNNNNNNNNNNNNNNNNNNNNNNNNNNNNNNNNNNNNNNNNNNNNNNNNNNNNNNNNNNNNNNNNNNNNNNNNNNNNNNNNNNNNNNNNNNNNNNNNNNNNNNNNNNNNNNNNNNNNNNNNNNNNNNNNNNNNNNNNNNNNNNNNNNNNNNNNNNNNNNNNNNNNNNNNNNNNNAAAAACUGAUCUUAGUGUACUAUCAUAUCAAUAGUUAAUUAUGUUAGUUGUCAUUGAAAACUUCCUAAAACCCUAAACAUUGAACAUAUUAACCCUAUCAAAUAUUACUAGCUGAAGAAUGUAUCAAUUUUGUGCUGAUUACUUGCAGGCAUAAACUUGCUAUAUUGUUACCUGUAUUUUUUUACAUGGGAAUAUCCGAUUAAUAUGUAGUAGUUCCCACUUUUGACAAGGUUGUUCUUACAUGUUGCUAAUGAUUAAUGAUUUAUGUUGUACAAAAAGGUAUUUUUCAAUUAUGUGAAUACAAUGGAUUACAAUGAUUACAACAGUGAACAUAGAGAGUAAAACUAUUCUUGGAGAAAAAGAAUGUUUUAUGGAAAUAAACUACAAUAAGCCUAAUUCCAGUGAUAGAUAGCUCAAUUAAAAACUAUAGACGUGUUUCCAGCGUAGGCGUGUCUGUGUUAGACACGUGUCAAAAACACAACCCAUUUCUGACGUGUGUUGGAAAUGCAACCUGGCGUAUUCCCUUAUUGAGCUCCAAUUUUUGCCUCCUUGCCCUUAUUAUAGUUGUAAUAUGUUUAUUAUUUUUACAAGUCCAAUUUUGGUACAAAUUCAGGCUGUGCUUCAUAACCUUUUACUCAACGUGGUUAUGAGUUCUCAACCUUAGAAAUGAGGUUUUGGAUCCCCAAUCUAUUUAAACAUGUGAAUUUAAUUCACCACGUCAUGAAAUCAUCAAUUUGGAUGUUAAAACUGCAUAUGACUUUCAAUUAAUUUGAAAUAAAUGUUAAAUAGUUUGAUGGUUUUGUCCAUUAACUAUGAAUCAUGAAAGUUUUAUGGCAGUGAAUAUAUGAUAAUGUAUUCAUAGAAAAAAUGUAAACACAUGUAACUAAACCUGAAUCUUUUUUUCAUUUCUCAAGAAACAACGUACAAGUUUCUUGAAUUUAUUUGACUUUUAUUCCACAAACACACACACAGUUUGUUCAAGAUUUUAUCUCUCCGUUUAGGUUCCACUACAAAGUUAGGGUUCCAUCAGAUCUGUAAAGUUUGCAACCUUUCUUUGCUCUGCAACAGCUUGUGCACAUCGGAUGAAGCUUGUUUAGGCACUCUAAUGUGCAAACUUUGGUUUUGGCUUCAGCAUAUUCCACAUUAUUUCCCCAGAAAAACAAGCCUGUUACAGAAAUCACCAGCAAAAUGAGAAGAGAGUAAUCAAGUAGAAAUACUUGAAGCUAAGGUUGAGUACGCCAUGCACCAGACCAUUCAGGUUGAGUGAAACCUCAACUCAAAACUAAUAUGACAUUAGUUAAAAGCAGAUCCAAAACAAUCCAAGUCGAUUUAUUUUCAAGGGUGAAAUAUACUUGAAUUUUUAUUUUCCCAAAAAAAAAAAAAAAAAAAAUAAUAAUAAUAAUAUAUAUGUAUAUUUAUUUAUAAAAAAUUAAUUUUAAAAUUUAUAUUUGAUAGAUUAUGUAAUUUGAAGCACAAUCUAAUAUAUUAAGAUUAAAAUCAUUUCAUGAUAAAAAUGAAAUGGUUAUAAAAACCCAUUUCUCAAAAAAUAAAUAUAAUUAUUCAUUUGUUAACAUAUUUGGUCUUCAUUUUUUAAAAUUUAUUUUUCUUCAAACAUAUUUUCAAUUAUAUAUAUAUGGAAUUCACACUUUUACUUUUGAAUUAACCCCCUCAAUAAAUUAUUAUUUAAACAGUUAGUAAACAUUUUGAUUGAUAUUAUUUUUUGAUCAACCAAAUGAUUACUAUAUACAUUUUAUGUAUAUAUAUAUAAAUAAUAUUUUUAUUUAAACUUACUUAUGUGCUAAAAAAUAAACUUUUUAAAGAUACAUGUUGAUAGCGUGAGAAAAUAAUGAAAGAGAUAGUUUGGAGAAAUAGAGAGACAUAGCUGUAACGUGUAAAAAUAGAGAAUGAGUAAAGAGGGCUAUGUGAUAUAAUCCUUCACGUCACGUAAAUUGAGGAAAAGUAACAAAGUCACAGCAUCAAACACGUAAAAUAAACGACGAUGUUUCUUUCUCUCCAUAAAAAAAAGAAGCUACAGUAUGACAAAAUGGAUGAAUCCACUGUUCCUUCUACAGUGCCUCAGGAUCGCCCUUUUUAUAUAAUAGUGAAAACUAAUCUAUGCUACGUGCGAUGCACGAGCUCUGAAUGAAUUAUGAUUUGAUUAGCGUAUGUAUUGAAUAUGUUUGAAAAUAUAUGGGAAGUUGGAAUUACUGUCAAGGAACUAAUCAGUUAUACGAGUCGAUCACUCGUCUUUCUUCCACAAAAUGUCAUUUUUCUAUAAAAAGUUGCAGAGUCAAUAAAAUCCAUUAAUAAUGAGAAUUCAAGUCAUAGUUAGUCAAAGAAAUACUUCACUGGACAGUAAAAGCAUUCCAAGCAAAAAAAUCUAGCACCAUAGUAGUACAUCCUUCAACAAAUUAUAGUAGAUAUAAAUGUAUUAUUGUACAGUAAAGAAUAAUUCAAGGUAAAGCAAAAAUUAGAACCUGAAAAUCCUGAAAUUCUUCAUAAACGGCUAUUUUCCUUAAUAGAAUGUUGAGUACUCCUUAAAACGCUGUUGUUCUACAACACUUAGUUGUCCAUUUGCGAUGAGGAAUUUGAGCAGUGUAACUAAAUUUCAAGGCACUGUAUUGUUAAACGAUGCUCUAAUAGAUAUUUCAUUAACUCAAACUUUGUAGAAUUCAAAAACUCCUUAACAUCACUCAAUACUACAUCUAGUUCUGUCCAAUAUUGAGAUUCAAUAUUUUCGAAAUCUAGAAGUUUAUCCUCUUUAUGUAUACUUCUAACAAUACUCGAAUUUUUCUUGUCCACUUUAGAAGAAGGGAGUGAAUAUUAUAAAAAUGAAGCUCUCCUUCAAAGGAAUCAGCUUCUUUUAGAAAAUCAGUCUUUUAUUACAUAGAAUAUUCUAAGCUGAUAUUGUUCACUAAAUAAACUAAUUGUUGAAUCUCAAGAAGAUUAGGCAAACUAGGGUCACAAAUAGGCAUAUCCUGGAAGAAGUUACAAAUUCACAUACAAACUAAUAAGUGAUAUCUUUAUUCUUAGACUGAAAAAAGUGUGUCGCCAGUACUUCGAGAGAAGUGUACUAUUAGAAAUUAAUAGAAGGUAAUAAUGUUAUCUAGAUUGUGUACAUAUCUAAAGUAUUUAACCCUAUGAGCAACAACUACUAAAAUAGUUGUGGGAACACAAUUCUCAAGGGUAAAAAAAGACUCUAACAUUUAACAAGUUUGAAACAAAUUGCUUCCUUGGGAUAAACUAUAAUGCAUGAUACUUACAAGAUAUCACCCUCCUCCAUUGCCUUUCCUGAGGCAACCCCAAUGGUUUUUAUGUUCCAUCUCGUUCAUUUAAACUAAUAAUUAUAUCUCCAGCUAGUAAAUCAUUAAUGUUCAAAACUGUCAAAUGAAAAAGUUGAACAGUGGAUUGAGAAAAAUAAAGAAUUAUUCCAAUUCUAGAUGCACUUCCACUAGUAACAAAAAGGAUGUUUGGAACUAUCAUGAACAAGAUUCAAUACAUAUGCCUGGAAAUGUGAACAAAAACUUCAAAGCAUUUACCAUAUUACACUUAACCACUUAACUCUAGGAGAAUAUCCAAGUCUUAAUUCUUAUGCUGGUGAAAACAGCUAUAACUAAAGAGAAACUCAGUGAGAAACAUCACUGGUAAUUUGACAUGAUUUUCUUUUAUUAUUUAGACUUUUAGACAAAAUGUUUACAAAGGCACAAAAUUAAUUUGUCUGUGUAAGAUUUUUUAUGUAUAUCAUAUGAUUCAUGAGAUUAGUAAAACUCAAGGUUGUGUCUAGUAAAUAAAGGAAAAAGAAAGGGAAAUAAAAUUAAAUUACAGUUAAUUUAAAAAUUAGAGGAAAAAGGAACAGUGCACUAAUUUUCAUUGGUUUAAUAUUAAACAAAGUGAAAGAGGACAUUCGAAAUUAAAUCCUCAAAUGAAAUGAAAUUGAAAAUCCAAAACUAAAUUUGGUGACUAAUGAAUCCAAACAGCAUUCUGAAUUCGACUGAAAUUUAAAGGGCACUUCUUCAAAACAAUGGUAAUACAAAUAACCGUUUUCCUUGUUAAAAUAGAAAUACAUUUUUUCGUGAUGUAUAGUUAAUGAAAUUUGUAAGAAAGUCAUCAACUUUAAUAAUUUGUGUAACUACAUAAUUUACUUAUGACUAAUGGGGAAGGAAUAAAAUAAAUAGAGAAGAAAGAGAAAAAGGAAAGGAAGCACUUCUAUUGAGACUUACAGUUCAAAAAUAGCUAAUUUGUUCUAGAAAUUUGUUAAUUGUAAUAUUUGGCUAGUGAAUUUUUCCGGUGAACAAUACCUUGAAAGUCAAUAAAAAAAAAGAGAAAAAAAAAAGAGAGGGAAGAUAACAGCUAAUCCUGCAAUAUUGAAAACAAUAAAUAGCAUGGCUUCAAAGUUAGUCAUUUAAAAACUCCAUAAGAAUUAAAUUGUUUUCCUUUCCUACAUUCAUCCCAAAUCAAAAGUAAAUAUAGUAUAAAAAAAUUGCACAGUACCAAAAAAGAGAAGAAGAAGAAGAAUUGAGUAGUGGAGAUUAUAAAAUAGUAACUAUGAUCAAAAGUAAUCAUAGUUAAAAUAGCGUAAAUACGGUAAAACCGUGAUGAUGGAUAGUUUAUUUGACAAACUUCAUAUACAUGUCAUAGUGCUUUUAUAAUUUGAGUUCUAUUCAUAUUCGAGAUAACAAAAUCCAAAUGCUCAUUAUUGAAUAAAUCAUUUCAGUUUAUUGAUGUAAAAUUGCAAUUGGUAAUUUUUAUCGUUUCUGAAAUCAAGUUCUCAAAUUUUAACAAGAUUAUUCCAAAAAAUAAAUAAAUAAACUUUUUACAUUACCUGCAAGUAAAAGAUUAGGUGUGAAACAAAGGGUGCACAAAUGAACAAUAAAUCCUCAUCCUUUUUUAAUAUAGUAGUUUAUGGAGAUUAUGGAGGCUCAAGCAUGAGCCUCUGUUAUUAUGGAGGCUCAUGCUUGAACCUCCGUUAGCAUGAGCCUCCAUAAUAACGGAGGCAUACUACAUAAUGCCUCCAUAAUAAUGGAGGCUCAACACUUUUGAGCCAAAUGCCUACGUAAUUACGGAGGCACAAAUUUCAUUUUUUAUUUUUUUCUUAAUUGACUCUCAAUACAACAAUUUAAUUUUAUUUAAUCAACUUACUUUUUUUUUAUAGACGUGAUUUCUAAAAUAAAUACAUAAAGUAUAUAUCAAUUUUUUUAUAUAUACAGAGAUUUUAUAAAUCAUUCAAAUGAGCAGAAAUAUAGAUAAAUGAUAGACAUAUUAAUCACAUUUUCAAUCGUAACCUUUUGAGUGCAAUCAAAUAAUGUGUAAAACGUGUUAGAUCAAAUAGUUACUCACGUCGAUAGUUCAAUAAUUUUUUUCUCCUCACUUUUAUUUUUGAGAAGAGUAAGAUCAGACUUUUUCGGUAACAUAUUGUCCAUUUCUACAACCAGUGUUAAUCUAUUCUGCUAUUUCUAUACCCAAUUAUAUUUACUCUCUUAUUUACCAACCUAUUUCAUUCAUAUUUCAAUGAUUCUCAAAUAUCUAGAAUUAAAUAAUACAAUAUCAUUCCUUCAUUCGAACUCCUUAAUUGAAAUAUAACGUUCAUAAGAAAUUUGCACACAUAUUACGCAAAUAGAUACAUUGUUCCACCAAAACAUUUGUUUUAUACUCACUUAUAUAGAAACCACCAUAUGCAUAUAUUUAAUUUUUUUUAUAUUUUGAUAUGGAUUCAUUGCAUAUCCAAAAAAAAAAAAAAAAAAAAACCAUUAACACCAAAAAUUCGAAAUGAAACCAAUUCACACAAAAUGCAAGAGAAAAAUCAAUCAAACUCCGUUAAAUGAUAUUGACCCUACCGUCCACAAAUUUCAAUAAAAACAAGAAUAAGAAUUAAAAUUCAGAACAACCAGACCUCAAUCAAUCCAUACAAAAUACACAACAAAUAAUUUGCGUAGUAAAAUGGAAAGAAUAGACAGUAAUGUCUGAAAAUAGAGAAGAAAAAAGAAAGAUCCACCUAACUUGAGGACAAGUGGGUGCAUCACUGUAGCCUACACUUUUUUUUUUUUUGUGUGCAGACGGCGUUAUUUUUACUUGAGAGAUGAAAAAAAAAUUGCUGUGAAAUGGAAAAAUCUACCGUUCUUUCUACAGUAUAAAUAACAUUGCCCUUUUUAUAAAGUAGUGAUAUAUAUACUAGUCGAUGUCACAUGCGUUGCACGAGUAUUGUAUUUAUUGUGUCUUUAUUAGCGUGAUGUAGAGAUUUUAAUUUUUUUAGCGUAAUCCUAACAUACUUUAAAGUUUGAAUUAAAUUUUUUGGCAUAAAUCUUCUGGCGGCUAGUAAAAUAUAGAUUUAAAAUUGUGAGAAUAUAAGUAAAGAUAAUUUACAAUUUUGCUAUAGUAAAGAUGAAAUCUGAAGAUUAUUUAGAAAGCAAAUGAUAUGAAGAGAUUGGACUUAUAAUUUGAAUUUCAACAGAUACCAUCACCAAAUCCACAAGCCAUCUUUGGUUUCAAAGAUGAAGCUAUAUAUUUGGAAGUGUAUGGAGAUGGUUUCUUGGAAGUGGAAGAGAGAGCAACCAUAUACAUGCUAUUAAAACAGGAAAUAAGACUAAAAGUAACAUUAAUCAAUUAAAACAUAUACAUUAUAUUGACAGAUAAAUCUAAACGAUAAAGAAAAAGCACACAAGUCUAAAAUCAAGUAAAAAAGUAUUUCAUAAAUGAAAAUUUUCAAGAUUUAUUAAUUUCUUUUUCUUUAAAUGGAGAUGUUGAAGGAAAAGAAACGGGAAAUCUUUAAAUGAUGUUGGUAUAGUUAACUAUGAGGAAGUGUGACUCGUGUCUAGAAUGAACAGUGUCAAAAGUUAGAGUGGAAAUUAUAGUUGAUAUCAAUUUGAACAAUAGCAUUUACUAAGUUAGAUAGAAAACCAUUCGCAAUUCUCCACAUGAGGAUCAACAACCUGUAAGGUAAAAUUGCAAUUUGCAAUUAACGAUUUCACAUUUUUAUUUAAAAAAAGAGUAAUUAGCACAAAACAUCUCUACCUUUCAAGAUUUUUAUAGAAAACGUCCAUACCUUUCGUUUUUUGGCAAUUUUACCCUCACCUUUGCCUUUCAUCAUGGAAAACGUCCUUCAGUCCAUUUACCGUUAAAAUACUCCGUUAAAUCAAAUAAAAUGAUAUUUUUCUUUUCAAAAGGUAAGGGUAACAUUGUCUAAAUCAAAAUUUCUUUGCUUCCCAAAUUUCAUUGCAAAGAAAUAGUGCUUACAAAGAGAAGCAAUUAUGGGGAAGAUAAAGGAAAAGAGACUGCUAAUUACAAUAUCUUGUUUAAAAUUACUUAUUUCUGCUUUUUUCUCCUUGUAGAUACAAGAUGUUUACCAAUUUGGGAUAUUAGAGUUUGCAAGAAUAUGCAGAAAUAUAUCCUUUGAAUUUUGUAUUAUACUUUGCUUAAAUGUGUGGUUGUUCAUCUCCAUUUUAUGCUUAUGAAGGGUAUAAGUAAAUGGUAAAAUGAGAAGACCAAUUAAAAUGUAAUUUUGUGAAUGGACAGUGCAUAUGAAUGGAGAAGAUGAUGAAGAUGAACAUGUAUUCUUUCCAUUUUAGCAUGAAAUUUAAUUUGUGGUAACAGUCUCUACCUUUACAUUGUCUUUACACAAAACAUCACUACAUUUAAUUUGUAGUUGCGUAAAACAUCCCUACCUUUGUUAAAGUUUAACAAAGGUAGGGAUGUUUUACGCAACGCCAAUUUAAAUGUAGGGAUGUUUUGUGCGAAAACAAUGUAAAGCUAGGGGCUGUUGCCACAAGUUCCUAAAAUAGAAAGAAGGCCGGUUCAUCUUCAUCUUCUUCUCCAUUCAUAUGCAUUGUCCAUUCACAAAAUUACAUUUUAAUUGAUCUUCUCACUUUACCCUUUUAUUUACACCCCUCAUAAGCACAAAAUGGGGAUGAACAACCACAAAUUUAAGCAAAGUAUAAUACAAAAUUCAAAGGAUAUGUUUCUACACUAUUCUUACAAACUCCAAUAUCCCAAACAUUUUGUAUCUACAAGGAGAAAAAAAACAAAAAUAAGUAAUUAUAAAUAAGCCAUUGUAAUUAAGAGCCUCUUGUCCUUCAUCUUCCUCAUAGUUGCUUCUCUUUCUAAGCACUAUUCCUUUGCAGUGAAAUCUGGGAAGCAAAGAAAAAUUGGUUUGGACAAUGUUACCCUUGUUUUUUGAAAAGAAAUUUUUCAUUUUCUUUGAUUUAGCGGAGCAUUUUAACGGUAAGUGGACGGAAGGACGUUUUUCGCAAUAAAAGGUAAAAGUGAGGGUGAAAUUGUCAAAAAACAAAAGAUAGGGACGUUUUCCGCAAAAACCUUGAAAGAUAUGGACGUUUUGCGCUAAUUACCCUUAAAAAAAUAAAAAAGAAAAAAAAAUAACUGGCACCAAUUUGCUACCAUCCAUGAUAUCUAGGCAUAUUUCUACUUUAAAAUAAAAAAAAAUAAAAAAUUUCCUACCUAUAAUUAGGGCGAAAAAAAAAUGGAAAGUGAUGUGUGGAGGAAUGCUCCAUAAAUAGAAAAGAAUUUAGAGAAAUCAAUAGAGAUGGCUCUCCACACUGUCAACGAAGAUUUUCUCCACGCAGCACAAAGAGCCAUCUGCGCGGACUUUUUUUCUCCUCGCAGUGUGAAGAUGGUUCUCCACUCUGCACGGAAACAUAGACGUCUCUACAGCAAGUCAAUUUGAAGGUAGCUAAAUUUUGAAACUUGGAAAUGGGAGUUUCUUACCUUUAUUAAUUGUCGAGUGUGAAAUUUGGAAAGAAAAAAAUUUGUCUUGUCCUUAACAAUUUCUGUUAGGGUGCUUAAAAAAAUGAAAAUGAGAGUUUCUUAAUUGUCGAGUGUGAAACUUGGAAAGUUGUCUCCAAAUUUCAUGUUGAUGACAACUUGUAGGGUAUUUUAAAAAAAAAAAUUGCUCCGCACAGUGCGGGAACUGCGGAGUUCCUGUAAAUCAGUGCAGAGCUAUUUGUUUUUCAUCGAUUGUUUAGUCUUCAUUUAACCAUCGAGAUAACAUCAAUGAGGUAAAACAAGGUUGGUUUUUCAUUUGUGAUUUUACAACUUCUGAGAAUAUAUUACCUCUAAAAAUAAGGAAAAUUUGACAUAUAAUCACAAACGAGGAAAUCUAUUUACCUUUCAAUAACAUAGAUAAAAAUCAAACUACCAAACAUCAGUAAAAAUUCAAAAUCAGAACUAACUAACUUGAAUGGCUGAAGACAUGGCAUUUUUUCCAUUAGAGGAUCUUUUUUCCAUAAUUCUUGUCUUGCCUCCUAAAGCAAAAUAAAAUCCUUAAUCUUCCCGAUUAAAAUGGAACCAACACACAUUCAAUAAAAUCCUUAAUCUUUUUCCACUCUAAAAAAUACCUUGCAGGCGUACAACCACAUAGUAAAAUGGAACCAACACACAUUCAAUUCAUAGCAAAAAUCUAUAUUUACUUACCAAGUUUGAAAACUACCUCUCUGCAAAACAAAGAAAUAGAAUUCAUUCGACUUUGCAAAUAAUAUAUAAAUAGAUCUAUCAAGUCAUAAUCAUUUUUAUCGUAUAAAUGUUAGACCAACUUAAAACACAGUUAUAGUUUGAUAGUAGGAAAAUAUUCUAUUACCACUUACCAGUUGGUUUAUAUGCUCAAUUUUAACUUCUUGCUUCUUACAAAUGCUAUCAAGCUCCCACUUUCUCCAAGCCAUAGGUAAAUCAUUCUCUGUAUCCUAUUAAUAAGGACAAAAUUCAAUAAGUUUAAUGAUUAGGAUAUAACUCAGAUUUUUGUCAUAAAAUUUUACCUGACAAUUUAAAAUGGGCUACUCACUUGUUUCCACCCAAAAAUAGCUAAAUAAAAACUAAUUUGAUAAAAAGUAAAUAAAUAAUACUUUACAAGACUAAUUAUGAGCCAAUUUGUAAAUAACUCCACAACUAAUGCAUUUCAAAUUGGUGUUUAACUAUCAGGAACAAAACCUAUUCACUUUACAAGACUCUUAGUCAAUGGUCAUCCUCUCAAAUGAGUUUGCAUUCAGUUCCCCACACUAAACAUGUUUAAAAAUGUUAUAAUAAACAUAAAAUUUAUCUCAUUUUUUUUUUUUUUGUGAAAAUCAAUCUCACCAUAUAUUUUAAUGGAUAGCUCUAAAGAAAUUAGUAGUAAAUACACACAGAAAACAACAAAAAAGCAAAUUCGUGAUAAAAGACCAAAUAAAAGUACCAGCGACUUUGCGGCUUUUCCACCUUCUUCUUGUGGGGUAAGUGGGUGCAAGGCCCACUCAAAGCAGACAAUACGUAUUACGUAAGAUAACGGCUUGGGCGAGAGGCUCGAGUCGUUACAAGUACCAUGAGAAGUUAUGACAGGGUUCUGAAUAUUUGUGAGAAAGAGUGGCACCUUUCAAUUAUCAAACAUUACUCUUUCUAUUGGAUUUACUAAGGUUGAGGGAGGGAGAAUUUUUACUUCUAAUAGGUUUACUCGUUAGAAACUUUUGCUUGUUUGGUCUAGAAAUAACUCAGUAAGUCUUUCUAUGUGUUCAAUAAGGGAAAGUCUAUUAAAAUGUAACCAGAAGGAACUUAUAAUUAUGCAACCAACUCAUUUUCCGGAUUAAGUUUAAAAUUGAUCAAUGGAAGAAGUGGACUGCAACAAAAUCAAUUAGAAAAUUUCGGUCAUACAAUAGAAAUAUUCAUAAACAAAAUCAGCAAAAUGAAAAAUUAGUUUUUCUUCACAGGAGAUGAAAGAUUACGAAAACCAAACAAUGCCCAUUCUUGGGUUAAUUGCCCCAAAAGUCACUGAACUUUGUCAAAUGCCACCUGGGAGUUCACUGAACUUCAAAACCUUCCUGAAAGGUCACUGAACUUUGCCAAAUGCUACCUGAGAGGUCAAUGAACUUCAAAAGCUUCCUGGUAGGUCACUAAACUUUGCAAAAAUUCCUGGGAGGUCAUUGAACUUUGAAAAAACUUCCUGGGAAGUCACUGAAUUUUGCAAAAAUUUUCUAAGAGGUCACUCAACUCAGUGAUGCAUGGGGUUACUUUUUACAAAGUUCAGUGACCUCCCAUGAAGUUUUUGCAAAGUUCAGUGACCUAACGGAAGCUUUUGAAGUUUAGUGACCUCUCAGGUAGCAUUUGGCAAAGUUCAAUAACCUCUUAGGAAGCUUUUGAAGUUCUGUGACCUCCCAGGUGGCAUUUGGCAAAGUUUAGUGACUAUUGGGGUAUUUAACCCUCCAUUCUUCAUAUCUAAUGUAUACUGGCUAAAUGAUCGUCACUCUCUAGCAUUUUUAGUGAUGUUUCUUAUUCUAGCCAUUCUAAAAAUGGAUUAUUCCAAAAUUUGGUCAUACUAAGCUAUCCAAGUCCCAAGAUAACAUAUUUAAAGAUACUAUAGUCUUCCAAAAAUUAGAUUACGGGCCAAGCAGAAAAUACUACGAGGCUUCCAAAAAAUUGGGUGUCGUAUUGAAGUUUGAAAUUACUUAGUCGUCAUGAAAAUUUUAGAAAUUCAAUUGUGUCAUAGAAAUUUCGCUGUUUUUUUGGAUCUUGGAUUCAAAAAAUUCCAGAAAACAUUCAUUCAAGAAUGUAACCUUAAUUUUGAUCCUAUUUUCUAUUGUAUAAAGUAUUAUAGUGCCCAUUUUAGUUAAAACUUGUAAUUUUGUUAGAUGGUGCUAUUAAUUUGAUCCUAUUUUCUGUCUUAAGUAUUAAAGUGGACUUUAAGUUGAAACUUACAAUUUUGUUAGCAUGGUGCGAUGGAGUAGGCAAUGCUGCCUGAAGUAAGCAAUUUUAGUUGAGACCUAACUAUAUGAAGCGACAAAGGGCUUAGGCUUAGUGGAUCGUGGAAGUAAGGCUACUCACUCCUUUAUAAUACUCCACCACAUGUUUAGUCAUCUGCAUUAUCUUCAAAGUUGCUAAAGUGGCACAACCACCAAGAUGGCUUAGCCAAUGACAUGUUGUUCAAUGUCAGGGAUAUGACGGGAUAUAUGAACUUUUUAAAAAGAUGAAGGUUAGUGAUUUUGGUGGUGUUACUUCAAAAGGAGGGUUGUUGAUGUUUGUCUUCUUUGCCGUUUUCUAUCGGAGCUCAUCGAAGUUGCGAAGAAUGCCACUGGUGAUUAUGUCUUUUGAUUGACUGCUAAACUAAUUGUACAUAAAUUUCUGUUUCUCAAUUGAAGCUGGAAUUUAUGUUUUAUGUCUGUUGAUAAUGCAGUAGAAAUGGGGAGAUUUUCCUUCAAAACUGUAAAAUGCUAAAUCUAUUUGCGUUAUUAUAUGCUUCGUGGGAAUAAAUAUAGAAAGUUAAACAGAUAAUUUAGUUGGACGAAAGUGGGAUGGAAAUUUCAUAAAUGAAAAAGGAAUGAGAGCGAUCGAGUUUGGGUUCAGUAAGAAUGCUAAGCCACAAAGGUAUCACCAGUAUGAGGAAAGGGCGAAGUUAGAAUUAAAGACCACUGAAUCUGCUAGACUCAAACCAGUCAAAGCUACUCAAACUAUAAUCAAGGUAGCAUAAAGAAAAAUAAUGUGAUUUCAAUAGUUAUUUUUUACAGCAAAAUGUUUUUUAGCAAAUUAUGUAAUUCUAGCGUUUGUUAUUUCUCACCUUCAAAUACUAUUUGUAAAAUCUACAAUUUCUACACUAAUAACAAUAAAAUAAAUACAAAACUCGUGCAAUGCACGAGACGAAGACUAGUGUGUGUGUGUGACAUUUGGUAAAUGAGAAUUGUUAUAAUAUUAUUGUUUUUGGUCUAAAUCUUAUUACUUAUACUCUGAAUAAUACUUUUGUUUUAAUAAAAAGGGGAAAACAUAAAGAUUAGACUUGGAAAACAUAAAGAUAGGUUAAAGAAUUUAAAUCAAUUAUCAUUUAUUUAUAGCUAAUGAAAGUAUAAUUUGUCAGGCCAAAAAUUAAUGAUUUCUCAUCUAUUCCAGUUUGAUUAAUUUUGCCUCAAGUAAAUACUCUUAGGUUAGUUGCCUCUUAAAAAAAAUUUAAGGGGACUUCAAUUGAAAAUAUGAGAUAAAGUUAUAAUUGUUGACCUCGUUUUUUGUAAUGGUAAGUGGUAACGUAGACAACAGAUGUCGAGUUUACUUGAUUCCAUGCAAACAAAUUUCAACACAUUUUGAUCGGAGAGAUUACUGUAAUAAACGUGAGAGAUGCUCUAUAACAUGAGACAAUAAUGCUCAAACACCGACAAUAUAUUUAGGAGCGAUUGCAUAAUAAUAAUCAAUCACCAACAAUUCGACUAAAGCAAGAUAAUAUAAACUCCAACAAACGAGAGUAAAUGAGAGAAGACACGGUGUAGCUUUAAGUGUAUUGAGUUGCAUUAGCCUUCAAACGAUACAAGGAAUGGGUAUUUAUAGUGUUACAUAUGAAAUAGUGUCCCAUUGGAUAAAUAUACGCGUGGCUUCAUCUCUUGAAUCAAAGCAUCCAAUCGUAGUCAUUAAUUUGAACUUACUAACCUGUGGCACAUUUAAUGCUCUUAUAGAAAACAGCCAUCUUACAACCUAAAUUGAAAAGAUUUUGAUAUUCCAUUCAUUACCAAUGUUCUAUCAAUCAUCCAAAUGGAUCAUACAUAAAUUCAAGAUCUUUACUAGUGGGUCGUCACUUGAACUUCGAUUUUCACUUUUGUUGAGCUUCAUCGCUUCGGCAGGCAAAUGCGCUUGAGCCUUGAAGUAGCUUCGAGGCUUUGAGGCUUUGUCAAUAAUAUAAAACUGCUUCGAUAAGUAUGGAUUUGGCACUUUGAAUUUACAGAUUCCAACAAUCCAUGUGGCGUCAUUGCAAGGGUUUCAGAGGGUCGGUCACAUGGAGCCUAUGUGGCGAGGCGUAAUAAUAGUCCUCAAAGUCCAUGUAUAAUUAUUUAUAUCAUGCUUGAAUUUUAGUAUUAAGUGAAACGUAUUUUGGGCAAGUUUUCCCAUCAUGGUUAAAUUUUUGACAAACACAAUAGUCCCCAAAGUCCAAAUAUAGAUAUUUAUAUUAUGAUUGGAAUUCAAAGUUGAUCUUGAUUCUUGUAUAUCGUCCUAUUCUUAUGUAGCGCUAAUUUGUUGAGGCUUCUUAUUUUAAUAAAAGCUGAAAUUUAUUUGAGCCAAAACAGAAAAGUGUUGAACUAUUGAGACUCUUUUAUUUCGAUAGAAGUUGAAAUUUACUUAAGCCGAAGUAGGGAAAUGCUAAACUGCCUAGGCUUCUUUAUUUGGAUAGAAACUAAAAUUUACUUAAGCCAAAACAGGGAAAUACUGAACUAUCGAGACUCCUUUAUUUUGAUUGGAAUGACCUUGACAAUGGUGCGAAUGAUAUGAUUUUUUGCACGUUACCAAGAAAAGAUAGCUGAGGCAUUACGACUUUCAAUACAUGUAUGGACAUUAUAUUUAAUGCACAAUGAUGACCAUGUUACAGUAUUCUAAGGUCGAAGGCGCUGAGGCUCCAGCGUGAAGAACAUGUACCAAUUUGAGGUGUUGACAAAAGAAACCAUUUGAAUUUAGCGCCUCAUAUGUAACAAGAAAUGGACGCUUCAGAUGGAAUAGAUUUUGACCCAAUGGCUGUGAUUCACUUUCCUUUUUGUAUAAAACAUAUGUGCCUGUCAUUACUUUAGCUCUACUAAUGCAAAAAAUUUCCAAACUCUCCAACAUUCUAAAUCUUUCCGGCAAUCUCCAUUUUCAGGCGACACCACGUUCUUAGAGUGAUUUAGGUAACUUUUGUGAGACUCUAUUUCCCCAACGUUUCCAUCUUUUCAUUCAAUGGCGUUUGGGUCGAAUGCAAGUAGUGGUAGGGUAAUAAUCACCAAGGGCGGCGAGGAGGAUAUAUGUUUUUUUAAAAGGUUAAACACUAAUUCAAAAUAAUAUAUUCUUCGAAAUAUGUGGUACUUUGAGAGCACGUUGUACUUUGCUAUCGUUUCUUCAAGAACAAUAUAUCAAUAUUCUUAUGGAAUAUUAAAAUUUUAGUGUCAUGCUCUUCAAGAGUAAUAACAUAUUAUUAUUUAAAAUAUAAAUUAUGUAAAGAUCUACUCUUUAGGAGCAAAAACAUAAUUUGUGUUAGAUUUUACUUAAUUAUGCCUUUCGAGAGCAAGUGAAACUAACUAGAACAUCAAUAAUCAUGUGUUAUUUCAGGGGCUACAAUAUUUUAUAAUAGACAGAUGUAUGAGUAUUAAAUUCAUAAAUUAUACUAGGAUUAAAAAAAAAUAUAUAUGAAUGAGAUAAUUAAUCAAACGAUAAAUAAGAAACAUCACAUGUAAAUACGAUAAAAGUUGUUAGGGCUUUGUUCAAUGUACAUAAUUUUUGUACAUAAAGUGUCCAUACCUCUCAUGUGGCGUGAGAGGCAUGGACACCUUUCGUGAGAGACAUGGACAUCUUUAUGGACAAAAAUUAUGUAUAAAUAUAAUUUUCCAAGUUGUUAACUCCAUCACGCAUACAUGUAAAUAUGUAUCAGUUCUAUAGCCCCCAGGGCACAUCUCCAAGUGGUAAAAGGGGAGGGUGGAGAAAUCCAGCUUUGCUUGAGGCUGCUGCGUCAAGGGUUCGAAUCCUGAAAUAUGGAUUUGGCUCUUGGGUAAGUGCAAGUAUACAAGCAGCCUUCCACCCUAUACCCUUGAAGGCAUAACCUGCGAUUUACCUCUCUCAUGAUACUCCAGGACAGGGACGGUGGGGGCCCCUUAAGGUUAGGGUUCAACCUUUUAAAUAUGUAUCAAUUCUGUAGAUGAAUGAAAACAUUCAUUGUUAAGAGCUAAUCAUUAUCCAACAAUAGAAAAAUCAUUUACGUGGAAGGUAGUGGAAAGUGAUCAUUAAUAACCAUUCUCCUUGGUUUUAGGUGCGCGACGAUAGAUUGCAAAUUGCGGUGCACUACUAUUACGAUAAAAAUUACGAAGUAAAUUUAUAUUCUAAAAUUUUAUUCUUGUUUUUGUUGAAAGUUUAUUAUCUUGAUCCGCUCAAUUGGUUUUACAACGAAAGAACAUUACUUGUAAUUCGAGUCAAAGAUCCUUCUUUAAUUAAUAUCUUCUAUUGUAAUGCUCCAAAAUUUAUUUCAUUUUUUUAAAAAUAAAAAUAAACUUGGAGUGUUACAAAAAUCUUCUUUUUCUAAUUUAAACGAAAUUUUACGAUUUCAAACCAUCAAUUUAAACAUAACAUAGAAUGUCAAAUGUUCGAACACUAAAAACAAUUACUAAUUUUAACGUGCACAUUAUUAAACAUAACGAUGUUCUUCAAAUAAAAAUCUGCAAUUAUCAUUUCUAAAACCUUUUCUUGACGAUCCCAUAGACAUUGCUCGUUCAAUCUACCACGCGUUCACACGACCCGUUCUAAUCUGAAAAAUUAUUGUAAGAGUGAGUAUUUUGAAAACACUUGAUAAAAAUACGUGCAUAUUCUUAUUCACAUGAUAUAAGUAUAAAAUGGCACAACAUACUAACUUUUUUUAGAUUUAGAGCAAACUGGUUGCAAUAUCCAAUAGAUCAAGGAAUUUCUUAAUAAUCCUUAUAUCCCAUAAGAUUUACAUAUUUGAUCAAAUGGUCAAUACCAUAGGAUUUAACAUAGAAAUCGAUCCGAUAGUCUUAUAGUAUUUCAUGUCAAAAUUUAUAUAUAGACAUUAAUAAAUAAGAAUUUACAACUUUGCACUAAGUAUUCUUACCUUAGUUGAUAUCACAAGUUCUGAAAAAUAUUUCCUUGAGACAAUAAUUAAAAAUGAGUAGAAUGUUUGUAAGACGGAAAAUCCAACUUGUAAAUUUUUAGAUGUGGUCUGUAAAAUAAAAAUAAUACUCCUAUUUAACAGGUCGGUAUGUUAACGUGUGAAAAUUUCAUUCUGCAUGUGUAAAGAAAAAACUUUGCACAUAUAUUAUUAUAUAAAUAUACCUACUUGUAUGCUAGUCAAUCAUUCAAACGUCUAUCAAUUUUCAAAACGCACAAAAGUUAAGGCCCCGUUCUCUUUACCGUUUUCGGAUCGUUUUCUGUUUUCGAUUUUUCAAAACGGUGAAAACGUGUUCUCUUUCCCGUUUUCGAAAACGAAUUUUCGAAAACGUUUUCGAAAACGAAAAAAAUUUGUGAAGAAAACACAAAACGACUUUUUUGUCGUUUUGGACGUUUUCAGUGUAAAACUUGAAAAAAUUGAAAAAGCGGGAAACACUUAUUUUUUUUUAGUUUUUUUUUGAGGUUUUUUUUUUUUUUUUGGAGGAGGUGGUGUGGUGAUUCUCAAAAUUUCAAAAAAAUUUAAAAAUUAAAAAUUUCUUUUCUUGAGGAGAUAGUGUGGUGAUUCUCAAAAUUUCAAAAAAAAAUAAAAAUUAAUUUUUUUUUUUUUUCGGUGUUUUGAGGUAGUGUUGUGGUGAUUCUCAAAAUUUUAAAAAAUAAAUGAGAUUUACUGCUUCGGAGUGCCCGAGGUACAUACUUGUGUCUGAAUUGUAUAUGAAAUAGAAUAGCAUAAACAACUUGUGAUGAGAUGUUAUGAAAGCGUAUUAAACAAAAUCGCAUGUAAAAACAAAUUUAAAUAAAAAAAAUCGGAGAAACUAACAAUUUUAGCAAUUUUUAAUCAAAAUCAUUCCAAAAUCUCGACCACAUAAAUUAGGCUUGAAUUGUAAUCUCUUGCCCAGAAUUUGUCGUCCCUUCAAUAGCAAAUAAUGAUAAAAAGAUUAUAAAAGUGAUUUUAAUUCAUAUCCAUCUUCAUCAUUCUACUGGAUUGAAGAAUCUAUGUUGAAUUAAAUCCGUUUAAUAGAACAACUCAUUGAACUUUUUUUUUUUUUUGAGAGCCCAAUAUUGAAUUUUUGUAUAUUACUUCAAAAGUAAUACAUAUUAGUUCAAAAAAUUAUAAAUUUAUGUGAAAAAUUGUUAUAUUAAAAAUUUAUACCAAACAUGAUUUAUAAACAUAAGCCCUUGUUUGAGCCCCAUUUUUUAGGAAAAAAUGAAUUUUUGAAUAGUGUAUUGAUGGAAAAUGUGUGGUUAAAAAAUAAAGAAAUUUUUUUAUUUACGUAUAAUAUUAUUUUAUUAAAAAAUAUGUGAUUAAAAUGAUGUCAAAAUAUUGUAGAAGAAUACAUUUUUUUCCAAAUAAUGGAUCUCAAACAAGCUAUAAGUUUACAAACUAAGAUGACAAAUUAAUAUAUUCUUUAUUCCCAUCCAUCAACAAUUGAGUGUGGAAUAAAAAAAACUAAUUAAUUAUUCAUUAAAUUAUAAUAUCUUUUCAGUUUCCAGGGCAAGUACAGGAAAUGAGGUGUUCUUUUUCAUUAUUUUAUAUAUAUAGUUUUUUUUUAAAAUAUAUGGUUUAUAAUACUUUUCUUUCUAUUAAAAUAAUUCAGAUAUAAUUAGUCCAAAAUUAUUUUUUCUUGAGUCCAUUUAAUGUUAUUUAAUAUGAGCUACAAAAUGAGUAUAAUUCGAUAUAUUUUUAUUAACUUUAACAAUAUUUAAAUAUUCUACCCAAAAAACUUGUGAUAAAUUCUAAUAAUACACGUAAGCAAAAUAAAUCAUUUAUGAAAAUAAGUGGGUCGCUUUUAUCACUUCAACUUUUGAAUUUUAGCAUGAUGAUAAGACUGGACGUGGACUGUUUCAUUUGCUAAAUAACUAACAUUAACUUUAGCCCAUAUGAGAAUAUAAUUAAAAUCCAGGGUGUUACAUCUAUGUUUCUAUCCUUCAUGUUUUGAGGACAUGAAUAUACUCAUAGUUGAGUGUAUUAACUCGAUACAUUGGUUUUCCGAUUAAAUAGUAGACCGUCAACUGAGCACAUUUCAUACAAUUUAGUGAUGAAACUAAACCCCUGUCGGGAUAAAAAUUAGAUUUUUAGUAGUUUGGGUAAAAAUUGGUGAAAUAGGUGGUUGAAAUUUUGAUAAAAUAAACAUUCAAAUUGACCAUUAAAAAUGACAAAUUUUUGAUAUAAUGCUUAAUUUCCUUUGCAGUAUUGGACUUUGACGGUAUUUAUCAUGCACUUCUGGGACCUUAAACACUUGGGGAAUCUUUUCCAUUCUUCGGUUAUGUAUGGAAAGAUAGAAAUAAAAUGACCAUAAUUCCUACCAAUCAAUCCUUCAUAAGAGCAUUUCAAAUGCAAUCAUACCUAAGUUCUUAUUUUAUUAUUAUUAUUAUUAUUAUUAAAGAAUAUAAAUCGUAUUUAAUCCUAGCAACAAAAGAGGUUCACAACUUAUAAUCUGAUUUUGUUGGAAUUUUGUAAAAUGAGCCUUAAUCACAUGUGAAGUUAACCAACCUGAACCUCUUUUAUUGUUGAGAUUAAAUCUAAUUUUCUUUUUAUAAAGUUCAUUAGCUAUAAUUGGAUUUGAAAUGCUUUUAUGGGAAAAUCAAUUGGAACCAUGCUACUAGUACAUGGAGGUUGACAUGGUCCCACCUCCCCUUUCACAUGGGAGAGGUCGGUCCCACACAUUUGGGUGUAGGCGCCGAUCUCCCCAUGUGAGAGGUCGGGUGGGAUCGUGUCAAACUCCAUGUCAAAGUUCAUGUACAAAUAGAUUAAUUCAAAUCAAUUGGUAGAAUGAGUAGACUUUUUUGUUUGUCGUGUACUUUUUAAUUUUGUCUCUCAAGUAAAUACUAAUUUAAUAAUUAAUGAUUUCUUGUCUACUCCAGCUUUAUUAAUUUUGUCUCUCAAGUAAAUACUAUUAGGAUUGUUGCCUCUUAAAAAAAUAAAUUAAGAGGACUUCAAUUGAAAAUAUAAGAUAAAGUUAUAAUUGUUGAUCUCCUUUUUUGUAAGGGUGACGUAGACAACAGAUGUCGGGUCUACUCGCGUCCACACAAACAAAUUUCAACACAUUUUUACUGGAGAUUACUGUAAUGGGCGUGAAAGAUGCUCUAUAAUACGGGAUAAUAUUGUUCAGACACCGACAAUAUAUUUAGGACGCGAUUGCAUAAAAAUAAUCAAUCACCAACAACUCGACUAAAGCAAGAUAAUAUAAACUCCAACAAAUGAGAGUGAAUGAGAGAAGACAAAGUGUAGCUUUAAGUGUAUUGAGUUGCAUUAGCCUUCAAACGAUACAAAGAAUGGGUAUUUAUAGUGUUACAUAUGAAAUAGUGUCCCAUUGGAUAAAUAUAUGUGUGGCUUCAUCUCUUGAACCAAAGUAUCCAUUGUAGUCAUUAAUUUAAACUCACUAGCCUGUGGUGUAUUUAAUACUUCAGCAGAGCGCAGUCAUCCUACAACCUAAACUGACAAGACUUUGACAUUAUACUCAUUACAAAGGUCCCAUCAAUAUUUGCAUCAGAAAGUGUGGUACUACCAAAAGCAGCUGGAACAUAUGAACUAAACAACACAAUAUCUGUCAAUGCACAGAUUGCUGCUUAAACAAAGCAGCACAUGGAGCAAAUGCAAUGAUGGUCAGUUCAACGUGUGAGAAUUGUAGGAGAAAUCAUGCUGUCAAAAAUUACUUGAUGCUUACUUCUUCAGAUGAACAAGUGAACUUUAUUCAAAUGGUUCUCGUAAUUUCAAUACAUAUGGAAAUAAUUUUUAGCAAGUAAAGAAUUAGUUUUAGUUGUAUUACUUAUAAACCUUUUGUGAAGUAUCAAACGAUUUCAAUACUUAAUGUGAGUUCAACAAAGUUAUCUAAUACAUUUAGAUAUAUUUUUUUUUGUUUGCUUGUAUCUUAGUAGCCAGUUUUGCACGGGACGAAUAAGAGUUUAAGUUUGGAGGUAUCUACUAAGCGCAUUUGAUGCGCUUAUUUGGGCUUCGAUUCUUAUUCAAUGAUAUAUAAAUUUAGUGAUUAUCUACUUAUUUUAUAUAAAUCAUAUUAGUUGUAGGAAAAUCCCAACUUCAUACAAUUUAUAUGAAAAGAGGCUGUUUGGAGCUUAAUUGGAGUUGACUUAAAGAAAUUGAAGAUUAAUCGAAUUACAAGGUAUCACUUGGUAGUAUUAUUGAAGCAUUCGAUAAAAAAAAAAAAAUUCAUAAGUUUCGGGACUUAAAUUCAACACUUGAAAAGUCUGAGGAUUAAAUUGUAAAUUUUUAAACUUUCUCGAAUCAACUAUUAUGAUUUUUGAAUAAAGAUGACUUAAUUGCAAAAUAAAAGAAGAUGGAGGAAUAAAGUUGCAAGAAAAAAGGAAGUUCAAUUGAAAAAUGAAUUUGUUUCCUUUUAUUUUUUAAACUCUUUAGUAGAAACCAAUUUAAACUCUUUGGCGGAAUUCAAGUUGAACAAGGAUUUUGGAUAAUUUUUUUCUAUAAAUACAUACCAACAAUUCAGGGGGACUUGCAGAGUUUCAUUACACACACACACACACAUUCAAGGCAAGAUUGGGGAUCAUUGUACAUAUAUUAUUCAAGCUAAAGGGGGGGGGGGGGGUCCCAAAAAAAAAGAAAAAANNNNNNNNNNNNNNNNNNNNNNNNNNNNNNNNNNNNNNNNNNNNNNNNNNNNNNNNNNNNNNNNNNNNNNNNNNNNNNNNNNNNNNNNNNNNNNNNNNNNNNNNNNNNNNNNNNNNNNNNNNNNNNNNNNNNNNNNNNNNNNNNNNNNNNNNNNNNNNNNNNNNNNNNNNNNNNNNNNNNNNNNNNNNNNNNNNNNNNNNNNNNNNNNNNNNGGGUUCCAGAAAUCAAUGAGAAAAAAACUAGGGUUUCAAGGAUUUUACAAGAAGAGGCAUAAUCUUGGUGCAAGAUCUUCAUCUUUUUCUUUAAUACCCAAUGAUUUACUUUAAUUCAUUCUUAUAUUUUUAUUCUUAUUGCACGAUGUGUAAUUAAGCCCUUGUUUGAUACUCAUUUUUUUCAAAAUAUAUUUUUCUCUCUCUUUUUUUAACCACCAUUUUUUCAAUAAAAUAAUAUUAUACGCAAAUAAAAAAAAUUCCUUAAUUUUUAACCACACAUCCUCCAUCAACUAUUAUUCCAAAAUUCAUUCUUACUAUAAAAAUGAAAAACAAACAGGAAUUAAGUAUUUAGUUAGGAUGAAUGAUAGUAAUCUAAUUUUGAACUUUAAUUUUAAUUAAAAAGUUUUAAAUCUUCAAUUGAUUUUGUGAAUUGUUUUUUGCUUCUAAUCUUAAUGCUUAGAUUAAUUAGUCACUAAUUCAUUGAUUUCAUGAACAAUAAUUACGUAGAUAUGCGAAUUGUAUGUUUACACCACAUAGUAAAAGUCAGUAAUUAGAAUAAAUGUAGAGAUACUUAUGCUAGUUAUUGCAAUCAUUACAUGAAUUUUUAGAACAUAAUUGCGUUUAACUAAGAUUGAUUCACAUAUAGAUAUGUAAUUAAAUUAGUUAAAUAGACUCAAAGAGAACUCGAGAGGGGUAAAUUGAAUACAUUAGAAGAAUUCGAUCAGGUAAACAUAAUCAAUUAUAUAAAACUUGGUAAUUGAGAUUAAGGGGAAAACCCUGGUAAAAUCAUGAAUCCUAACACUUAAACCAUCAUAUUAAAAAAAUCACUUUUAUUUGUUUUAGUAUAUUUAAAAUAUAAAAUUACAAAAAGAAAAAUGACUAUUUUACUUGUUUUCAAUCAAAUUCAUGUUAGAAAUAAUUGAACCAAUUGCUAAAUAGUAAUCCUUGUGAGAAUGAUAUAUGGACUCAUAAGCUCACUUUAUUACUUGUAAUGAUCCGUACACUUGCGGGAUAUAAAGAUCGAAUACAUGUUUUUGGUGCUUGUAGUUUUAGAACAAAACGAUUGUCUAUUAUGAAUGUUCCAAAAUUGUACUGUUUUAUGCAUGCAUCGACUUGUAAAUCCUAUUAUUCUUUUUCGCAAUGUUUUUCCGAUAGUAUGUGUAUCUUUUACAUUUAAACUUUAAAAUCUCAUCAUUUACUAAAUACAUCAGUAUUAAAUUCAUUUUAUAUUAAAAUCUUUUUCUUUACAAGGCAUAGGACUACAUGACUAUAUAGUUCACUUUACAAAGCAAGCCAUUAAAGUUUGUGAUUCAAGUUUCUACUUUCAUAUGUGGUUGACGAAGAUUUUUUAAGUAGGCAAGGCUGUGUCACACAUACCCCAAAGUCGAGUAGUGACAUUGAAUAUACUUUACCAUCUCCUUGUGUAUGUUUACCUACUCAUUAUAUUAUGUACAAAUUUGCUUACUAUCUCUAUAGAAGAAUACGCAAAAAAGAUGAAACUUUGUACAUUAGUAUUUAUACCAUGCUAAGUCCUGUUAAAUUUCUAUGCAUGUUUGCAUCAGAGCAUGUUCAUUUGAUUGUCGACCGAGCUAAAGAAUGCAUAGGGUCGAGACAUCCCUUGAGAAGAGGAUCAUCUCAACAUAGAAGUCCUUGGAUCUCUUCCAAACAAAAGAUAAACAUAUUCUAACAAGUCUCUUGUAAUAAUAACCAUCAUAUUGGACAACUUAAUAGAUUCGAUUUUAAGACCUUUUUUGCUAUUUAAACCUCCCUACGGAACCUAUAGUGAUGUAAUUUCAAGUGUUUGUUGAUUCUUGAUCAUCUUUUAUCAGCUUACCAAAGCGAACACAAUCAAUAAGAGAACUAGUAAACAAGUUUGCGCUAGCAUCUAGGGUAGUUUAAACAAAAUAUUCUAGAUUGUGACUUGAACGAAAAAAUAACAUCUUUGCAUAGGACUUGGGAAUGAAUCUCUCGAGUAUAGGAAAAUGACGAUAUUCUUAAAAUGUGGGAUUUAGAAGGAGAUUUUGUAGAGCGCUGCAAUUUUCUUGCAACUAGUUUUAGACAUACAUUCGCUAAUUACUCCAACCAUAGUAGUGACAACAUAUAUAGUGCUUGUUUGACAUGAUUUUUGAAAAGUCAAAAUAAAUUUAUAAGGUUCAAAAGUUGCUUUUAAAUCGUUUGAUUAAUUUCAUGAAAGUGUUUCUUUACGUUAGAAGAGCUUUUAGAGGAAGCUGAUCCAUUGUGAUGUCCUCUAAAAGUACUUCCAGAAUAGAAUUUUUUUUUAAAAAUUAGUUUUCAAAUAAAAAUUAAAAUAACUACCUCCAAAAACUCUUUUAUAGGAAGCAAAGCUAAAAGCAAAAGUCACGUCAAACGGGCUGAUCUUGUCCCGGCCCACAUAGUGAUCGACUCUAUUUGCCAAGACGUGCCCUGGAUUAAUAAAACGAAUUGGGCCCGACCUGGUCUGGCACAAAACAUUGGUUGGGCCGGGCCAGCUAGCAGACGAGUAAGGCCCAAUUCUGUUGAGGCCUUUUACUGCCAUUGCUCCAAAAUUCAGGUUCCUCUUAUUCGCAAAUCCUCUCAGUAACGGUAGACUUUGAAGAAUCUGAAAUCCCUCACUGAAGACUGAUUUCACUGAAACAGAUAAAAAAAUGGCAGUUUUUUUCAAAAGACUGAGCAAGGCUGCACCGCUCGCAUUCGGCGGCACCAAUUUCCGCGUGCCUUUUGGAGCUCUUGCCGCGAUUUCUGAUGGCUUCUCGUAUUAUUACUGCUUUCGUCGUCAAAUUUGGUAUUUUCUCAAUCCAAUUUCAUCUCUGUCUAAUAAUGUCGACUGUAAAAGUCGUGGCUUUGAAUUUACUAUAUAAUUUCAUUUUGUUGAUGCUGUUAUUUGAAUUAAUGUAUUUUUGAGCUUGAAAUUCUCUUGUUCUAGUUCUAUGAAUUUUUCUUUGAUAUGAAUUACUGUGAAUUUGUGAUAGCGAGGGCACUGUAAUGUGCAGAAUUACUUAUUUGAUAUUGUGGAAUGAUCAAUUCCCAUUUUCUGGAUAUUAUUUUUUCUGGCUUAGAUAUUUUGUAUAAUGUUGUAUUCUUUUUAAUUCAGGUUCAUUUAGAUCCGAUCAGUGAAGAUGCUUCUCCAAAAAUUGGUGGGUUCUCCUCUUCUUUCUACAAUUGUUAAUAAUUUCAAUCUUAAUUCACGUCUCAUCUAUUUCUUGUGGUGAUUGAAUCCAAAUCUACGUCAAUUACACUGCUGUAACAGUACUUGUACUUGCAACUGGGAUGUAUUGGCUGAAGCAACUAUUUCCCUUUAGACAAAUGCAUUUGGUUAGCAACUCAUAAGAAUGAAGGUAUCUACACUAGUAACAUGGGCUUGCAUAACUCAUCUCACAAGGUCGUCGAGUAAGGAGUUUAUCUCUUGAGAGGUGCAGUGUGAAGACCACAAAAUGUUCACCUUUGAACUUGAAUUAAAACGAAAAGAAAUAAAAAUUCUAGGAACUAAUAUGGACCAGUACGAUUGUAAAAGAUUUCCUGUCCUUGAACCUUGAGACAUAUCUGAUUCCGGCAUGCCAUACCUUGAAGCGAAGUGACUUUGUGUUUAUGAUAUUGACUUUCUUUGCUAAAUGCUUUUCAAAUUUAAGGAGCUGCACACAAAGCAUGCAUUAAAAUCUGGACUAGUUGAUUACUCCAGACACCUCACUGCAAGUAGUUCAGAAGCAUCAAGCUUUGGAAUUCAGGGAGAGGCUUAUGGAGCUAAAGAAUGUCUAGAAGUUCAUCCUUACAUCCAUAGACAAACUGGGAAGGUCGAAACCAAGUUGUGAAUAUGACCUGUAGAAUUAAUUUUUGACUACGUAGAAUUUUCUUGAACUUUUUAGCUUUCGAUUAUUUUGUUGAAGUCGGUUAGAAUAUGCUAUGUUAUGGAGAUUUCUUUUUUUGUCCCCAGCCUAUAUCUUAUGAGCCGUGCACUCACAGUCACAGACACUCAUAUAAUUUGGCUAAAUAAAUUCAUGUAAUUGAAAACUUUCGCUGGUAAGUUAAACAUGUAGCUGAAAGCCAUAAAUUGUUUGAUGAAAUUUUAUGACAAUGUUAUUAUUUAUUUUCAGCACUAAAUCCUGAUAAAUGGAUUGAAUUCAAACUGCAAGACAAGGCACAUGUCAGCCACAAUUCUCAGUUAUUCAGGUUAGCUUAUAAUGUUUUCUAUUUAUCAAAUACAUUAUGGUUCUUUAAAAUGUAUGAUAGUAGACAGGAUAAGGUACAUGUCAUUUUGUUUAGGAAUAUGCCAUAAGUUACAUGAGUUGUAUCUUAACUAUGUGAACAAGGAAGUCUGGAGCUAUGUUAAUGCUGGAUGAGAGUAAACUUUCUAGAGAGGAGGCAGGUGUAAUUUUUGGUUCGGAAUGCGAAUAAUUUGAGGAGUAAUCACAUUAAAUGUAUUAUUUUAAGCAAUCUAGUUCAUAGCAGAAACAUUCUGAGACAUGGUAAUUAGUAGGGGAUAUAGUGGCUUUUUGGGCAAAGAGGAUUCCUUAAUUUGUAACUUGUAGAAAGGGGAUGCUUCAAACUUUAAGGUUCAAAUUCAUUUAUUAUUCAUUAUCAACGUAGCACAUCUCCUUCUUGAUUGGCUAAACCUUGAAGGUAAUUAAUGGAUUUUCGUUCGCCCUCUUUUUUUUCCCCUCUUGGACCAUUCCAGUGACCGCAAGGAAAAAAUUUCUUCUGGUUUCUCGUCAAUUGUGUUUAUUAUGCAUCCUUUCAGUAGCAUCAUACCUAGAACUUAGUGCGAUCUAUUAGAACACACAAUAUCUGGGAUUCUUACCAUAUUCUGUUGGGCUUAUUAACUGAAAUUUGUAAAAUCUUGGUACGGGAUCUGCUUUAAUACUUAAUCAAUUGCAAUAUUUUUACAGAUGUUGAUGCAAAAGAGAUUAUUAUUAGAUAUCUCUGCUCUAUCGUAAUGUAAGUAUAGAUAAUAAUUCUUUUCUUCUAAUAUUCCAGGUUUUCAUUUGAUCCCACUGUGAAGUUAGGUCUUGAUGUUUCAUCCUGCGUUAUUACGAGGUACCUUCGGCUACACUUAAGAAUUUUAAGUAUGAUUAUGUUCUACAAGCCUCAACAAGGUUAUGUGUUUUUUUAAGUAUGACAACUGAAUAAAUCUCAACAAAUGGUUUGCAUUCUUUGAACCCAUAAAAACCAGCAAGGAAGCUAGUGACUAAGGUCUUCAUCAACAUAUCAAACCUGUCAGAUGUAUGAAUCAAUGAUUCGAUGGCCUUAGGCUCUAUUAGACCUUUCUUUGCUUUCUGUUGACCUGCAAAUUUGACUUCCUACUAAGUUCAAGUGACGCCUUUCACCUGGAAUAAAGUUUUGCUCAGGUAGUUGAUUUCUGAGAUGGACAACUUCAGGAGAAAAAGAGACAUUUAUCCAUUACACGGAUGGUGUGCUUCCAUUCCUUUUCUAUGUAUUUCAUUUCUCUCAGUCUAAAGAGAGAGAAAAUCUGUGCUUGUGAAGUUUCAGUAAUAGAAAGCAUCAAGUCUAAAUUAGAAGAAGAAUUUGAAUGUUCUCAUUCUCUCCAGUCACAAGAGUGUUUUUAUGCACAAUAAUUCUGUCUAGCAAAAAUUUACCAAUUUAUGAAGACAUCUAUCCAUUAUGGUAACGAAUUCAUGAAACUCUAAUUAUAUUCUUAAAAUCCUUCUUUGGGAGAACUCUAUUUUGGCAGUGAUGGAGUCUUGAAAGGACAACAGAGAACAUAACGUUGAUCCAGCACUUGUAGGCACUAUCAAUUCCUGCAAAUGGAGCCAAAUUGAUGUACGGAAAACGUAAGGCCAAAAUAUCAUGGUAAAACAAAGAGGAAACAGGUCUGAAUAUUGGUGCAGCAAAAUUAGAAGAAAAAAAAUAACAAGCAGAGAGACGAGCGAUUUCAACACAAGGGUUUUCGACAAAAUCAUACAACAUAGUAUGCUGUUCUUGUACUGGACUCUCUAAUCAAAUAAUGAUUGCAAUUGCUUUAUAUCAGCUCCAAAACUUGGAAGCAUUCUUUGGAAACUGUUAAAUUAUUUUCAAAUACCAAACUAACACUAAUGGUUUUAAAGCCCAAGAAAUAAAACGCCUUUAUAAAGGAAGUAUCUUCCAUAUAUUGUAAAGGAUAACUAACUUGAGCCUAUGCAAAAGAAGUAUCUUCCAGAUAUCACAUGAAUAUACGGUGAAAUUGCAAAAAUGCCUGAAUUUAAUUGAAAAAAUUCAAGAAAAAGCUAAUUUAUAAUACUGUGAAUAGGCGCAACUCGGGAGGAUUUGAGCUCUAGAGUGUCUUCAAAGAAUCUUGCAUUGUUUUAAAGAUUUUUUCUGUAAACUUACUUUACUAGAGCAUUUUAUUGGCUACAGAAACUAUUUGGCUGUCUGCUAUAACUGACUCCUAAAUACGCAUUUUUCUUGAAGAGCACCAACAGGACAAAAUCCUGAAGGAAAACCCAAACAUGUUAUUCGUCCGUGAGUUCGAAUAAUCAUACUUUCCCAAGCUCUACUUUUAUUUUAUUUAUUUAUUUUUCUGUCUUUUACAUACGUAUUUGUAACUAGCACUCAAUUUAUGUGUGCUAACGUGUGUUCAAUUUCAUGAAAAUAAAUUUCUCCUUGCAAUUGCUUCCCCUGACGUUAAUAGUCUGUCUUCACUUGUUCUUGAUACAAUUUUUGGAUGUACAAGUGGGAAGGGAAAAAAAUUGUUUACGCUAUUCUGUCUGUAUAAUCGGUCUUGAUAUUUCAGUAUUGUCAUUGUUAAUUAUUCUCACAUUCAACUGUCUUCAUUUCCUUUCUGGAAUGUCUGCAAAUUUCAACCCCUUUUUAAAUGCUUGAUCACAUCCGGAGAUAUGGAGAAUGCCACACUCCAAGACAAGUAAAUUUGGAAAAAUGGUUGUAAAAUUUUAAAACCAUGAACUGAAAAUUUUAAUCUGUAUGCAGACAAUUCAGAAAUUGAAAAUUAAACCGUGUAGACUGGUUGAAUUGAAGUUCUAUUGAAUGCUAGGUUUUGAGAGAUGAUUUAUUAAUAUGCCAAUCAAUAAUAUUCAAGGGUUUGUUCUUUUCAGUUAUACACCUAUAUCGGAUCCAGAUGCUAAGGGAUACUUUAAUUUAUUAAUUAAGGUAUGGGUCGGCUGUCUAUUUUGCUUUUAUAUUUGGUAAUCUUUGUUUAAUUAUAUGCGUGAAAAUUUCACAGUUGUAUCCAGAAGGUAAAAUGAGUCAGCAUUUUGCCAGCUUAAAACCAGGAGAUGUUGUAGAAGUGAAAGGGUAAGUUGUAUAAGAUUGACUAUCAGGCAAGAACCAUUUUAGUUACGAUCAUACGAAUGCGUGUUUCCUCUUCUUGUUGUCUUGCAGGCCUAUUGAAAAGCUCAGAUACAGUCCCAAUAUGAAAAAACAUAUUGGCAUGGUAAGAUCAUGAUGUUGAAAAUUUACUGCAGAACAUGGUAUUCUUGGGAAUCAAGAUACAAAUAAUAAAAGAAAGGAACAAAUCAAAUUUGGAUCAUUACCAUGUAAUUUCAGAAACUUGCUUUGAAAUGUAAAUUCUGGAACAAGCUGCUUGUUCCAGAAGUUGAUAGCCUUUGCAAAAAACUCAUCGUAUGUGUAUAUGCAAAACACAUGGGAUGCUGCCUAUCACAGAAAUGUGUGAGAAUCUAGGGAUCAAUUACAAUGAAUGUCUGAAUUUAAAAUCAAACAAGUAGUAGUUAUGAAUGCGUUGUAGUCGAAGGUGGGGUUCAUGAUGUUGGGACCAAAUUAAUUUUAUUACUAUGAGGGUGUUAUAACUUAAUAGAAGUGUAGUUACAAAAAUUAUUGUUUUGACGUAGUUAUCCUUAGUGCAAGUGGUAUGGGGUAAAGUGUGGACUACAUUGAUAUAGUGUCGGAAAUAUACCAAGUCAUCUUAAACCUUUAAUGUAACAUAGCAUAUAUUUUGUCUGAAACAACUUUAAAUAAAUAUGUUAUUUCAUCUUAAACCUUUAAUAUAACCUAGCUUAAAUUUUUUGCGAUAUACUAAUAAUUAUUACCAUGUGGUGGCAAGUCCUUAACAUAGGACCUAGAAAAAUUAUUACUUAUUACCAUAAGAACUUCAUUCUUAUUUAUGACUGGCCCAAGUUGGGACCAAAAUUUUUUAUGAAAUGUGGAGGUUAUUUUAUGUAGAGCAUCAAUUACAGAGAGAUCUUACUCUAUCUAAGUUUAUACAAAUGAUACGUCACAUUCUAUUGUGUAAUAUAUCGUAGAUGGUACAUCCGUCGUCCUGAUUUUUUUUUUUUUUUUUUUUUCGUUGGUUGCGGGUUAGGGGAGGAUUCAUUCACGUGUAUGUUGAGUCUAGUGGGAGAGUCCCGAGCCUCUCGAAUGCUCUGGGUUGUUUGGACUCCUUUCUUACGUUCAUUUCAAUAAAAUUACUCAUCUCCAUUUCAGUUUUCAUCUUUAAAUUAAACCAGUCAGCUUUAACAGUUGGGGUUCUAUCAAAUGGUAUCAGAGCAUUAUCCUGGGGACAUUGCUUGUGAUGAAGAAAAUGAAUUAGAAGAUUGAUUUAGUAAUCUGGAAGUGAAGCUUGAGAAAAUGAAUUCAAAAAUAAGAGAGGGAAUAGGAGCCAUGAGAUCUGAAUUUCACAAGGCCAUGACAUCCAUGUUAGAGAAACUGGAAGUAAUGACUUGCAAGUUGGAUGGACAGGAGCGAGACCGAGAGGAGAAUUGGACAAUAGAGAACUCGCCAGAACCUACCUUAAAUGUUGAAAUCUCUCUAAAGUCUGACGAGGUGGGGGAUAGUACUGUGGAUCUGGAAAUUUCACUCAUCAUCAAUGAAGCAGGAGAACGAACAGUUGAAAGGAGUUCUCAUGAGGAGUUCGGGAAAGUAGAGAGCUACAAUCGGCGAAUGGAAUCGCCGAUUCUGCUUCAUGAUAAUUCCAUGGGCUGGUUUCCUGGAAGGGUGAGGGUCUUCGACCUGAAUCAAAUCUCAAAUAGGGGGGAAAUUGAAGCUGCUACAAUUUGUUUCGAGCUGGAGAUAGUGGCUCGGUAUCACAGGGAAGGAAGUGGGCAGCCAUGGAGAUGGGAGAAUGUGGAAUCUCCAUGGCAGGUGACACUAGAUGAAUUAUGGGGUGGAGAUUUAGUCACUGGGCUGAAGCAAUUAGUUACGGUUGAAAUCAGAAAUUUAAAAUCAAAAGGGUUGGGCCAAAUUAUGAAUCUGGCCCAAAGGGCCAUAAAACAAUCAAACUCAAUUUACAGCUCAUCUGAGACUAAGAGAAACACCCAUAGCCCAAAUCCAAACACUCAAUUUAUUCUAAUCCUCCCAUUGAAUCCAGUAGAGAUCGUUGCAAAAUCCAUGACAAUCACAAUACUCCAAGCAAAUAUUUUAAGAUUGAUUGACAUCACAGUGCUCCUGUCGGCGAUCGCGAAUAGAGGGGGGCCACGGUUUAAAAAGCUGAUCAAAAUUGAUUUUCAGUGGAAAGGACGGAAGGGGCUUGCGAUCAACUCUCCACUUAUCUCGACAAGUCGAGUUCAAGACGAAAACAUUUCGUGGGCAAAGGCAACUGACUUCGGAGUUGUGGGGCAUACUAUACUUGAGAUACUUGUGCGAUUGAGCAAGUCUAGCCACUUCAAAAGACAUAAACGUCUCUUUUACGUUGAGACUAGAAUAGGAGUUUUUGUAAAAGAAAUUUUGUGGUUAUAUAACGAAUUGAUUGCUUCCACCUUGAGGACAAGGUGGAUUUUGGGACGGCGAGUAAUGAUAGAUUCCUAGUUGGUUCAUUUGGCUUCUGCCACGUCAUUGUUAGUCUAGAAGGUUCAUUAUUUAGCUAGUAGGGUAAAAAAUGUAAUAUAGCCACAAUCAAGGGAUUGCUUAUAAAUGUGAGAGUUGGGGGUUAAGGGAGGAUUCAUUCACGUAUAUGUUGAGUCUAGUGGGAGAGUCCCGAGCCUCUCGAAUGCUAUGGGUUGUUUGGACUCCUUUCUUACGUUCAUUUCAAUAAAAUUACUCAUUUCCAUCUCAGUUUUCAUCUUUACAUUAAACCAGUCAGCUUUAACAGUUGGGGUUCUAUCAAUAUCACAUAGAUAGUGUGGUAAUUGGUGAAUAUAAUCAUAAUGCUUUCAGAUUGGUAUAAUGAACUAUGCUGUUUUCAUUGGUUUUUUGAAUUUACAAUUAACAUUUUAUAUACAGAUUGCAGGAGACUCUGGCAUCACUCCGAUGCUUCAGAUAAUAAAUGCUAUCCUUAAAAACCCUGAUGAUAAUGGACGAAGCUUCAUGUACAGGGGGUACUCAUAGGGUUCGGCCAGGGCACACACAAGGACGGGGCCUGCACAAUUUUUUUUUUUUUUUUUUUGCAGCUACAGUGAGGGGGCCUGUAAGCCCCCCUAUAGAACAGUGCCCUGUACGCAGGGCAUUGUUCUUGGAAUACCCAGGUAAGACUAAUAUUUUAAUCUUCUUUUUUCACGUUGAAAACUUGAGAGUAUUUAUCGUCACAAUGUGGGCUGUGUUUCAAUAUUAUAAGCAUGCUUUCCUGACAUCUUAUUGGUGAUUAAUACCCUGGAGGUCACAUUGCUCUAUGCUAACAUAUUUCCUGAUGACAUACUUCUCAAAAAGAAGCUAGAUGUACUUGCAGCUAAGCACCCAAACUUGAAGGUGCUUCCAGUAUCAUCACAAAAGCAUUACUAUAUGUUUUGAAUUUUUUUCUUUUAUCUUUUGUAUUGAAAUAUCUUUCGUGUGUGAGAGGUAUUCUACACUGUUGAUAAUCCAACAAAAGAUUGGCAAGGAGGCACGGGUUACAUAUCAAAUGACAUGGUUAAGAAAGGAUUGCCUGGCCCUGGUGACGAUACACUUAUUCUUGUAAGUUCUCUCUGCUGUGCAUACGAUUCUCAUCUUCUAGAAAAAAGUUAUCAACGUAUCUGAAUCAAAUUAGAUCUGCCAUCUAGGUAAACUGCAAAAUGAUUGUUUUAGCCCCUGUACGACCUCCAUUAUUUCAAAUUUUUAUGGGUGGAAUAGUAUUUUUUUGGAGAAUGGAUGGCUGAAAACGAAGAAAAGUUUUUGGUUUAUGUGUAAUAUUAUUUUAUGGUUGAUUGUGUGAUUGAAAAUAUGAAAAAGAAAAAUAAAAAUUAAUUUAAUGGGGCCAAACGGGGGCAUAAUAUAUAAUUGUGACAAAAAAACUGCAAUGUUAAUAUGAUGCUAUAAAAAUAAAAACCAAAAACGAAACCUAAUCCCUAUAGAUUUGGGGUAGCUUGUGUGACUGGUUUGCUACUGUGUUCAACCAAUCACUUCAUCUAUUAAAAUAUCGAGUAAUCAAAUCUUCUAUAACCACAUCAUGACUUGAAACCAUAUUAAUUUUGGUAUGCUUUCUCUCUCUUUUCACUUAUUCUACUGGAUUGCACUGCUCUUCUUUAUGAGAACAUUUUUAGGCAUACAUACUACUACCCCCAAAAUCAUCAUUUCCUUAAAUUUAUCCUCGAUUGGUCCACUUCUACUUACUGUUAUCAUUGAUUAUAUUCUUAUAAUUAGUGAAGGCUUUAUGUGUUCUGGGACAUUCUAUUUGAAUCAUUGCUGUGUGUAAUUUAUCUUUUCUAGAUUAUAUAGAUGUUGAUUACAUGGCACAUUGUCGUUCCAAAAAAUUAAAAACAGCAGUCUUGGUUUCUGCUGGUGAGGUUUGUGGCUAAAUAAUUACUUAAACUACACUGGUAGAAAGGAAAAAACACAAGUUGGGAUUUGGGAGUCUUAAAUCAUAUGUUGGUAAUUCGAAUUUAUCUAACUGAAUCAUUAAAAAUGUUCCAUCUGUUUCCUAUAUUACUAGCCUGCCCAAGACAUUUACAUUGUUUCAUGGUGUUUGAUUUUCCAUUAACCUUGAAGCCGGAUCGAUUCU